CAACCAUCUCAUCCUCUGUCGUCCCCUUCUCCUUGUGCCCUCCAUCUUUCCCAACAUCAGGGUCUUUUCCAGGGAGUCUUCUCUUCUCAUGAGGUGGCCAAAGUAUUGGAGCCUCAGCUUCAGGAUCUGUCCUUCCAGUGAGCACUCAGGGCUGAUUUCCUUCAGAAUGGAGAGGUUUGAUCUUCUUGCAGUCCAUGGGACUCUCAAGAGUCUCCUCCAGCACCAUAAUUCAAAAGCAUCAAUUCUUCAGCAAUCAGCCUUCUUUAUGGUCCAGCUCUCACUUCCGUACAUCACUACUGGGAAAACCAUAGCUUUAACUAUAGGAUAUACAAGAGGCCAAACCCUCAAAGUGGAUUUCCUGGAAUUCCCCAGGAAGAGAAAACCACAAUGAAACCAAUGUGAGUCUGCUAUGGGGGUGUGGCUUUUGCUUUUUUCAUUGCAGUUCUGCAUGGGAGGCCUGGGCAGGUCCAAGAGAUAAUUCUCUGCUCCUCAGCAAACUACAAUUCCCAAGAUCCUUCAGGGGAAGCUGUAAAGUGGUAUAAAACUGUCAUGUAGAUAAGACCAAAGUAACCUAACAGAUAAAGGUUGCCCAGAGCCUUAUCUACUUAUUUGAGUGUGCAGUGUCAACAAAGUACAGUGGCUGGUUGGAGGCUUGAAAGGAUGAGGGGGAAUAGCUUUAAACAGGGAUGACCUCAGAAAGCACUUGAUCUCUGGAGAUUUCAUGAGAAGUGAUCACCUUAGACAGUAAGGGGAAAUCUCUAAGUUGCUUUUGUCCUUAGCAUCCUCUCUACAUCACUGGAGCUAGAAGCCUCUGCCUCCAUCUUCUCGCUUCCUUGCUCACUGAGUAUUGGCCAUCAAGCCUUGAUCAUAAUAGACCAGGCCUGCCCAGGUUUUGACUCCUGACCGGGCGCAGCCCAACAGCCUUGCAAAGUGGCUUGCCAGAGAGUUAAUAGCCUUUCUGUUUAUGCUGACUUCCUGGAACAGGAAGGUUGCCGAUUGACUGGCAAGCCACAAUUCGCAGCUGGAGGACUCGACUGAAUAAAUCAUGGUGGUGACCUAGGGGUCAAAUGUUUUGUGAGCCUGAGCUGAUGAGGUGGUGGCAUUCUCAUCAUAUUUACAGCCUCUGGACUGAAGAGCAAUAUCGACAACCCAAUGGGCCUCCAGACCUUUGAGUCUCCAAGUGGGCUGCGAACGCCCCUUGUCUGAAACUGUGGAAAGCCACUGCCAGUCUGUGUAGACAAUGCUGAGGAAGAAUGGACCAUUGUCUAGCUCAGUAGAAUGCACCUUCCACCAACUGGUAGGGAAGCAUAACUGAAGAUAAGCCACGGUCCUGUCUGGUCCAGCCGGGCCAAGGCAGCUACAGCCAGUUCUGGUCAGGACCUUGGACAGAGCACUGCAAGAAAGCAGGCUGGAGCUUUCUCACACCAAUGGAAAGUGGAGCUGUCGCUCCUGCAAUGUGCCAAGGUUUUCUGAAGACUGAAUGAAGUAAUCCUGCUGUUCCCUCCACCCUCUUUGAGAAGCUGUGCCCCAAAAAGGGGCCAGGGCCUUAUUCUGCAGCGAUUACCUGCCACAGUUCUGUGUGUGUGGUGCAGGGACUCAGAGACAUGGGUCUUCCGAAGCUGAGGAGGAUGUCAAAGCAAUGUCCUCUGGCCUGGAACGGCUGUGGGCGGAGGGAAAUUGAUUCGUCAAAAGGUGCCUGCUCCCCAUCCUGAGCGUUGGGGAACAUAGAAUUAUAGAGUUGGCAGGGAUCUCUGAGGUCCUCUAGUCCAACCCUCUGCAAUGCAAAAAUCUCAACUAAAGCAUCCAUGACAGACGGCCAUCCAACUUCUGCUUUAAAAUCUCCAAGGAAGGGGAGUCCACAACCUCCCACAGCGUUAGCCUGGGAUGGUGAUAGAGAGGGGUUUAUUUACGUUUUAUUGACUAACAAAAUGUAUGAACUGCUUCUCCUGUUUAGAAUGUUUUCAUUCCCAGCCAAAUUUAAGUCCUUGCAUUUGCUCUCCCUAAUUUCUCCUAACCCUCUGUCUUCUGCCCCGUUAUCUGUUUUAGAUUGUAAGCUCCUAAGGGCAGGGGCCGACUUGUAUUUUAUUUUCUGCUAAUGAGCCUUUAUCAAAUGCCACGUAACAUUAACGAGGCUGUGUGCAUAAUGAACAAUACAAUUAUUGUAAUUGCAAUAAUUAUACACAACAAUAAUUUGUGAAGUGGCUUCCAUUAUUUAUCAUUAUUAUUUAAAAAGAUCUUUAAAAAAAUACUUAUAAUGGCAUACAACCAAUGUAACCACCUGAAGACCGCACCUGGCAAACACAGUCUAAUUAGAAGCUAAUAAUUGAAAUCCUGGGGAAAUUACAUGAAAACCUUGUUUCUAACCUUGCAGGAAAAAACAAAAACAAAACUAUAUCGGGGUGUUUCACUUAAUACUCUCCUCAUCUGGGUGAAAUUCCACCCAUGAGGUCAGGCACUGGACCAGAGAAUGCCAGAGGUGCUUUGAAUUUUUAUUCUUCUGAAAAUAAGAGUGUGUGUGUGGGGGGGGGAGAAACCGUCCGUGUUUGGGAUUUUGCCGGCGUGCUGGCACCAUCUGCCUCCUCCCCGCUGUUCCUCUUUCACACCACAACUUUGUCUUCGCAGGCUUUCGUUAAUAUUUUACCCGGCAUACCGAAACAAGAUGCAAAAAAUGUGUUUGACAGCAACCUUUUCCUUAAAAUGAUAUAGCCCUGUUAAUAAGGAAAGCUGUUCCUUUCUGCAAGGAAUCUGCAGUGCGCGUGGCUCUUUCCUUGGGGGGUCGAAGCCAUGCUGGUUGUUUCCUCUGUGUUAUUAUCCCCACAAAGCAUACAUACAAAUCAAGGUCAUUUUCCAGUCUCUCCCCUCCCCGUUUCCCCCCUCUCCCCGCUCAUCAACAGCUACGGUGCAACCAUUCAAUUAUCCUCUACAGAUGACUCACAUCCACUACCUUGACCAACUAGCGACUAAAUUAGACACACACACACGAACCUAGUGUCAACAUAUGUUUGGCAAGGCCCCAACCCCAGAGCCCAAGACCUAGUGGAAACAUUAUUUUAAAAGACACAGAGUUCGCGUAAAGUCUAAUGGCAAGUCUAUUAAUAAUAAUAAUAAUAAUAAUAAUAAUAACAAUAAUAUACCACCCUAUACCCGGAGAUCUCAGGGCAGUUUACAGAAUAAAAUCAAAAUAUAAAACCACAAAAUACAUAAUCAAAAUGAAAACAACCCAAUAGCCCCCCCCCACCAAACCCACAUUUUAAAAGUGCAUAGCGUAUCAUAGCUGUCACAUCAUGGAAUGGAAUCGGAUGUGACAACGGUCCAUCUGCCGCAGUACUGCCUGCACUGGCUAGAGCAGGGGUAGGCAACCUAAGGCUCAUGGGCCACAAGCAGCCCAUGGGGUCAUUUAACUGGCGCACAAGCCGCCCUGAACCGAGCCGCCUGCUUGGUGAGUCCCCGCACGCUGUGCUAAACUGGCACCGUGUGGCGUUGGGACUCACUUCUGCGGCGCCUGAAAUUGCGUCUGUGCAGACGCUGACACCGGAAAUCGCGGGUGCAUGUGCUCUCGCAUCCACACAAUCCGGCCCACGGAGGGAUUUCCGCUGGAGUGAACCGGCCCAGGCGAGUUAAACCUUGCUGACCCCUGGGCUAGAGGCAGCUCUUCAGGAGUCUCAGGUGGGAGAAUUCUGCAGCCCUUUGUGGAGGGGCUGAGUACUGAACGUGGGACCUUCUGCAAGCAAAUCAGAUGGUCUACUGCUGAGCUUAGGUCCUUCCCCUAAUGGACAGCGGGUUAGCACCAAAGUGGAAAACCGCUUGCCUGGUUCCCCUCCUUUUUCCUGCAGUGUUUACCUAGGUGAAAUGCAUGAGAUGGUGCCAUCCUGCACUGCAUUCCUUCAUUUCUUCUUGGAAACAAAUCCCUAUGAGGAAUGGUUGAAGGAUUUGGUUAUGUUUAGGCGGGAAAAGAGGAGUCUGAGAGGAGAUAUGACAGCCAUCUUCAAAUAUCUGAAGGGCUGUCCCAUGGAAGAUGGAGCAAGCUUGCUUUCUCAUGCUCCAGAGGGUAGGAUCCGAACCAAUGGCUUCAAGUUACGAUACGGGAUAUUCCUUGUUUACAUCAGGAAGAACUUUCUGAAAGUAAUAGUGGAACGAUCUCCCUCGGGAGGUGGUAGACUCUCCUUCCUCUUCGGUAACAACAACAACAACAGCAACUCCUCUGGGCGGCUUACAACAUAUCCAAAAAUGUAACAAAUACAUCAGACCUUAAAAACUUCCCUAAACAGGACUGCCUUUGUCAUGGAAUUCUACUCAUCCAGAGCAGCACUCCAACGCAUAUUUAGCAGAGUAAAAACUUAAACACGUUGCAGGAUUCCAAAACACACACACACACACACACACAUAGACCAGAGGCAAUUAAUUUCAUCCAGCAGAGCUUUACUGCUACUGAAGGCAAAUGAGCAUCAUGGUCACAGAUCAAAAACACUCAGGAUUGGCACUGUCCAUAAGAAAUCCAGUUGCAGCAGACUUAACUUAAACUUACAAUAACUUAUAAUAAGUCUAAACCUCAAUACAGUGUAUUAAGCAUACAGUGGUGCCCCGCAAGACGAAUGCCUCGCAAGACGAAAAACUCGCUAGACGAAAGAGUUUUCCAUUUUUUGAGUCGUUCUGCAAGACAAAUUUCCCUAUGGGCUUGCUUCGCAAGACGAAACGUCUUGCGAGUUCUUGCGAGUUUGUUUCCUUUUUCUUAAAGCCGCUAAGCCAUUAAUAGCCGCUAAGCCGCUAAGCCGUUAAUAGCUGCUAAGCCGCUAAGCCGCUAAUAGCUGUGCUUCGCAAGACGAAAAAACCGCAAGACGAAGAGACUCGCGGAACAGAUUAAUUUCGUCUUGCGAGGCACCACUGUACUAGGUACAGAACACCACACCAGAAGGAAAAGAGAUGGAAAGAGAAAAUGAAACUCAGGCUCCUUCUGGCCUUAUUGUCAUAGUCAGCAUGACCUUGAUGGAAAGAGAUAACAGAACCAGUUUAAGCCAGCUGUAUUCCGCUUCUCUGAAGGAACAACCCAAACACCAUGAAUCUUCUGCUUGUUUCUUUCACACAGAGAGGCUUCCAGAACCCUCUUGAAUCAAUGAGAAUGGGAAAGAUCUCUACACAUCAGAUCAAUAUUUUCUGCACUAAGAAAUGCAAACGGACAGCCUUCAGGUUUCUUCUAAAAGUCAGAUAGUUGCUUAUUUCCUUGACAUCUGAAGGGAGGGUGUUCCACAGGGAGGGUGCCACCACCGAGAAGGCCCUCUGCCUGGUUUCAAGCAGAGUUUGGGAUGGCCAUCUGUCACGGAUGCUUUAGCUGAGAUUCCUGCCUUGCAGGAUGUUGGACGAAAUAACCCUUCAGGUCCAUUCCAACCCUACAAUUCUUUGAUUCUAUGAUUCCCUCCCCACCUCAUCCUGCAGCAACCAAACCUGGAGUUAGGAAACAUGUGACUUUAACAAGGUUGUGAAUCCACAGCCCCAUGUUUUCCACCAUGCCUCACCUCCAGCUCAAAACUCAUCCACAUACUAGCAAGUUUCAUGGGAUGGGCCAUGGUUCAGUGGUAAAACACCUGCAGUUUGAGGGAUACUUUAGGGAUGAGAUGCUGCAAACAUGAAAAGGGUUGAGCAAUUCCUUAAUUGGUGCUUGUCUGAUGCCAGUUCCCACCUCUCAAAGCUAUUUAGUUAUUUUUUAAAAAAAGAUAAAGGGCAUCAGGGCUGCCUUGCAGAUGCUUGCAAGGGAUAUGUAGAAUUUGCACUUCUACAAGUGCCACAUAAUGUUUGUCCCACAUUUGUGAGGAGUCAGUAUCUUCACUGGGCAGAAAGUGUGCUUUGAACUCCCUGCCUAUUGACAUUAGUAAGAUAACCUCUUUAUAUUGUUUGAGAUGUCUGCUGAAACCUUUUCUUUAUUGUUUCAUGAAGCCUACCCAGACAUAGUUUUAGUAAGUCCAACUAAGAUUUACUCAAAGUAGACCUAUUGGAAUUAAUGUACCUAGGCUAGUCAUGUUCAUUCAUUUCACUAACCCCAUUCACAGUGGGAAAAGCAUUGGAUACAGCUCAAAUCUAUUCGCUUUAAAAAUCUUACCGAUUUUAAUCUGUGUUUUGCUGACAAUUAUUUUAAACACAUUUUAAACGUUCUGUGGAUUUUAGCCAUGUUUAGUCUAUAUUUUAUCAUGUGCACUGCUUAGAGAGCUUAAAGUAUUGCACUUGGGCAAAAAACAUGAGAGGCACAAAUACAAGAUGGGUGACACCUGGCUUGAGAGCAGUACAUGUGAAAAGGAUCUAGGAGUCUUGGUUGACCACAAACUUGACAUGAGCCAACAGUGUGAUGCGGCAGCUAAAAAAGCCAAUGCAAUUCUGGGCCUGCAUCAAUAGGAGUAUAGCAUCUAGAUCAAGGGAAGUAAUAGUGCCACUGUAUUCUGCUCUGGUCAGACCUCACCUGGAGUACUGUGUCCAGUUCUGGGCACCACAGUUCAAGAAGGACACUGACAAACUGGAACGUGUCCAGAGGAGGGCAACCAAAAUGGUCAAAGGCCUGGAAACGAUGCCUUAUGAGGAACGGCUAAGGGAGCUGGGCAUGUUUAGCCUGGAGAAGAGGAGGUUAAGGGGUGAUAUGCUAGCGAUGUUCAAAUAUAUAAAAGGAUGUCACAUAGAGGAGGGAGAAAGGUUGUUUUCUGCUGCUCCAGAGAAGCGGACACGGAGCAAUGGAUCCAAACUACAAGAAAGAAGAUUCCACCUAAACAUUAGGAAGAACUUCCUGACAGUAAGAGCUGUUUGACAGUGGAAUUUGCUGCCAAGGAGUGUGGUGGAGUCUCCUUCUUUGGAGGCCUUUAAGCAGAGGCUUGACAACCAUAUGUCAGGAGUGCUCUGAUGGUGUUUCCUGCUUGGCAGGGGGUUGGACUCGAUGGCCCUUGUGGUCUCUUCCAACUCUAUGAUUCUAUGAUUCUAUGAGAGCUCUUUGAUUAAGUGGUUUAUUAAUAAUUUUAAACAAAACAAAUAAACAUGUAACAACAGUUGGCUUCCAACAAGCAGUGAUAUAAAGCUGUCCUCUGUUCUUUGCUCUAUGCAACUGAUAAUUGGAUAUAUUUCUGAAUAAGGAGAAUCCAUUUUCACCUAUCGUAGCUAACAGAAAUUGAUAACUCCGUUUUCUAAUUUCUUUUUAAAAGCAUCUGUGCUUGCUCAGCAACCACUACGACAUCAUGUGGCAAAGAAUUACAUACAUUAACUCUUGUGUUUUGUGAGCAAGCAGUUCCUUAUUGCUAUCCUGAAAAUACAGCCAGUUUUCCAGGAUGACUUCUAGUAAAGGUAAAAGUAAAGGACCCCUGGACAGUUAAGUCCAGACAAAGGCGACUAUGGGGUUGCAGCGCUCAUCUCGCUUUCAGGCCGAGGGACCUGGCGUUUGUCCACAGACAGCUUUCCGGGUCAUGUGGUCAGCAUGACUAAACCGCUUCUGGUGCAACAGGACACCGUGACGGAAAUCAGAGUGCACGGAAAUGCCAUUUACCUUUCCGCCGCAGUGGUACCUAUUUAUCUACUUGCACUGGUGUGCUUUUGAACUGCUAGGUUGGCAGGAGCUGGGAAAGAGCAAUGGGAGCUCACCCCGUCACGGGGAUUCGAACCACCAACCUUCUGAUCAGCAAGCCCAAGAGGCUCAGUGGUUUAGACCACAGUGCCACCCAUGUCCCAUAUGACUUCUAGUACAGCGAUUAAGAACCUUUGGCUGUCUAGAAGUUGCUGGACUACAGCUCCCAUGGCCUUGACCACUUGCCUGGGGCUGAUGGGAGUUACUCUAACAACAUCUGGAGAGCUCAGGUUCCCUAACACUGUUUUAGUAUUGUGAGAGAAUCUCUCAGUUCACUCUCCCUGCAUCAUUCAUAAAUUUCCAUCCCUUGCUUCCCCAGCUGUCCCUCCUCUCACUAAAAAUCCCCAACCAUUUAGCUUUUCUUCAAAAGGAAAGUGUUCCAUCCCUUUGAUCAUUUAAGUUCUCCCCAUUCUUCCUUCCUUUUGCAGCUCUGUGAUAUUGUCUUUGAACUAGGGUGGCCACAAAUGUACAAAGAAUAAAACCAGGCCACACAAUAUACGUACUUAUACAACACCAUUGCGAUACUUGAUAGUUCAUUUUCAGUCCAGCCUCUGCAAGGGGCAUAGAUCAAUUUGACCUGCGAGCCCAUGAUUCCUCCUCAAAACCACAUGAGAAAAUGCAAUUGCUUCCUACAUAUAUAUAUAUAUAUAUAUGUAAGGCUGUCAUCGCACAGCCCUCAUUGGGGGAUUUGUAGUGUUGCAUCGCUACAAAUGGGAUUUGCAUGAAGUCAUGGUGGAGAACAAAAGGUAGGGGAGCAAAAGAGUAGGCAGGUUGAACAACAACAGCAGCUGUGCCAUGGAAGUGGCAAUGGAGGGAUGCUGACAGGGGGAACAUGGUUGUUUAAAAUCAUGGCAGAAGUUUGAGUAAACCAGGUGUUAAGUUGUGGGUGAACAUAUCAGACGACACAGCGAUUCUUCAGACAGCUCUUGUUUAUUCACAGGCCAGAACAGAACUGAGCUGAAGGGUUCAGCCAACCUGCUUAUAUAGAGCUCAACUACAAAGCAACAGUAACAACUUUCUGUAACUAUCCAAUCACUGAACGUCACUUUCAAUUCCUUAUUUGCAUAUGCGGACCUGAGUGAAAACUAUCUACAAUAUCCCCCUGCUGGCCCAGGGUGAGAAUUUCAGUACAUAACACCAGAGAUGGAGAAAACUGAGAAGAAAGUUGAGAUUUUAAACAACAUAGGCUUGAGUAGGGUAGCUUCACACUACAGAAUAUGUAACCUCAAUCUUUGUCACAUGAGGCAGCUGGGGAAUGGAAGAGGAACUAGUUUGAGUACAGUAAGGAAGGAGCAACACUGAAAGGGGGAAAUAGAGGCUGUAUUAAACAGUGCCAGAUGUUUGAAUAAAUUGGGAGUGGAGGGACACUGAAAGGAAAAUGGUGGUUUUAAACAACAGCAGAGGUUUGAGUAAAACAGGAACACCGAGAAGACAAAAAAGGUGAUUUCAAACAAUGGGAAAUGGCAGAAGUUAGAGAGACACUGAGGGAGGAGGAGUGCCCGUUUAAAACAAGGUUUGAGUACAACUGAGUUAGAAAAGGCUCUCAACAGGGGAUGUGUACAGUGGUACCUCUGGUUAAGAACUUAAUUCGUUCUGGAGGUCUGUUCUUAACCUGAAACUGUUCUUAACCUGAAGCACCACUUUAGCUAAUGGGGCCUCCCGCUGCUGGCGCACCGCACGAUUUCUGUUCUCAUCCUGAAGCAAAGUUCUUAACCCGAGGUACUACUUCCGGGUUAGCGGAGUCUGUAACCUGAAGCAUUUGUAACCCGAGGUACCACUGUACUGUUCUGUCUGUCUUCACCUAUGCCCAGCUUGAUGCAUUCCAAGUUCUGCCUGUCUAAAAAAGCAAAUGAAUGAAAGUGCAAUAUUCUACUGCACAUUUCAUUUUAGCAUUCUAGUCCUCUUCUAGUCCAAAUGCCUUUCCUGCUGGAGAUUUGGUGACGGCGGCUGAGUGUGAUAGACUGAUGAAGAUAGGGGAGAAGAACAAUGAGGUCUUUUCCACCAACCACAUCUCUUGCAAGGUAUGGGGCAAGAGGGGGAGAACGUCUGCACUCCCAUCUUGUUGGAGACCCAGCAGAGAGAGGUUUUCACCUCUCCACAGAGCAGGGGCGUGUUACAGUCUGCACCAUAACAUUCUGCCAAUGCCAUGUAACUUCACUCAGAUGUAACCCUGCCCAGUUUUAGCAGGAGAUUCCAACUAAACAUCAGGAAGAACUUUCUGACAGUAAGAGCUGUUAGCCAGUGAACUGGUUUCAUUCAGGAGAUGGCAGCCUCUCCUUCAUUGGAAAAUUUUAAGCAGAGGUUGGGUGGCCAUCUGUCCUGGAUGCUUUAGCUGAGUUAUCUCCCGCUUGGACUACUGCAAUGCGCUCUACGUGGGGCUACCUUUGAAGGUGACCUGGAAACUACAACUAAUCCAGAAUGCGGCAGCCAGACUGGUGACUGGGAGCGGCCGCCAAGUUCACAUAACACCGGUCCUGAAAGAUCUGCAUUGGCUCCCAGUACGUUUCCAAGCACAAUUCAAAGUGUUGGUCCUGACCUUUAAAGCCCUAAAUGGCCUCAGCCCAGUAUACCUGAAGGAGCGUCUCCACCCCCGUCAUUCUGCCCAGACACUGAGGUCUAGCACCAAGGGCCUUCUGGCGGUUACCCCACUGUGAGAAGCCAAGAACCAGGCAGAGGGCCUUCUCGGUAGUGGUGACCUCCCUGUGGAACGCCCUCCCAUCAGAUGUCAAAGAGAUAAACAACUACCUAACAUUUAGAAGACAUCUGAAGGCAGCCCUGUUCAGGGAAGUUUUUAAUGUGUGACAUUUUAAUGUAUUUUUCAUCUUUGUUGGAAGACGCCCAGAGUGGCUGGGGAAACCCAGCCAGAUGGGUGGGGUACAAAUAAAUUAUUAUUAUUAUUAUUCCUGCAUUCCAGAGGGUUGGACUAGAGGACCCUUGGGGUCCUUUCCAACUCUACAGUUUAUGAUUCCAUACACCUACACCUCUCCCUAUCCAGGCAAGCAAGAUCAGGGUCCAAGGAGACAUUCCAGCCAGUCAAAAAUACUCAAGGAGCGUGCUAACAAAGGCCUGUGAGCAUUGUGGGCUGGUGAAUGCGAUGAGGGCCAUAAAGAAAUGCGUAGUUGCUUUUCCCCGCUUCAGAAGGAUGGACAAGACCCUCUUUGCGCCCAGCAGGCAAAUUAUGUCAAUUGUUCCAUUUAGAAGAUUUGCUUGUUGUUUUGUGCUGUUGGUAAGGGCCCAUGUAAUAUUCUUAAAAAGAGAGCUAACAGAUGUCUCGGGCCUUUCCACUCUUAUUAAUGAGAGUAUUGCAAGAAUGGAAACGAGGUCACUCAUGUUCAAUAGUUCGUCAAAAAAAAGUCUUCCACUUCUUAAAAGAGUUCCACUAAUCCAAAACAUGACAGAUGUAUGAGGCAGUUUUGUUUGGGCUGGGGGCUGGGGGAGGGUUUGAGAUUAAAAUCCCUUCUUUCUGAUUUGCUCUUUCAUUCGGCCUGAUUAAAAUAACAUUGCAUUCAUUCGUUUGUUUGUUGUUCUUGCUUUUAUCAUCUGCUUCCUUCAAAAUUAACAAACAAAGAAGAGGAUGGAGAUAUAUAUAUAUAUAUAUAUUACACAAAAUGGCCCCAGAAUGGCCAGGAAGUUCACAAAUCAUAAAAGGCAAGGGGGGGGGGGGGGACGACGACAAAAAACAAAACCUAAUUUCCAGCAACAUAAAAAGGAAGACAAAAAGGGAAAAUGGAUAGAAUACCAGAGACAGGUUAGCAACAAAGCUGGCUGCUUAAAAAGAUAAAACAGAGACCCUUUCCCCCCCAACAAUAUUUUCCAUUUGAAAGUGUUUAUUAAUAUAUUCUGUCUGAAGCAAAAAAAAAAAAAAAGUUCAAUGAAAUGCAAAGAUCAAAGAUACUUUAAUUCAGGUGAAAAUGAUUCCCCUCCCUCCCUCCGGGUUUGAUUUUUAGAAAAAGGGAAGCAGGAAAAGAGCACUGUCAUUUCAUUAUUCUCUUUAAAAAGAGAUCUGUCAGCUGGCAGGAAUAGCCUGAAUAGGCGACAGGCUGCACUGAUUUUCCCCAAACGUAACAUUUAUUCAUACAAAAACCACGAGAGAGACACUCCUGAGUCAAUAGUUGGGCUUUCUGAUAAUUUUUCAGAGCAAGCAUCAGUUUUGGUUGGGCUUGACUGAGAGACUUUCCAGGUGUGGGUGAGGGGAGGAAUUACGUUCAUUUGCACUAGUGUUACUGGGUGCAAGAGCUGCCUCAGAUCACAAGCAGCCCUUCAGCCUCAGGCAACAUCCCUUCAUUCUGAAAAGGAGAAAUGUUCUGGCCUCAAGCUGGCCUGGGAGUCAUCCGUGCUGAUUUGGGAAGCCUUUCGUAGACUGGGGGUGGUGGAAGAAAAGCAACUGUGUAUAUGCUUAGAGCUUUAACUAGUUAAAGCUAUGGUUUUCCCAGUAGUGAUGUAUGGAAGUGAGAGCUGGACCAUAAAGAAGGCUGAUCGCCAAAGAAUCGACGCUUUUGAAUUAUGGUUCUGGAGGAGACUCUUGAGAGUCCCACAGACUGCAAGAAGAUCAAACCGAUCCAUUCUGAAGGAAAUCAGCCCUGAGUGCUCAGUGGAAGGACAGAUCCUGAACCUGAGACUCCAAUACUUUGGCCACCCCAUGAGAAGAGAAGACUCCCUGGAAAAGACCCUGAUGUUGGGAAAGAUGGAGGGCACAAGGAGAAGGGGACGACAGAGGACAAGAUGGUUGGACAGUGUUCUCGAAGCUACCAGCAUGAGUUUGACCAAACUGCGGGAGGCAGUGGAAGACAGGAGUGCCUGGUGUGCUCUGGUCCAUGGGGUCACGAAGAGUCGGACACGACUAAACAACUAAACAACAACAACAUAUGCUUAGAGCAGUUGUUCUCAAAGGGUAUGGGUUCACCACACUGGUGUAGUGGGAGAGGAUGACAAGUAUGGUGGGAAGAUUCAAGGACAAUCAAAGAAACAUUUAAACAUUUCAGUACACUAUAGUGUAGUACUGUAGCACAGACACCCCAACACUUCUCCAAUGAAAACAGAGCCGUCCUAAGUAAAAGCAGAAUAUUCUGGGAUGAAAUCAGAAAUCAGGACUAUAAAUCUGGGAGUGUCCCUGGAAAAUAGGGACAUUUGGAGGGUCUGGUGUGUUUGUGUGUGUGUAUAAUUUGCAUAAUAUAGAUAUGAUGACAGCAAGGACAUCAAGUGAUAUUGAGGACAAAUUACCCAGCAAAAACAAGCUCACUGCUCUCAUUGAGUUUGUAUACAGUGGUACCUCGGUUGUCGAAUGUAAUCCAUUCCUGAAGACCCUUUGACUUCCGGAACGUUCAACAACCCAGCCGCAAAGGGCAUUCUCCGAAGUCAAUGGAGAACAUUGACAAAAAACGCAGCAGAAGCCGUUCGACUUCCAAAGCACAUUCAAAAACAGAAGCGUCUACUUCCAGGUUUUCAAAACGUUUGGCUUGCAAGACGCUCGAAAACUGAGGUACAUACUUAAGGUACGCAUGUAAGAGGCUCACUUACAAUUAUAUUAUGGGAAUGAUGCAUGUUCUUAUAUUAAAACAUAAUAUAAAGUAUAAAAACAUUGUUUUUAUACUUUAUAAUAUGAUCCCAUGAUCAUGUUGUAAAGUAGUUGUGUUCUCUGUUGGAAAUCAAGGACGAGUUGUUUCUUCUAGUUUCCCAAUGUGUUUUUUAUCAAUUAAAAAAAUGGUGCGCCAGGAGCAAAUUUUUAUUUUAUUAUCUGAAAUUAUGUUAGGGAGACUGGGUACAGGUCUGCCGCAACGCCUUCUGUUGGUGUUGGUACCCCACUUUCUUUUCGUCUGCCCUGCCCCUACACUUUUAAUUGGAGGACACCUCCCCACACAUUAAUUGGUGGGUGAAGCAUGGAGCUUUCUGUAUUCGUAGAGGUUCCUCCCUGCACUUAGAAACCUGUAUAAUCAGGGUUAUAUAUUUCACAGGAAACUUCCAUGAGUACUGGAAGUGGCCCAACAUCAGAAAUUUGCCUUUCCACCUAUGAAGGACCUGGGUGGGGGAAGAGGUGAUGGAGCUGGCAGCAUCCUCUAGGAGGGGGGAAGAAAUUCAAAGCGAGGCUGCCCAGUUUGCAGUUUCUGAAAAAAUACGCAAAGCAAAACACAGCCAUAAAUCAACGUUUACUCUUCUUCGAAUUUUGCGGUGCCGAUGUACUCCAGCCAAAUAAUGUGUACAGAAAGCAUGCAUGAAAGUGUGAUGCGGAAAACUGAACUUAAGACUGGACGUCUCAGGGAGAAACUGAAAAUGUCAGAUUCACUCGUCUGUGGUAUCCUCAAACAGUUCUUGCAUGUAAUACCUGAAUGCCCAAAUAUGGCUACUCUUAGGCUCAUUUUCUCACUUAUUUAUUAAGUUUCUAUACCGCCCUUCACCCGAGGAUCACAGGGCCAUUUACAAUAUAAAAACACAAAAAUACAUACCAUUGUAACAGACAAAAAUGUCCUACAUUGCUUAGAUACAGCAGCCGAUGGGGACAAAGGGCCAAAACCCCCUGUUGCAUUAGAGCCAUAACUGCGUAUGCCUGUGCUUCAGAAGGAUAACUACAAACGGGAGGGAGCCCAAUCUAGACUGGGAAAGGAAUGGUCUGAGGCUUUUAUUUAUUUUUAGCCUUUUCUCCCUGUCCUGCGCCGGGUCAGAGAUCCCCCUGUGGCUGCUCAUUUAAGAGCACACACGUGAAAUAUGCAGAUAGACACAUUUUAAUGUAACAUUUUGCAGGCAGCGUUUGCAAACCAGCUCCAGACACUGUUAGCUCAAGGCGAGCUGGUUGUGUCAUGUGCCUUCAGAGCUGAGCAUGCCUUGUAGUGGUAUUCACACCAAGGAGCAGAAGCGAAAGUGAGGAGAAGAUAUGGCCAGGCACCAAGGACACAGAGGAAAGAUUGCUUUAGAAAUCAGAUCCUUGUGAAUUCCAAAGAUGAAGUUACCUGAUCUCUCUCCACUCCACUGCGCACAACCUGCCCGUGAAACAGAAUUUGUGAUCCACCAGAUUCUGUAGUUCGUUGAAUGCAAGAACACUGUUCGUGGCUCUUUAAAUGUACACAUGGGACGUGGGUGGCACUGUGGUCUAAACCACUGAGCCUCUUGGGCUUGCCGAUCAGAAGGUCGGCAGUUCGAAUCCCCGCGACGGAGUGAGCUCCCGUUGCUCUGUCCCAGCUCCUGCCAACCUAGCAGUUUGAAAGCAUGUCAAAGUGCAAGUAGAUAAAUAGGUGCCACUUUGGCAGGAAGGUAAAUGGCGUUUUCGUGCGCUGCUCUGGUUUCACCAGAAGCGGCUUAGUCAUGCUGGCCACAUGACCCGGAGAAACUGUCUGCAGACAAACGCCGGCUCCCUCAGCCUGUAAAGCGAGAUGAGUGCUGCAAGCGCAGAGUCAUCUGCGACUGGACUUAACUGUCAGGGGUCCUUUACCUUUACCUUUUAAAUGUACACACACACACACACACACACACACACAUCUUGCCCACCCAAAUGGAAUAAUGUAUUCUGCUUCACCAAACUUUUUUACAACUUGCACAUUAGACCAGUAUUGUUGAAUAUGUGGAAACAUAUGCACAAAAUGCAUGUAAUCUUGCGGAAUCAUGUAAAAAUAUGUAGUAUGAGAUAGGUCUUUUAAAAAUUAAAAAAUAUAUACUGUAUAAAUAUUGGAAGGUAAUGAGGCAGAAUUAUGGGUAAACAUAGGUGAAAACAAUUCAUCCACCCAUAAAUUUUAUCUUUUUUUUCAAUUUUUGCAACAACCUUGUAACAUAGGCCAGUAUUAUUAUCCCCAUAUUGCAGAUCAUUUCUUCUUCUUAUUAUUUAUUAAAUUUGUAUACCACCCUAUUCCCAUGUGUAGGGAGUGGAGAAAGGCUGAGAGAAAGAGGCUGGAUCACCUAGCAAGUUUUUGGCAGGGAUAAGAUUUGAAUCUUUCUGAUUCACAGGUCAUUCUCUGUGCCGAAACCACUUUAUGUUCUAAUGAUGGCAUUGUGAAGGAACCAAAACGUCUGUCAAAAAGUCGAGCCUGCUUACUGCAGAAGAAUAGUUGCACAAGACGUUUGCAUUUUAAAUCAAACAGUGCAAGUGUUUUGAUGAGACAAUGGACACACCCACAGUACAGAUAUAGACAGAUCAGCCACCCCUUCUUCCUAGUUUUGAGCAUCCUCACUAAGCUACAGUUCCCAUAAUUCAUUGUGAAGCCUUGAGAAUCAAAGUAGUAUUAAGCUAAUGUACCUUUAGGUAAAGUACCUUAUGAGAACAGAUUCCAGGUACAAACAGAACAUGCCACAUACAUUCAGGAGACUCAGGUGGUAAAGUUAUACAGUGGUACCUCGGGUUAAGUACUUAAUUCAUUCCAGAGGUCCGUUCUUAACCUGAAACUGUUCUUAACCUGAAGCACCACUUUAGCUAACGGGGCCUCUUGUUGCCGCUGCGCCACCGCCGCAUGAUUUCUGUUCUCAUCCUGAAGCAAAGUUCUUAACCCAAGGUACUAUUUCUGGGUUAGCGGAGUCUGUAACCUGAAGCAUAUGUAACCUGAAGAGUAUGUAACCCGAGGUACCACCGUAUUUGAAAGACACUAUUUCAAGCUGCAGUGUGUGAAUGUGUUGAGUGUGUUGAGUGUUUGAAUUGUACCCCAUGGGAAAAACUCCACACAUAUAAAAAUCUAGCCUUUCAGGGAGAAAAGGCCCCUGACAUGGUAUGCGACAUUCAGCAAGCUUUUGGAGGUGGUUUGGGCUUGGUUGAGGAGGGAGUAAUCCAACUAACCAUCAGCCUGAGAUGUUACAGUCAAAGAAAGACUUCACCAGUUGAUUCUGCUGAAGGUAUAUCCUGAGCCUCUGAUGAAAGCCGAUGCUAAAUCGACAUGGUCUAGGACAGGCUUCCUCAACCUCGGCCCUCCAGGUGUUUUUGGCCUACAACUCCCAUGAUCCCUAGCUAACAAGACCAGUGGUCAGCGAUGAUGGAAACUGUAGUCUCAAAACAUCUGGAGGGCCGAGGUUGAGGAAGCCUGGUCUAGGACAACCUUCCACAACCUGGUAGCCUCAGGAGGUUUUGGACUACAACUCCCAUCAUUCCUAGCUGAGCUGGCUGGGGCUGAUGGGAAGACCUCUAGAGGGCACCAGCAGCACUGGAUUUAGGACAGAGCAGGUGGUCCCCCGCCCCACAUAUGGAGUUGAGUUGAGGGGGUGCAAAACAACAAUAGCAAAGCCUAUAUCCACCAGGGCCAGGGCCUUCUCAGUGAUGGCUCCAACCUGGUGGAAUGCUCUGUCCCAUGAGACCAGGGCCCUGCAGGAUUUAACUUCCUUCCGUAAGACAGAGCUAUUCCGCCUGGCUUUCAAUUUGAACUUAGCCUGAUCUUUUAUUCCCCUUCCUUCCUUCCCCCUCCCCUUUCUAUGAAGAUUACCCGCUCUGGGAUCUCACAGCUAAUUCUCGCCUGGUCUCCUCGCUGGCCCAAAUAGGACUAAUUUAGCCAGCUAGGCUUGGUGAUCAUCUAAUGUUUAUUGGAUGGAUUUUCCCCCUAAAUUGAUUUUUGAAUUCUGAAUUUAUUGUUAUUCAUGUUUUAUACGGUAUUUUAUGCUGUUUUUUAUUGCAUCAAUUAAGUGUUUUAAAUUUGUUGUUAGCCACCCUGAGCCCUGUUUUUUGAACUGGGAAGGGUGGGGUAUAAAUAAAAAUUUAUUAUUAUUUAUUAUCAUAAGGAGCUCAUAACCCACCUACUCUCAUCAUAGCCAGACACUGGAGAGACCUGUCAGGAGUAAACAUGGACCAAUGGUACAGAAUAGUAUGGGAAACAGCCUUAUUAGAAAAACUAACCAAUAAACUGAAACUGACACGGGGACAAAUAGAAGAAGACGCCUUCACCCCGGUAUGGCUCCCCUUUAUUACAUACACAGCCCAAUAAGACAACGACAAGAACCCGCCAACAGUGUACAAAUCAAUCUGGCUAACCUGAUCCAGAAACACUUACCCCACUCUCACACAAAAACAAAUCUCACUACAGCCAGCCAAAGACAACUAACCACACCCUAGGCCACCCCCAACCUCUCUCACCACCAAGGAAAUACAACAAGCGAACAGUAAGAGAACCCUAUGAGUGACACUAACACAAAACGCCACACAUACACUAAGUAGAAGAAUUGCCACCCCUCCCCUCACCAUUCCUCCCUCCCCCUCUUUCCCCCCUUUUCUUCCUAACCUAACACUGUGUGCAACACUAAUCUCUCACAACAAAUGAAACAGAUCUGUAGAAGACACAACUUGAAAAAAGAGACAAUGCAAGUAAUUUUGUAAACUAAGGUAUUUUAAAUAAAAAUAUAUUAAAAUAACAACAACAAAGCCUAUAUUUAUAUGGGUACCUACUGAGAAGAGCUAUAAAAAAGCAACUGUAUUGAAAAGCAUUUUUGAGAAAAUAAGAAUAAUUUGGGGGGGGGCAACUUUUUCCUUUGCUUAGGGUACCAUAUUACCAAAGUCCGUCCCUGCCACCAGGUGUGCAAAGUCUGAUCUAGGUUUCUUUUCAUAGUUUGAUGGCUCAGCUCCUAUUUACAUCAUUGGUAAUCAUAAGGUAUUACUAUUCCAAGACUGUUAUUUUGAUACCGUGAUCCCUAAACAUAAAUUUAAUCCAGGCACAGGCAAACUCAGCCCUCCAGAUUUGGGACUACAACUCCCAUCAUCCCUGACCACUGGUCCGGUUAGCUAGGGAUUAUGAGAGUUGUAGUCCCAAAACAUCUGGAGGGCAGAGUUUGCCUAUGCCUGGUUUAGCCAUUCCAGUGCUUCCUUGCCGACUCUCUCCAGUCAUUCAUAAAGCCCUUUGUAUGAAACUGAGAUUGGCACCCAUCAGGGCCAACAGCUCUGUUACAUUUUAUAUGAUCACCUAUCAGGGGUGUCCCGUUCUGUUUUGCCGCCUGAGGUGAAACAGUAAGGUGCCGUCCCCAGCAGCGGAGCAUAUGGCCGCGCUACCCAGGGUGGGCGUGCUCCCAAGUGGUGCGGAGUGUGCACUCCCAGGUGCGAGGUAGCUGCUUGGGUGCACAGACUGGCUUGCGCGCCCUGCAGCCGGGGGCAGAGUAAGCCGCCGAUGGCUGAUAUUCGCCGCGCAGCCUGCCCAUGACUCCCAAGCCUCUCCCAGCUGUCAAAACGAACCGGCAAAGUGGCAUAGCUUUCCCCCGAUGGCUCGGUGUAGGCUUGGGAGUUGUGGGCGGGUGGUAUGACGAAUGUCACCCCCCCCUCAGUGAAGACACCCGGGGUGGUCUGCCCCCACCACACCCCUUCCUCCGCCUCUAGCUGUCCCCGCGACCCCUCUGCCAAAACUUUGCUCACGGCCUCCACUGAGCUCUCACCUAAAGCUGCUUCUCCAACAGUGGGAGCAGGGAUGGGGCACCCCACAGAAUUCCACCGCCCGAGGUGGCUGGCUAAAUCCACCUCAUGGGCAAACCAGCCCCGUCACUUAUUCUGUAAUGAAAGGGAGUUGAAUUGAGAGCCCAAUUGAGAGCCCUUUAUCAUUCUGGGCCAUUGGCAGACAAGGAGACAAUUUGACAGUGCGCGUCUGAUGUGGCGCAAAAGCGUGCAUGUUUCUCUGCCAGUAAAGUCAGUCCUCUAAAAGAUACCAUUUUGGGGGUACAGUGAUACCUCUGGUUGCAAAAGGGAUCUGUUCCGGAGGCCGGUUCGCAACAUGAAAAGAGUGCAACCCGCGGCCGCGAAACUGCGCAGGCGCGGGUUGCAAUUCGCCACUUCUGCACAUGCACAUGAUGUCAUUUUUGCGCUUCUGCACAUGCAGAACCUUUACAGGUCACCGCGGGACGUAACCUGAAAGAACAUAACAUGAAGUGGACGUAACAUGAAUGUGUAUGACUGUACUGUUUUGUACCCUCUACAGUGGUACCUCGGGUUAAGAACUUAAUUCAUUCCGGUGGUCCGUUCUUAACCUGAAACUGUUCUUAACCUGAAGCACCACUUUAGCUAAUGGGGACUCCUGCUGCCACUGCGCUGCCACCGUGCGAUUUCUGUUCUCAUCCUGAAGCAAAGUUCUUAACCUGAAGCACUAGAAGAGGGGGUGCCACACCCCACCCACCCACCCACCCGACUUUGUACAGGCUCCAGUCAUGGGAUCUGUUAAUCCUCUGAGCCUCCAAAGCCACUUGUGGAAUGGCUGGGCAUGGUUAUUAAUUCUUACUAGUCUUACGUUUAUAUCCAACCUUUUUCUUUCUUUCUAUUUGUGGGUUAGCGGAGUCUGUAAACUGAAGCGUAUGUAACCUGAGGUACCACUGUACCUCCACAGUGCUAGGAUGCUCAUGCCUGGGUUCGGCCUUCCCAAGCAGUUUUGCACCUUUUGCAACACAUUUCCCAGCUGCAAAUGUAUAGGCUGAGCUGGCAGGAAUCAAUCACGCUUGCAGGCAAUGCAAUAUCCCAUGCAAUAUCAUCCCAGUGCCCUCAAUACCUUAGACGUCUACUGUACAUCUGCACUCCAAAGCCUCUUAGCAAUUGAUUGCAGAAAGGUUUAAACUCUGAUUAUUAUUCCUCUGCCUCCCAAAAAGUUUCCCUUGACACAGUCUGCACCAUUGAGGGUGUGUCACAAUUUUCCAGCUUCUUAGGGUAUCCCACCAACCACCCAAGGCCAAGAACCAGGACCCUGUCAACCAGCUUUAAAUGCCAAACUAUGCAAAAGCCCUAAAAUAGUUUUGGAAAAAAUGUAAUCAGAGGGCAUUUUGAAACUGUAUUUGGUAUUUAUUAACUGAAGCCAGAACCCUAAGGGAUGCAAAGCUGACCCCUCCCUUUCUGCCUUUGGCUGUCCAGCCAUCCCUCUAGCAAUUAACAGAAACCUCUCACUUUACAUCCCUGAGUAAUAGGAAACUACUUUCUCCUCUGCUGAUUUCACAGUUUCUGGGAAACCGUUCUGUUUAUCGGGAUGAGUUCAUCUGUUUCCCACAUUUACAAGGCUGCAGAAGGUUCUUCUUUCUUUACUGUAAUUUGCCGGUGCAAAGUAAUAGUGAAUGUCCCUGCUGGUUUAUUACUUUGGAUCACAGAGUCCCGAGAGAUGGUCAUUGUGGCCAGCGCUGGAUGAGCAUGUACUGACUGAAAAGAACCAAGAUAAAGUCAUUUACCCGCUUUAUAGCAAGCCUCGAGCUAGUUCAGCAGAACAACAUAAUCAUUUCUGUGGAGGUCUUAUUUAUCACACCUCUGAGUACCAGCUACUGCGAAUCACAGGUGGGGAGAGCUGCUGCACUCGGCUCCUGAUUGUAGGCUUCAUAUAGGCAUCUGGUUGGCCUGACUGCAGAUCCUGUCCCUCUUUUCCAGGUACAGUCCAGGAUUUACAGAAGCCGUCCCAGUUUCUGAUUUGAUCCUGGAAUGUCCCACUUUUCCUUGGUAAAGGUAAAGGGACCCCUGACCAUUAGGUCCAGUCGCAGACGACUCUGGGGUUGAGGUGCUCAUCUCGCUUUAUUGGCCGAGGGAGCCGGCGUACAGCUUCCGGGUCAUGUGGCCAGCAUGACUAAGCCGCUUCUGGCGAACCAGAGCAGCACACGGAAACGCUGUUUACCUUCCCGCCGGAGCGGUACCUAUUUAUCUACUUGCCCUUUGACGUGCUUUCGAACUGCUAGGUUGGCAGGAGCAAGGACCAAGCAAGGAGUAGAUAAAUGUUUGUCUGUUUGCCUCUAGGCUAAAAUAGAGGAAGGCAGAGACAUACCCAAGAUUCUGGAGGAAGCCUCGUUGCUGCAACUGAGAAGGCCCUGCAACAAACUGUGCCUCUAAAGGCCGAAGAACCCACAAAAAGCCACAGCUGAUUAAAGGAUGCAUAGACAUAGACUCCAAGUAACCUGGCCAUUUCAUUACUUACAUUACAUAUAAUGACCAACACUUUAAAUGCGUGACGGUGUGCUGAGGGAUGCACUGUUGGAAACGGGCAUUGAUGGAUAGACAAAUUGAUAUUUUGCCAGGCGAAAACAUUCCUUUUCAGCCAGGCCUUGGGCUGAUCCACAUUCUAUGUCCUUUUAAAAUGUGUUUGUGGGAAGUAGGGUUAUGGUUUUGUUCUGUCCUUGUUUUUAUUAUGUAUUUUGUGUUCUUAUUUUGUAUUUGUAUGCUGCGAAGCGCCAUGAGAUCUCCAGAUAAAGGGUGGUAUACAAAUUUAAUUAAAAAAUAAUAAUAGGAGUACUGUUCUGUCUGCCUCCACCUAUGUCCAUCUUGUGUAUCUGUAAGUAAAAUGCAGCUGUCACAAAACACCAGGCUCUGGUAACCACUGCCCCUGGACUUCUGAGGUCUAUGAAAAUAUCCAGGAAGCAAGAAUACCCUCUGCCAAACCAAGGCAAGCCUACAACCAUAGACUGUCCUUGUUCCUAAGCAGAAUCAGUUCCUUCAAAACUGGUCGGGGGGGGGGACCUGUCGCCCUCCAGAUGUUGUUGAACUCCAAAUCCCAUCAGCCCCAGCUAGCAUGGUCAACGGACAGGGAUGAUGGGAGCUGCAGUCUAAGAGCCCCUACAGAGCCACUUUUGAAUGAUGGUGCUGGAGGAGACUCUUGAGAGUCCCAUGGACUGCAAGAAGAUCAAACCUCUCCAUUCUGAAGGAAAUCAGCCCUGAGUGCUCACUGGAAGGACAGAUCGUGAAGCUGAGGCUCCAAGACUUUGGCCACCUCAUGAGAAGAGAAGACUCCUUGGAAAAGACCCUGAUGUUGGGAAAGAUUGAGGGCACGAGGAGAAGGGGACGACAGAGGACGAGAUGGUUGGACAGUGUUCCCGAAGCUACAAACAUGAGUCUGACCAAACUGAGGGAGGCAGUGGAAGGCAGGAGUGCCUGGCGUGCUCUGGUCCAGGGGGUCACAAAGAGUCGGACACAACUAAACGACUAAACAACAAAGAGAGCCACAGGUUCCCCACUACUGCUCCAAAAGCACAGGGUAUGCAUUAAGUUUUCCCUCCCCAAAAGUCUACCACUUUCAUCUAGCUGCAAAAGCCAAGCUCUUGCCACUGGCUGCAAUCCAUACUCUGCCAGAAUUUCCCUCCAGGUCCCACCUGAGGAAGCAGGCUGGGCUCAACUGCUGGCAGCCAACAGCUCUCAAAAGCCAGUUGCAGACAUCUUCCAGGAGUGAGUGCCCAGAUUGACGAAGCACCUCCUGUCAUUUAAAUCAGCAAAAAGUAGAGGAAUAGUUCAUCUCUUCAUCAUUUGGCAGUCAUAUGGUGUGCAUGCACACAUUAUUUAGCAACCAAAUCACUUCAAGUCAAACACAUUUAUUCACCUGCACACUCCUUUGGGGCACAAGGCAGGUAACACAAACACAUGAUCAAAUCUUGUAAUCCUUUCGGAAGAAAAUGACCCACCUUCAGCUUCCAUCUCCAGUCCUAAGUGUGCACUGAAGAUGUGUUAAAUGUCUGUUUUUAAAAGUACCGUAUUUUUGCUCUAUAAGACGCACUUUUUCCCUCCUAAAAAGUAAGGGGAAAUGUGUGUGCGUCUUAUGGAGCGAAUGCAGGCUGCGCAGCUAUCCCAGAAGCCAGAACAGCAAGAGGGAUUGCUGCUUUCACUGCGCAGCGAUCCCUCUUGCUGCUCUGGCUUCUGAGAUUCAGAAUAUUUUUUUUCUUGUUUUCCUCCUCCAAAAACUAGGUGCAUCUUGUGGUCUGGUGCGUCUUAUAGAGCGAAAAAUACGGUAAUCUGUUCGCUCGAUCAUUCCUGUGCCAUUAAUACUGAAUUGACACAUAUAUUUAUUGCAUUUCUAGUCCACUUUUUUUUCCCUCCAAGAAGCUCAAGGGGGCAUACAUGGUUCUCCCCAUGCUCAUUUAAUCCCCACAACAGCCCUGUGAGGCAGGCUAGGCUGAGAGGCAGUGACUGGCCCUAGGUCACCCAGUGAGUUUCAUGAGUGAGCGAGGAUCUUGGACUCCCAGGCGCUAGUCCAGCACUCUUAACCGCUGCACCAGGCUGGCUCUCAGUCACUUUAAUUGUGCAAAUAAAAAUUGCAUUGCAUUCCCGCCCCCCGCCCCCUUUUUGGCAUUAUAUUGCUUUUAUUGCUAUGGUUUUGUCUGUGCAGUUUUGGAAUUUUCCAACUAUAAAGUGCCAUGCAAGGUUCUUGAAACAAAAGUCCAUCCUUGUGCAAAGUUAUUACUGCACCUUUGGAAACGUCAUUUGGAGGUAGAGUGGUCCCUCGGGUUACAUACGCUUCAGGUUACAGACUCCACUAAGCCAGAAAUAGUGCAUCAGGUUAAGAACUUUGCUUCAGGAUAAGAACAGAAAUCGGGCUCCGGCGGCGCGGCAGCAGCAGGAGGCCCCAUUAGCUAAAGUGGUGCUUCAGGUUAAGAACAGUUUCAGGUUAAGUGCGGACCGGCGGAACGAAUUAAGUACUUAACCCGAGGUACUACUGUAAUUUAAUUGAGUGUUCAGAUCAUCCACAAACUUUUAACGCCCUGGAAAGCUACUCUUUGCUUUAAAAUAAAAUGACAAGACCAAGUAACGAGGAUCGGGGUGGGGAAAAGAAUCUAGAGCGCAUUUUCCUGGCUAGGAGGGUGCCAAAUAUCCACAGAGGACCAGCGGUUCCUAACUGCUUUCUACCUUCGCAGGCUAUUUAAUUAAUGAGAGCGGCAAAAGCUGAUUAAGGUUAGGGCUGUUGUUGUUAUUGAUGGGGGGCUUGUAAAUGUCCUCUUUGUUUUUUAACCCCUUCCUCGCCUCUGAAGGCAAACAGGAGAGCCGACAAGGCGCGCGUACGCCUCUCUGUUUCUUUCUCUUUUUCUGUGUCGCGAACGGACGGAUCAAAGAAUUAACUCCCCCCACCCCGAAGCUUUCAAAAUGUCGGAGCUAAAAUGGCAGCUGUUGUGACGCCGAGCUACGUUGCUGCUCCCUCUGCUCAGCCAGAACUAAUUCGAACAAAGCUGUCUUUCUCCUCCACGUGUAAAAUCCCGAUCGUCCUCCCCUCCCCGGAAGAACCGCGCGUCAAAUCUUUCCGAAGUCGCUUUUAACUCCCGAAUUUGGGGGACGCCAAGCAAUUCAGAAAGCAAGAGAAAUGGGUCCGAGUUCACUUCGAAUUUUCGCAGCGGGUGGGAAAGCGGGGGAGGGGGAGAAACAAGGCGAUCAAAGAGAAACUGCGUUCGGGAGACCCUCCCCAAUUGCCUUGCAAGAUGGGAAGUUGAAAUCGUCAUGAAAUCAACGCUUGAGCGGAGGAAAAAGAAACUUUGCAAUCAGGACUGGGGGUUGGGGUGGGGGCUUAAGGAAGACGGCUCUUCAUUGGGGAGCCGAGGGGGAGAAACUUUGGAAAAGGAGACAUUUAAAAAAAGGGGGGCGGCUCCUGGUUUUUGCAGCAGCUACGUGCCGCGUGAUGCCCAUCGAAAGCAAGCGGAAGCGCCCAUAAAUUGCAGCGGAGCGGAACAAGACCCGAUCCCUUGCAAAAUAUAUACAUAUAAAAGACAGCCAGUAAUUACGUCUCUCCGAAAGGAUGCUCUGGGGAAAAAAAAAGGUCGCUCAUGGGCUCUUCGCCCUAACCCUUCCAGCCACGCCCCUUCUGGGCCCCAUCUAAUGUAACCAAAACGAACUUUUGAUGAGGGCAGAGUUUAUGGUUCCAAUCCCAAGCUGCCUUUUUCAUAAAAUCAUAGAAUUGUAGAGUUGGAAGGAACCACGAGGGUCAUCUAGUCCAACCCCCUGCAAUGCGGGAAUCUUUUGCCCAACAUGGAGCUCGAACCCACAACCAUGAGAAAUCCUGAGAGUCUCACGCUCUACUGAAUGAGCUGUCGCAACUUGGGCACCAUUCAGCCUGCCCCAUCUUCACCUCCAGUCUUGCUCAAACAUCCAUCCUGAUGAAGAGUUCUGAGGGAUCCGAAAGCUUGCUCACACUUUUGGUGUGGUUUGGGUUGGUGAUAAUCAAAGAUGUUCUAUGAACAUCUGUAGGGCCACAUAUUCUUCCACAUUCCCUGAGGAAUGCUGCUUCACUGAAUCUUCUGGAGUUAACUUUUUCCCAUGCUUCCUAGAAUUAUUAUUAUUAUUAUUAGAAUUUAUAUACUGCCCUAUACCGGGAGGUCUCAUAGAAGUGUCAAGUUGGAAGGGACCCAAAGACUCAUCUCCAACCCCCUGGAAUUGCUUAGGAUAAUAAUACCCAGCCACUCUGGGUGGCUUACAGAAUAUAUAAAACAUAAUACAUCAAACAUUAAAAACUUCCGGAUACAGGGCUGUCUCCAGAUGCCUUCUAAAUGUUACGUAGUUCUUUAUCUCCUUGACAUCUGAUGGAGGGCAUUCCACAGGGAGGGUGCCACCACCAAGAAGGCCCUCUGCCUGGUUCCCUGUAACUUCACUUCUCACAUUGAGGGAACCGCCAGAAGGCCCUCGGAGCUGGACCUCAGUGUCUGGGCAGAACGAUGGGGGUGGAGACGCUCCUUCAGGUAUACAGGGCUGAGGCCAUUUGGUGGUGCUGUGGGUUAAACCACAGAGCCUAGGACUUGCCGAUCAGGUCGGUGGUUCAAAUCCCCGUGACGGGGUGAGCUCCCGUUGCUUGGUCCCUGCUCCUGCCAACCUGGCAGUUUGAAAGUACGUCAAAGUGCAAGUAGAUAAAUAGGUACCGCUCCGGCGGGAAGGUAAACGGCGUUUCCGUGCACUGCUCUGGUUCGCCAGAAGCGGGUUAGUCAUGCUGGCCACAUGACCAGGAAGACUGAUCUUGGCCAGUAAAGCAAGAUGAGCACCACAACCCCAAAGUUGGUCAUGACUGGACCUAAUGGUCAGGGGUCCCAAUGCCUUUACCAGCACUUUGAAUAUAUGUAACAUGUGCAUGCCCAGACCGGUUUCCCCCUUCAAAUAAUCACUGGGAUCUGGUUGCAGUGAGUUAGAGGUGGACCAUAAAGAAGGCUGAUCGCUGAAGAAUUGAUGCUUUUGAAUUAUGGUGCUGGAGGAGACUCUUGAGAGUCCCAUGGACUGCAAGAAGAUCAAACCUCUCCAUUCUUAUGGAAAUCAGCCCUGAGUGCUCACUGGAAGGACAGAUCGUGAAGCUGAGGCUCCAAUACUUUGGCCACCUCAUGAGAAGAGAAGACUCCCUGGAAAAGACCCUGAUGUUGGGAAAGAUGGAGGGCACAAGGAGAAGGGGACGACAGAGGACGAGAUGGUUGGACAGUGUUCUCGAAGCUACCAGCAUGAGUCUGACCAAACUGCGGGAGGCAGUGGAAGACAGGAGUGCCUGGCGUGCUCUGGUCCAUGGGGUCACGAAGAGUCGGACACAACUAAACAAGAACAACAACAAAGAUGGAAGACACUUAUUAUUAUUUUUUUUGGGGGGGGGCACUGCCUGUAGUGGGAGCAAGGCCAGGAAGAUGCUGCGGUCAAUCAAGUACACGGCGCCCCUUCGUCAGCCUGGUGCCCUCUGGAGGGCUUGGACCGGAGCUGUACUCCAAACCAGGUUGGCCACGGCUGCAACAGAGCCUUGGCUUGCAGUUCUCUAAUCCCUGCAUUGCAAGGGGUUGGACUAGAUGACCAGAUGACCCUUCCAACUCGAGAUGUCUACGAUUCUAUGAAGUUUGCACUUUCCCUUUCUUUGCUGAGGACGUUAGACGCACGCGCGGAGCUUCCCAGCCUCUCUCCCUGGUAGGCUGUUCCUUGUGCGCAUCAGCCGCGUGCGCAUUCGCCCGUCCCUAUGAUCUGCGGCUUCUGACCCCCUCCGUUGUCUGUUAAGCGCCUCCCUGCUCCAGAUCUCCUCGACCCAGCUGCUUUCCUCGCCCGGAUAAAUGUUGCCUCGCUCCUUCCCGAUUGGAAGUCGCCUGGUCCUCCCGCCCCAUAACCUCCCCUUGCUUCCUUUCCCGCCCCGUGAUUAGGAAAGGGUUGAAACGAAGUCUGCCCUAGGAAAGGCAGCCGCAAGCUGGUGCCAGGCUCGGGCUGCAACUCCCAUCAGCCCCAGCCAGCGCAGCCGAGAUAUUAAAAAAACCACCUUGGUUAAGUCAACUCCUUUCGUCUUGGCAUCGCGCUUUCAUUUAACCCAGCGCAGCUGCCACGUUCUGCUGCCUUAGUUUUACUACAGUAGUAGAGAAUAUCGGAAUCGAUCCUGAUUUAGUUAUCCCGCCUUUCCCCCAGAAUGGGGACUCGAGGCGGUUCACCAAAAGUAAAACAAACACGGUUUUGUUUUUGUUUUUUUAAAAAGAGAUAAAAAGUAAUUUGAUCCCCUCCCCCUCUUUCCUUUUUCUUUUCUCCUUCUGUGAUAGAACUCCUAUUUGGGGACUUCCCUGGCUUUUUCUGGCCCACGUAGGACCAGUCUGGAUAGUUGGCCUUGGUGAAGAUUUGACGUUUUCAUCCCCAAAAGGUUUUUGAUUUGAGUUUCUACUGAAAUGAGGCUGCAUUUUAAUGUUGUACUUUAAUCUUGUUUUUAAGUUGUAUUUUAAUCAAUUGUUUUUAUACCUUGUGUUAGCUGCCCUGAGCCCAGUUUUGGCUGGGGAGGGCGGGGUAUAAAUAAAUUUAUUAUUAUUAUUAUUAUUUCAAAAACAAUAUAAAAAUGAUGUUAUUCAAAACGUGGGUGGGUGGAGGAAUUCUGAUUAUCACUACAGAGUGGAUUGUGUGUGAAGGACCAGGGUGGGGCCAGCAUCUAUCUGAAUGGGCCCCUUCCCUCACUAAUUUGAAAACUUCCUUGCAGAUCAGAGAAGAAAGGUUUAGUAUUGCUGGUUUACUGUAUGCAGAGAAGAUUUUAUGAAUAAAAGUGGGGGUGGGGGUGGGAGCAUUAAGAUCUCAAGUGGUACAAUCCAGAACAGAUAAUCUUAUUCUUCCUAAAGUGUAGAUUAGUUCUUGGGACUGGGCUAUACUUGCAGCAAGAUAAAACGUUCAUAUCUGUACCACCUCAAAUUGCCACUGAGAAAAGUAUAGAAUCAUGGAAUCAGAUGGUCGGAAGGGAUCCCAAGGGUCAUCUAGUCCAACCUACUGCAAUCCACCCAGCCUACCGUCUCACAUUCAUUCUGAAUUUGCCCUGAUUUGCUUGCAUUUUCCCAUUCGACAUUCAUUGACCCCACACUGAACUUUUGGCAGUUACAAAGCCCUCACUUUUCCCCCGAUCGCGUUUCUCACUGCAGAAAGUCGGGGUUUUAUUAUUAUUUCUAAAGGGGUAUGUGUGUGAUUUGCUGCAUUUGAGCAACAGAGUGCUUUAAUUCACUUUAAUUGUGCAAAUAUAUAAAUAUCUGGUAUGCACGUGAAUCCCUCCCUCAAGAUAACAGCAGUCUGGAGGCAACCCGGGAGUAUAACAAGACAGUUAUAGGGGGAUAGGAAUAAUUAAGUGUUCUUGAAUAUUUUGACAGGCGGUGCCAGCAUGCCAAGAAACGAGAUAACUCUCCCCUAUCUCUAUGAUUCCGGUGCAGCUUUAGGGUCUCAGCAUCCUUUCUUGUGUAACCUGCUUGCUUUCAACCCUCUCUCCCUGUAAAUUUGCAAAUAAAAAGCUUACGCUCUCCGGAAUGCCCCCCCAACUCUGUAAGGUUGCCCUGGAGCGUCUCAUUACAUGGGGAAAUUAGUGUGUCGUGGGGGACAAAACCAAUGAACACGCACACUGGUGUUCGAAACUCAGCACAUGCCUUCAAGGGACUCUUCUGUGUAUACUGAAAAUUCCUGUAGUAGUAACAGGGACGCUUGAGAGCUGAGGAGAGGCUUUCAUAUCACCCCCCAGGCAUCCGUUUAAAAUUGUUCCAUCAUCACAGCUUUAUGCUGCAUUAUAUAAUUUACGGUAAGCUGUUUGGGGGAUGAUUUAGAUUGAAAGUUGGGGUAUAGGAAAAAAGCAACAACCCUAAAAAAUAACAUUCACUGAAGUCAAACUGUCCAGAAAGGCACAGAAAUUUAGAAAUAACUCGACAUAAGCAACAUUUCCACAUUGGUUUCCUAAAUACAGACAUCCUGCUCUUAUAGGAGCAGGACCAAAAUCACACCACCACCUUUUUGUGGCUUCCAGCAAGUAGUAUUUAGAAGCAAUACUGGCUUCAUAAAGAAGGCUGACCGCCGAAUAAUUGAUGCUUUUGAAUUAUGGUGCUGGAGGAGACUCUUGAGAGUCCCAUGGACUGCAAGAAGAUCAAACCUCUCCAUUCUGAAGGAAAUCAGCCCUGAGUGCUCACUGGAAGGACAGAUCCUGAAGCUGAGGCUCCAAUACUUUGGCCACCUCAUGAGAAGAGAAGACUCCCUGAAAAGGGCCCUGAUGUUGGGAAAGAUGGAGGGCACAAGGAGAAGGGGAUGACAGAGGAUGAGAUGGUUGGACAGUGUUCUCGAAGCUACCAGCAUGAGUUUGACCAAACUGCGGGAGGCAGUGGAAGACAGGAGUGCCUGGCCUGCUCUGGUCCAUGGGGUCACGAAGAGUCGGACACGACUAAACAACUAAACAACAACAACAACUGCCUCCAGUCUUCCUUCAAAAGACUGGUGAAUGAAGAGUGGGUCUAUAUUUAAAAGAUAUGGCUGGCAUGGGGCACAUCUCUCUGAUUUAUUCCCCCCCACACACCUUAUAAAUAAUUUGUGACCCAAUUUUGCAACUCAGUUAUGACUAAUUGCUGAUUUGUGCAUGCCUGGAUGCUGCAGAAAGGCCAUAGCUCGGUGGUAGAACAUUUGCUUUACACUCAGAAGGUUCAAGGUUCAAUCCCUGGGAGUGUCCCUUGCCAGAAACCCUGGAGAAAGCAAAAAAACAAACCCUGGAGAGUCAGUGUAGACAAUACUGAAUCAGUAUAAGACCGCUUCCUAUGUUCCCAUGUUCACAGGAUCAUACAACACUGGUCCUAAAAGAUCUACAUUGAUCUAGGGUCCGUUUCCGAGCACAAUUCAAAGUGUCGGUGCUGGCCUUUAAAGUCCUAAAUGGCCUUGGCCUUGUACAGUGGUACCUCGGGUUAAGAACUUAAUUCGUUCCAAAGGUCUGUUCUUAACCUGAAACUGUUCUUAACCUGAAGCACCACUUUAGCUAAUGGGGCCUCCCACUGCUGCCGCCAUGCGAUUUCUGUUCUCAUCCUGAAGCAAAGUUCUUAACCCGAGGUACUAUUUCUGGGUUAGCAGAGUCUGUAACCUGAAGCGUCUGUAACCUGAGGUACCACUGUAUACCUGAAGAAGUGUCUCUGCCUCUAUCAUCCAGUCUGGACACUGAGGUCCAGCUCUGAGGGCCUUUUCGCGGUUCCCUUGCGGCAAGAAGUGAGGUUACAGGGAACUUCUCGGUAGGGCCUUCUCGGUAGUGGCGCCCUCCCUGUGGAACACCUUCCCACCAGAUGUCAAGGAGAUAAACUACUAUCUGACUUUUAGAAGACAUCUGAAGGCAGCCCUGUUCAGGGAAGUUUCUAAUGUUCGAUGUUUUACUGUAGUUUUAUCAUUCUUUGGAAGCUGAGUGGCAGGGACAGUCAGAUGGGUGACAUAUAAGCAACAGCAGCAGCAACAAUGUCUUUCUAAAGUAUCAUUGAGCUCCUAGAUUUGAUUUGCAAAGUGGAAGAGGUGCAAAGGUUCCUCCAUCUUCCCUGGGCACAUAGCCUCACAUUGUGAAGCAAGUUCUAUUAAAUAAGGCCAUUGGCCCAUCCUGCUCAGAAUUGGCAACAACUCUUUAGGGUUUCAGGCAUAGGUCCGAUCUGGAGAUGAAUGCAUGCUGAGCAGCUGGUGCAGACAUUAUCUAAUGGCUUGAAGCUGAACAUGUGAACAACUACCAUGGAAAAGCAGGAAGAAGAGGUGGCAGGGAAACCAUCUGCAGUGUGGCCUGCCAUGCCAAAAAGCUGAAGUUAAGGUUCAACAUAUCUGGAGUGGCAAUGAAAUACUAUUUCUGUAUGGGCAAGCACUUACCGGUCAGGGAUAAAUAAGACUUUAUUGUGGUGGUAUGUUUUUCAAAUGUGUCCUCGUAUAUUUUAAAUGUAUUGUUUCAUGCUUCUUAUUUUUAUGUAGUAAUCUUAUUUUUUUAUAAGGUUGCUACCCACUCGGGGUCCAUGUGGAUGAAGUGAAUUAUCAGUGUAAUGAAUAAAUAUAAAUUCCAGGUUUUGUUGUUUGCUUUAUUCCCUCCUUUUUACAAUGGGUUGUAUUUCUGUGAACCUUCACCAGACAGGCUAAGCUAUAGCUUAUGACCAUUUCACACAUUAUGUAAAGGAAAAUGGGCAACUCUCACAGCUACCCUGGGGCAGGGAGAAGGGAAAAUACAGACCAAUAGCUCUGGCUCUCUGAUGUUUAUAUGCAUGCCGUGAAGAGUUUCAUCUUUGGAUUUUUGCAGAUUGGCUUCAAACACACAGUAGAAGAGCAGGCCUUUUUCCUGGUCACUUGAUAACUCUCCUUAAAAACCAGGUUAAUAGAAGCCAGUUCCUCUACAUCACUCAUCUUAGCAUGCAGGUGACAGCUCCUUGCUUUUCACCAGAUUUUCAUCAUGUCUAAAACAAGCCCCCCUCCCUUCGUACAUCCCCAAUGCUUGUCAAGGUCUUCCUUUGCUCUCUGAUAGCCCCAGUGACUUCAGUUUCCACCAAGGCAACACUUUCACAGGAUGAAAGAGUUGGUUCUGCAGCACAGGAUGCAACUGUAGCAUCCCUGACCUGUGACCAUCCAGCCUCUGCUUGAAGACCUCCACUGAUGGAGAACCCAUCAACUGCCCAUGCACUCUGCUGUCAAACAUUAGAAAAAUUCUAAUCAAGUUUAACUGAAUUCUGCUUCUCUGAAAUUUCCAACCUUUGAGAGCAACACAGAACAAGUUUGCCCCAUCUUCUUGGGUGAGACUGCUCUUCAGAUCUUUGAAGUUUGCUGUCAUAGGAAUCUGCCUUAUGCUGCUGCAUCUAAUUUAGGAUUGUCCACACUGAUUGCCAGUGGCAUCUCCAACCAUACUUGGAGAUAGCAGGGAUUGAGCCUGGGACCUUCUGCAUGCAAAGAAGAUAAUCUACCCUUGAGCUACAGGCCAUCUUGUCUCCCAGUAUUCCUUCCUUUAAAAAACCCUUCUCUUGACUCAGCAGAGCUCUUAUUACACUGCCACAGAGCUAUGGGCCUUUCCUGGUUAGCUUUGCAACCUUUGCUACUUUGCAAAAUGGAGAAGAAAUUGGUCUUUUAACACAACAAAGAGUCUUGUGACACCUGAAAAACUAGCAAGUUUAUUGUGGCCUGCUUUGUUGUAGGCGGAGUCUACUACCUUCAUUAUAUGCAAGGUCACAAUGAACCCCAACAGGCCUUGGCAGCUUGGACUAAAUAUUCAUCUUGAAAAACCUGGAAUGCUUUUUGCUCCCAGGGUUUUGGUGGGUGGCAAAAACGGGACACUGUGGAAAAGGGUUCCUUGGCCCAGAGGCCUGAAAGGCAUAUUUGGAAAAAAUGCCUGCUUACACACCGUAGUGACCUAGUUCCACCCCCUUCCCCCAGUUGUGUCCUGCCGUGUAGACAUGAGUCAACUCAACAUAGUUCAGUGGGAGAACCCACAUUUUGCAUACAGAAGACCCCAGGUUCAAUCUGCCUGCAUCUCCCAUUAAAAGGAUGACACAGAGGUAGCUUCCGCUGCCUGAGAUCUGGAGACCUGCUGCUAGUCAGAGAUGGUGGCCAGAUGGACAAGUCUGUCAUGGUCUAAGGCAUCUCUCUCUGUGUGUCAGGCCAUUUCCCUGCAAACCCAUUUCUGUGCAGCAGUCGCUGUGCCCUGGCUAAAAGCAGGGACACAAUUGUCUGGGCCACAAUUAAAACUGCGCAUCAACCAUGAGCUCACUGAAUGAUGCACAAAAUGCAUUUCUGCUUCUGAAAUGCCGGUCACAUACUUAGCACCCUCUUCACGUGUCCAGUGUAACUUGCCCACAUCCUGGCCCCAUGAUGUUCUGUGGACUUUGCUGCAGAUCAUUGGUUGCUGCUGAUGGAGCCAUGAAGAGGUGAGGCAACAUUAUGUGAAUGUGUUUUUUGAUUAACUGAGUGGAGGACCAUGAGUCAUGGGGAUGGGGAGAGUGUGUGUGAAUUCAGCUUAGUUUGUUUUGGGUUGUUAGUUUGUUAAUGUUGUUAACAUAGGAUUAUGAGUGCUGUAAUGCUUUGUGCAUUUUAUAACAUGACUUUUCUUGUGGUUGUGCUUUUCAAUCUACUUUCCAAGUUGUCUUGUUAAUAGCAUUUUAUAGAAGGCGGUUGUUUUACUGAUGAUUUGCUGAUGGUUUUAUAUAAUUUAUGGGGCAGUUGUGAUGUUAUUUAUUGCAUGUAAGCCACUUUUUGACUCAUGUGUAGCAUAGAAAUAUAAGAAAUGAAAUGAGUGUUGUGACAUCAGGACAUUGGCGAUUUCUCUACCAAGUAUCAUGAAAGGAGAUGGGAGAGCAAAACAAACAGCUUCUCUUUGCAGCGUCAAUCCUGUGGUUGACCUCAAACUCAAGCCAUUGCUCACAGCAAUACAGACUAUAAGAAUAUUGGCCAACCUUACUUGGUUGUUGAAAAGCAGGGUUGGGGAGCCAGUGGCCCUCAAGAGUUCGUUAACUACAACUCUCAGCUUCCCUGGUCAAUUGCCAUGCUGGCUGGGGCUGAUAGGAGUUGGAGUCCAGCAGCAUCUGGGGGCAACAGAUCCUGGAUAGCUCCAUUAGUUAGAGCCUGGAUAAUGCCAAGGUUGCAGGUUCGAUUCCAGUAUGGGACAGCUGUAUCUUCCUGCAUUGUAGGGACUUGGACUACAUGGGCUCCAGUGUCCCUUCCAACUCUACAGUUCUAUGAUUCCCACCCCCAUUAUAAGGAAUGCUGACAUAAUUUAUGGAAAACACACCGGAAACUUGAAAAGGGAUAUCUAAGUGCUGAGCACAGUUAGCACCACUGUGUCAUAGGGAAUAGUAUGUCAGUACUUGGCAAUGGUUUAAAUACUGAAGAACCCCUUUAGAGAGCAUUCCAUUGGAAGUUUAGAAGGAGACAUAAUCCAUUACUGGGUUCUCCUUGGCGAUUAAGAGGAGGAGGAAAAAUAACAACAACAAUAAAAACCUGAGCCACUUCCCAGGGGGAUAAAAUACAGUUCUUCUGCAUGGCAGGAUCUCACAUGAGUGCUGCGUUGGCUUAGUUGCAUUUCUGAUUACUCUACAUAAUGCCUUGGUCCAGUUCCCCGGAAGGUCUGUCGAACAGCUAAAAGGUUACGAAAAAACCUUCACAGGAGAUUAGCUGAUGCUUAAACAACAAGAGAAAUCAUAAAGUGAGCUCAGAUGCACAGCGACUUUGGGAGCGUUCACGUGCCCAUGCAUGGGAAAGUGUAUUGUUGUAAGCAAAGGGGAAAUGCUUUAGAAGAGUCUCAGAAGCUAUGCUUUCUUAGGAGCAGAAAAGUAAGCAAUGUGUUCCUUUCAGUCUGAUCCAUGACCCAAUUAAGCUAACGCUCUUCCAUCUGAGCUGAUCUCAUCCCUCUUUUAUCACAUCUCAUACUAUUAUUCAUAAAUGAUAAUGCCAAGGGCUGCGUCACUCCUUUAUUUUCCUCGUUCUCGGUUUUCUGAAUUCUUGAGGCCUGUUCCCACAUGCAAGGUCAUUUGCACAAUGGCUGGAGGUUCAGAAACAAUUGCUUUGCCUGUGUGAACGGGCCUCCAUCAACCAAACACUGUGGGCAGAACUUUUGUGCCAGCGAGACUUUCAUGGAAGAACUUCCCACUGAAUUCUACCCUAAGUGAACAAGAUGAGAGCUAAUAAAUAACAACAGAAAACCCACAUUACCAACUACAAUACAUAGCAAAAUACCAUGUAAGUUUUGUGAGGUAGGGAAGAAGAGCCCCUCCCCCUUGUCCUUACACAAGUCAAGAGAGAUGAUAUUGCUUUUUGUCCGUUUCUGGCAUCUCCCAUUCCAACUGCCCAUUCAUUUAUUCAUUUUGCUAUUUAAGCAACCAAACCUAAGGACAGUGCACUCAAAUAACUGCUCCACUGACUUUAGCUAUACCCCUGUUUUCAGUGGCCAACUUGAAAACAUUUCCCACUGAGAACUAAAUCAGCUUGGUUCUAUGCACUUGGCCUCAACUGAGUUGGGGAAGCAGCUCUUCUAAGUUCUUCCAGAUUCACAUCUGUUCAUAUUAUAGCAAAGGGUCCCUCAUUAGGGAUGAAAUGAGCUUACACUCAAGCUCUGUGACUUAAACUGCAUUGGGAGAUCAGGCUGCUUUAUCAUCUCCUGCAAAAGCAAGUAAAUAAAUGUAUUUACAACUAGUUAAAGUAAAUAAAUAAAUGUAUUCGUAUUUAGCUAAAAUUAGAUGAGCAGCGAAAGGAGAAAAAUUGAGAGUCUUGGCCCUUCUGCCAGCUCCCUCUCCUUUCCCACUCCACAUCCUCCUAUCCAUUGCAGAGGCCAUGACUUCAAGCAGAGCAAGGGGAGGGACAAGACCUGCUGUCUCAAAACUGGCUUGGCUCCCCAUUCUCCUGAACCAGAAUAGCAUUCAGGCUUGGAGGAGGAGAUAAGGAAGGCUUUUCCUUAUCAACCCAGAAAGUAAGUUCAAGGUGGAAGAAGAGAAAAAGGUAUGAGGUCCACACUCCUUCCUUACUUUCUCUUCUUCCCUAAACUUUCUUUCUUUCUUUCUUUCUUUCUUUCUUUCUUUCUUUCUUUCUUGGGAGGGAAGGGUAGUGUUGAAAACAUAUUGCCCCACACCUAUAAACUCGCUGCUCCUCUCAGGAGGUGGGAUCCCACUUAUCAGAGGCUGUGGAAAGGUACUGACCCCCCCAAGUGCAGCACGUAACUUUUCUCCUGGGAAAUAAUUGCUGCCACUUAUUUAGAUGACAGGAUUAAAGGCAUGCACAGGUUCCACGGGAGCGGGUGAGCUAGGAUCCAAACCUGCCACAUGUCCCUACUGGUCCCUCUGCCUUUGCCUCCUUUCAGCUGCGUUUACUGACUGGGAGCCAUGGGGAACUAAGUCUGCCCCCACUUGCAUUGCCCACCCCAGGUUCUGUUUCUUGGUCACAGCUCAGCAUGAUGGAACAUUAGGGAAGUGGGGCAGAAUGUCAGGAGCUUAGAUAGGAAGGUAAAUAGAUGGCUCCGACUCAAAGGAAUCAUCCAAUGAAUACCCUCAAGUAACCACAUGACGCCAGGAUGACGUGGCAGGGGGACUAUUUUAAUAUCUGUUAACAAUCAAGCAAUGGCUCUGUGUGCGUGAUCACGCUAUGAUUUUCCUGCACAGAAAAGUUGCAUUUUGUUCCAUUGGGAGGAGACGGGGGGAAAGCAUGUGAUUCUGCCACAGAGUUGAAUAUUCACAGGCAUGCAAGGGAAGCAGAAGGAAACAAACCCUUAUUGGUUUCUUCCAAGACGUUGCAUCCUGGCUCCUUAUGUGAUAUGCUAUUUAUACUGGUCUAAAUAUAGAUCUAGAGUUGAUUAGUGAACCUUCAGCAAAAAACAAACAAAGCACACACACACACAAAACCUUCCCAGGGUUCUCCUGGGGUGAGCAAACUGGCCUGCUUUCGCAACUUUGAUUCUUAUUUUUGCUGGCCAGAGGCUAGCCUUCAGAUGUUUAUCUGUUCCUCUCCUGCAGACAUAUGAGAUAUACACACUCCUAAUACACGAUCAACAACCUAGCAAAGCCAACGGGAAUAAAGCAUGCUUAACAAAAGGUUAGCAGAAGGGAGAAAGUACUUUGCCAGCUGCAUUUGUAGCUGUGGUAUACACCAGUCUUUUCUUUCUUUCUUUCACAGGUUAGGCAAAGAGCAAAGCAGUCUUGUUUUCCCUGCUGAGUGUCCUGCAACACCCCCCCCCCCCGGUUAAUAAUCUGCCUUCUGAGCAAUAUGUAUGACCUUACAAAAGAUACGUGCAUACGAGCAAGCACCCGGCAAUCUCACAGCCAUGACAACUCUUAAACUUUAAUUCCUACAAUGACCCCCUUCCUUCUCUCUCUCUCUCUCUCUCUCACACACACACACACACACAUUCUCCUUCUUCUUUUGUCUGCCAUUAAUUAAAGUAGACAUAUGGAGGAAGCUGAUAAUAAGAACAGAUGAGCCAAUGAGAGAGAGAGAGAGAGAGAGAGAGAGAGAGAGAGAGAGAGAGGCUGGCUGUAAUUAUUGGAGAGACAGAGAACUUCGCCCAAAGUGGAUCUCCAAGAAACCACAAGCAAAUGGGACCCAGCCAGAGAGCAAGAACACAAAAUUAUAAUACUUGUGUUGACAGCUGGUUGAGUCAUACAGGAACCUUUUCCUCCUCCCCUGGCAGAGGUAGGAAAUAGCUGUCAUGAAAAACCGUGGGUCAUUCCCCAGCUAGUCCAGCCUCCAGCUCAAAACAGGGAAUUGUGAUGAAUGUGAAAAUAAACAACCCUUCUUCAGUUCAACAAUAGACCUCCCAAUGGGAAACAAACAAAUGGCUCAGAAACAGACAAAGGCCUCCCUUGCUAGUUUUGGUGUAAUAUCGUCAUCUUCUGCUUUGUCAAUCUGGUCCUUAAAAACUUCCAUUAAAUCCCACCUCCUAACUAUUGAUUCAGAGGUUGAGGUUGCAAUCCUGUACUCACCCGGGACCAAGCCCCAUCAAAAACAAUGGGACUUAUUUCUGAGAAGGCAUGCACAGGAUUGCACUGUCAGACGUGCAUGGGAAAGUCAUGGAAAAGGCUCUGAAUGAAGCCCCAACUCCUAAAUACUUCCUGACCAAUCUUAUCAUUUCACGGGGGGGCGGGGGGAGCUGCCUGCAGUGAAAUAACCAAACAAUCCAAGCAAUAAAAGCAAUGAAGUAUAAAGAGUAAAAUGUCCCUUUUGUUUCUGGACAUUAUAUAUGUGGAAGGGAAGCUAAAUUACACAGAAAACCAGAGCCAUAAACUAGUAAAACCAGCCAGCACUCCCCUAGUUGUUAUUCUUAACGCUGCAAAGUAACUUGACUUCCUAAAUGCCUGACACUUUUAAAACAGUCUCUUACUUUUUAACCUUACCCUGUUUUAGUUUUACCCUAGAACAUCAGGGCAGAACUGUAAAGUCUCCCACUCUUAUCACCGAUACAGGGAAGGGGGGAAAAGAAUUGUGGAAAAUAAUGGAUCUUUAAAAUCUUUUCCAACAACAACAAAUUAUCUUCCUCCCGAUUCGCACGAGAUUGCCAGAAAUGAGAAAGCAAGACCGUAGAACUGCUGUCUGCGACUUCAACCCGAAAACAGGGAAUUUCAGCACCAUGGACGGCGGCAACUUUUCCGGGAGUGUGUCAAGUAAGGGAACGAAACAGACAUUCGGGGCGGUUGCCUCUUCCUCCGCCCGCAAUUUUCUCUCUCUCUUCCGCUUUGGGAUCCCUCCCCAGGUGAGAGAGUAUCAAAGUCCACAGACUAGUCUCUCUACUUUUUUUUUUUUAAAAAAGAAACGCUGAGAAACUUUAAAGGCAGCGAGCAAAAAGGAAAGAAAGAUCUCGCCUUUCCACCCCCGUUGCCCUGUCUUCGUCUCUUCUCGCUCUUCCAGUCAUCUUUCCACAAUUGCAACGAGAUCCAAAGCGCGCCCGCGAGAAAAACUCGGCCAUCAAAGAUCCAGGAAUGGGGGGGGGGGGGGAAUAACAAUAAGCAAAUAGGCCGUCAAAUACAAAAAGACACCCCACCACCACGGGGACGGUUCCUCCAAAGCGAUCCCUACAGAUCGGGACAACCUCUAGAACUAUCCGGAUAUAUAUAUAAUUUUUUCCUCUCUCUCUUCUCAAACACUCUCUUUCCCACCCUCCAGAAACCACCCGAAGAAUACGGCGAUCAUUGCUUAUUAAUAUUUUUUUCCUUCUUAAAAACCAACACAUACACAGUUGAUAAAUAUGUGCCUUUUGUCCGCGCAAACAAACAAACAAACAAACAACAGAGCAUAACAUUGACUUACCUUUGCUCACAGCCUAUUGUCUGUCUCUUUUCAAAAUGACAUCACGGAAAGCAAUCAUGAAAUUUACAUGGGGUGGUGGGUGGGUGGAGAUGGGGGGGAGCGGGAGAGUUGGAAGGUGGAGAGGUUGGAAAGGGGGGGGGGGAGAGGUGGAGAGGAGAGAGAGCACUUGCUGAAAGCGGCCCCCCCUCCCCACUCCCUUACGCCGGGAACAUGCGUGGAAGAAGGUUCGUAGCUUUCAAUUAAAACCGCUGAUAAGUCUUUAGUGUGUGAACUCUUUAAGCUCGCUAAAGGCAGUGUCUCACUUAAUGAUCGCUCUCAUUAAUGGGAAUGGCGGGGGGGGGCGGUGGAAAGGAGGAGGAGGACGUGGAUGCGGGGGGGCCGCUCUUCUCCUUCCCUUUGUAAAUACACUACCCAUCAACCCUUUGGGCUUGCAAUAUAUCUGUUUACUCUCCGAGGUGAAAUAAAUCUACAGUACAGGAAGGAGGGGAGAAAAAAAAGAGAAAGACAUGGAGGUGCUGACUUUUUUCCCUUUGGAGGGGGGUGAGCGUGGGAGGGAGCCCCAGAAUAUAUUUCCCCCUCUUUCCACCACUCCUCGGGCUCUAACAGAAGGUGGAAGAUCUCCCCUCGGCCCCCCCUCAAAAUCCAAUCUGAUCCAUAAUUAAUAUGCAGCAUGGGUUGAAAGUCCUUUUAUGCAAAGGAGACAAAAGGAGCUGGGAAGGUUACAACUGUCAGCUUAAUCCCCCCCUCCACAUUUCCAGCCUAUGGUACAGUCCCAUAAUUUCUAAUAGCAACAAGCAGGGAAUGACAGAUGCCCCGGCUUAGCCCAGCUGCAGCGAAAGUACUUUACAAUGUUUAUUGGUGGUUAGAAAAGAUGACCCAUCGCCAUAAAGAACAGGGUGGGGAAUUCACGACCAGAGGCAAGUUGGGAGACCAGCAGUGGUUGAGCUAAUAUAUUGAAAAGUCCAGGAGUUUGGCUGGAUAUGUAGGCACACAACACAACACAGCAUACACUUCCCAUGCAAAUUAUAGUAAUCUUGGAGUUGCUGCAUCAGUUUAAAAAAAAUCCGCAAAGUUUAUCCAGAUGAGUAAAAGGGAAGUUUGUUCUUGUCUUUACCUCCUUCCACCAUCAGAUCCACCUUUCUCAAAACAAGUUCUCCUUUCCUCUACUAGAGGGCUUUAGGAAUUUGGUUGCCUUCAAGGGAGCAGACUGGAUCCAUGAGGCGCAGGAAAGUUCUCCCUCACAAGCCCAAUCGAAAUGGACAGCAGAAGCAAAAGAGCAUUGUUCAAUAGGGCUUUGGCAAAAUAAUGUCUCAGAUGGAUUGGGUCCCAUUUCGAUUUGUAUGUCUGUGUGUAUGUGUUUUAGGUUUCCUGUCUCAGGAACCCAAAUUUCCUUGGCUGGACCAGGUUGUAGGCAAUGUUUGGUUCUAAGAAAUGUGGCACAGAUGUGUGUGUGUGUGUGUGUGUUUGUGUUGUGUAAAUAUGACUCUGAUGCCAUAUUUGAUGGAUUAUGGUUGAGCCGGCCACUAUCCUUGAUCUCAGUAUUGAGUGGAAGAAAAGUCAAUGCCAUAUUUUUAUCAGAACAAUGCCUUCAAAGUUCUGGUGAGUCUUGUUAAAAACACAGCAUCAAAAGAGUCCUAGCAAGCUUGUUGUGAAAGGCUUCUGAACCACUUAGGACUGUGUUUAGUGAUUUAUAUAACAAAUGGCCCAGAGAAUGGAUAUGUCACUGGGCUUGAACUUUUGGAGAUUUGUGUUUAAAUACCUUCUCUGCCAUUGUCUUAUUUGUUUGGCCUUGGUCAAAUCUCUCUUGGUCUCACAACUGUGAUAAACUAGUUCAAAGAGCUGUUGUGAGGGAAAGGCAAGUUAAGACUCUAAUUCUGGUUAAGGUGUUAGCAGUGUGCUUGAGAAUGAGAGCUGGUGUAAUGUACAAUAUUGGCUCACAUUUAAAGCCUUAGCCACAAAUUCACUAGUUAAGUCUUGACCAAGACAUUAUAAUGGCCAGGGAGAUUGCGGUUCAGCUCAGCCUCAGCUUCCUGAGUAAACUCUGAUCAUAUGGGUGACUACAGUUUGGUGAAAAUGGACUUGUGGGGCAAAUUAAGACCCCUUUGUUUUUCCUUGCCUUAGUGUCAACAUUUUGACUUAAAGGGGGAUCAAAUAUGCUUUGUUUCAUGCAUGAGUUAAAUUCUAGGAAUUGGUUAACAUCUGCAUAUUACAAUUUUUAUUAUUACUACAAAUUAUUACCCACCCUUCAUCCUAAAGUCUCUGGAUGGGUUACAACAAUUAAAACACAUUUUUUAAAACAACAACAACCCCCAGUUAAAGUUAAGUUGUUACACAAUGCUUGCUAUUUGAUUCUUUCCUCAGCAUAGAAUCAUAGAAUCAUAGAAUCAUAGAGUUGGAAGAGACCACAAGGGCCAUCGAGUCCAACCCCCUGCCAAGCAGGAAACACCAUCAGAGCACUCCUGACAUAUGGUUGUCAAGCCUCUGCUUAAAGACCUCCAAAGAAGGAGACUCCACCACACUCCUUGGCAGCAAAUUCCACUGUCGAACAGCUCUUACUGUCAGGAAGUUCUUCCUAAUGUUUAGGUGGAAUCUUCUUUCUUGUAGUUUGGAUCCAUUGCUCCGUGUCCGCUUCUCUGGAGCAGCAGAAAACAACCUUUCUCCUCCUCUAUGUGACAUCCUUUUAUAUAUUUGAACAUGGCUAUCAUAUCACCCCUUAACCUCCUCUUCUCCAGGCUAAACAUGCCCAGCUCUCUUAGCCGUUCCUCAUAAGGCAUCGUUUCCAGGCCUUUGACCAUUUUGGUUGCCCUCCUCUGGACACGUUCCAGUUUGUCAAUGUCCUUCUUGAACUGUGGUGCCCAGAACUGGACACAGUACUCCAGGUGAGGUCUGACCAGAGCAGAAUACAGUGGCACUAUUACUUCCCUUGGAUCUAGAUGCUAUACUCCUAUUGAUGCAGCCCAGAAUUGCAUUGGCUUUUUAGCUGCCGCGUCACACUGUUGGCUCAUGUCAAGUUUGUGGUCAACCAAGACUCCUAGAUCCUUUUCACAUGUACUGCUCUCAAGCCAGGUGUCCCCCAUCUUGUAUUUGUGCCUCUCAUUUUUUUGCCCAAGUGCAAUACUUUACAUUUCUCCUGUUAAAAUUCAUCUUGUUUGUUUUGGCCCAGUUCUCUAAUCUGUCAAGGUCGUUUUGAAGUGUGAUCCUGUCCUCUGGGGUGUUAGCCACCCCUCCCAAUUUGGUGUCAUCUGCAAAUUUGAUCAGGAUGCCCUUGAGUCCAUCAUCCAAGUCGUUGAUAAAGAUGUUGAAUAAGACCGGGCCCAAGACAGAACCCUGUGGCACCCCACUAGUCACUCUUCUCCAGGAUGAAGAGGAACCAUUGAUGAGCACCCUUUGGGUUCGGUCAGUCAGCCAGUUACAAAUCCACUGAGUGGUAGCAUAGUCAAGACCGCAUUUUACCAGCUUCUUUACAAGAAUAUCAUGAGGCACCUUGUCAAAUGCCUUGCUGAAAUCAAGGUAGGCUACAUCCACUGCGUUCCCUUCAUCCACCAGGCUUGUAAUUCUGUCAAAAAACGAGAUCAGGUUAGUCUGACAUGACUUAUUUUUCAGAAAUCCAUGCUGACUAUUGGUGAUCACAGCAUUCCUUUCUAGGUGCUCACAGACUGUUUGCUUAAUGAUCUGCUCCAGAAUCUUCCCUGGUAUUGAUGUCAGACUGACUGGGCGGUAAUUAUUUGGGUCCUCUCUUUUCCCCUUUUUGAAAAUAGGGACAACAUUUGCCCUCCUCCAGUCUGCCGGGACUUCGCCUGUUCUCCAGGAAUUCUCAAAGAUGACUGCCAGUGGUUCUGAGAUCACAUCUGCCAGUUCUUUUAAUACUCUUGGAUGCAGUUCAUCUGGCCCUGGAGACUUGAAUACAUCUAAACUAGCCAAGUAUUCUUGUACUAUCUCCUUAGUUAUUCUGGGCUGUGUUUCCUUUGCUGAAUCAUUUGCUCCAAAUUCUUCAGGUCGGGCAUUGUUUUCUUUAUCGGAGAAGACUGAGGCAAAGAAGGCAUUGAGGAGUUCAGCUCUUUCUGUGUCCCCUGUUUGCAUUUCACCAUCUUCUCCUCUGAGUGACCCCACUGUUUCUUUGUUCUUCCUUUUGCUACGAACAUACCCAUAAAAGCCUUUUUGUUGCUUUUAACCUCUCUAGCAAGCCUGAGUUCAUUCUGUGCUUUAGCUUUUCUGACUUUGGGUCUACACGUGCUGGCUAUUUGUUUGAAUUCCUCUUUGGUGGUUUCCCCCUUUUCCAUUUUUGUACACAUCCUUUUUUUAAUCUUAACUCAGUUAAAAGUUCUUUAGAUAGCCACCCUGGCUUCUUUAGGCACCUUCCAUGUUUCCGUCUCAUUGGUAUUGCCUGAAGUUGUGCUUUUAGUAUCUCCCUCUUAACAAACUCCCAGCCAUCAUGAACUCCCUUUCCUUUUAGUAUUACUGUCCAUGGGAUCUCACCCAGCACUUCCCUAAGUUUUAUGAAGUCAGCUUUCUUAAAGUCAAGAAAUUGAGUCCUAGUAUGCUUGGCUGCUCCUUUCCGCUGUAUAGUAAACUUCAGAAGAGCAUGAUCACUUGCGCCUAAUGAUCCUUCCACUUCUACCCCACUAACCAGGUCAUCAACAUUGGUUAGGACCAGAUCUAAAAUGGCUGUUCCUCUUGUUGCUUCUCCCACUUUCUGGACAAUGAAGUUGUCUGCAAGGCCAGUGAGGAAUCUGUUUGACCUUAUGCUCUUGGCUGAGUUUGACAUCCAACAAAUAUCCGGGUAAUUGAAGUCCCCCAUUACUACUAUCUCCCUUCCUUUUGCAUGCUUGGCCAUCUGUUCCAGGAAGGCAUCAUCUAUGUCCUCCGUUUGGCUUGGGGAUCUAUAGUAAACUCCCACAAUGAGGUCACUGUUAUUCUUCUCUCCCUUAAUUGUGACCCAAAUGCUCUCACUUUGGCUUUGAGGUUCUAAAUCUUGGAUCUCUUCACAGGUAUACACAUCCCUGACAUAUAACGCCACUCCUCCUCCUUUCUUGUCUGGUCUGUUUCUCUGAAAUAGAUUGUAUCCCCCCAUUAUUACAUUCCAAUCGUGGGACUUAUCCCACCAGGUUUCAGUGAUGCCUAUUAUGUCAUAUUUAGUUUGCUGUACCAAGAGCUCAAGCUCAUCUUGUUUAUUUCCCAUGCUUUGCGCAUUAGUGUACAGACAUUGAAGUCCAUUAAUCAUUCCCCGUGACUCUUAUUUAAGGAUUUUUCCUCCCACCACUAGGUCUGUGUGCUGUUUGCUCCAUUUGGUCUAUGACAUUUGGAUGAUCAUCUUCAUCAAUUGAUAGACUCCUACCUUCAGGAGCACUAUCUCCCUCCCCACAUUAGUCAGUUUAAAGCCCUCCUGAUGAGGUUUCUGAGAUUUUGGCAAAAACAUUUCUCCCAACCGUUGUGAGGUGCAGCCCAUCGCUUGCCAGAAGUCCAUCUUCAAGAAACUGCAGUCCGUGAUCUAAGAAUCCAAACCGUUCCUGUUUACACCAUUUGCGAAGCCAGCUGUUCACUUCCACUAUUUUCCCCUCUCUCCCUGGGCCACGUCGUUCAACUGGGAGGACAGAUGAGAUCACAAUUUGUGCAUUUAAUUGCUUCAAUUUCCUGCCCAGAGCCUCGUAGUCUCUUUUGAUCUUCUGGAGGCUAUUGCUUGCAGUGUCAUUGGUUCCCACAUGAACCAAGAGGAAGGGGUAUUUGUCAGUGGGUUUUAUGAUUCCUUGCAGUCGUUCAGUUACAUCUUGGAUCUUAGCCCGGGGAGACAGCACACUUCCCGAGACAUCUUGUCAGGCCCACAGAUCACUGCUUCUGUUCCCCUCAGUAGGGAAUCCCCUAUCACCACUACACGCCUCCUCUUAGGUUUGGCCGGGGUUCUUCCGUGAGCUGUCCGCUCCAAGGUCGCCUGCACAUUCCCUGAGGACUGACUUUGCUGCUCGUCUUCAUAUACCUGAUCGACUGUAAUGAGGGAGAGAUCCUCAAAUGGAGUCUGCUCUUCGUCUUCCAUGCUAGGGAGAGGACCUCAAAGCGAUUGUGUAUUUCUACACAAUCAGAGCGAACCCUGGGCCUCCUACUUCUUUGAGUCACGUUUCUCCAUAUAUCGGGCUCCUGUGUUGGUGAACUAGCGUCCUUCUCAGGGAGUCCCCUGUCUCCUCCUUGGUGGAGACGGUGUGCUCUGUUGCUUCCAAGAAGAGCUCCAGCUCUCUAAUUCUUUGGAGCGUAGCUACACGUUCCUCCAGUUGCUGGACUUUGUCUUUUAAGAGGGCAAUCAACAUGCAAUUGCUGCAGGUAAAGCUGCCUGCAACCUUUGGCAAGAUGGCAAGCAUUGCGCAGGAACCGCAGGCGACUGCAGCUGUUCCCUGCAGCUGCAGCAUGGAAUGCCCAUCAUCUAAACAUGUGAACUAUCUCCCUUGAAAAGUAUUGUGCUUUGAUUUUGAUCGGAUGAUAUGAAAGUCCUAUCAUUUGACAGGCCCUUGCUCACACAUGCAAGCCAACACUUGAAGGUACAGUCAGCAAGCCAUCAGCAUGCAUGUGUGAAUUAGCACCAAGAGCCUGUAGGGGAUAUCUGGACAGCAAAUUCCUACAGCUAGCCAACCUCAAAGACCUGGUUCUUACACAUUGUCUGUAUGAAUCCUGACCAUAGUCAGACUCAGUGACCAAUUCUUGAAAAACACCAUAUACAACAUACACACAUUUUCAUUGGAAGAGCACAAACACAGAACCCCAGAAUUCUGUCUGAUAAAUGUGCAUACUUGUAAACUGUAAGAGUGUCACUGGAGGUCCUUGGCUGUUGUCCCUUUAUAAAGUCAUGCAUGCCAAAAACUAAGCAAUUGCUGUUGGGGUGUUUUCCCAUUUUGAUACCCAGACAGUGAAUCCCACAUAUAUAACUCCAUGAAAUAGACUAUUGGAAUUCCUAUUUUACAAAUCGGAAAGUAAACUCAUUUUCCCCACCUGAAUUGGAGUUGAAACUUAGAUGUAAGUUGGAUAGCGCAGUGACUUGCAAUCAACUCUGCUACCUUUAUAUUGCAACGCCAUGCUUGUUUAUUCAGAAGUUGGUCCAACUGAUGUCAAUGGAACAUCAAGGUAAGUGUGCUUAGGAUAACAGUCUUACUUAGAGCACUAGUAUGUGUGUAUUGAUGGGAUAUCAGUGUGUUGAUGGGAUAUCAGAAGUCUUCAAGACACCAUCCCAUCAACCUUGUGGAUAGAAAAUAGAAUCUAUCAGCUGUACACACACACACACACACACACACACACACACACGGCUUAGACCAUGAGUCUACAACUAUCUACUUCAACUAGCAGGUCUUCAGGAUUUGAGGGAAACCUUCCAGCAGCCUCUGUUGCUUCUAGGUCAGGGGUCAGCAAACUUUUUCAGCAGGGGGCCGGUCCACUGUCCCUCAGACCUUGUGGGGGGCUGGACUAUAUUUUGAGGGGGGAAAUUCCUAUGCCCCACAAAUAGCCCAGAGAUGCAUUUUAAAUAAAAGCACACAUUCUACUCAUGUAAAAUCACACUGAUUCCCGGACCGUCCGUGGGCCGGAUUUAGAUGGUGAUUGGGCUGGAUCUGGCGCCCUGGUCUUAGUUUGCCUGUCCAUGUUCUAGGUGGAGAAACAGUGAAUAGAACCAUCUAUAAACAAAGUCCAUGCUCUAUUACUCAACUGCAGCCCCUCCCCAAACAGUAAGGCAAUCUAUUUCCCCCAGGCAGGGCUUGCCCAAUACAGUGGUACCUUGGUUUACGAACUUAAUCCCUUCCGGAAGUCUGUUCUUAAACCAAAGCUUUCUUAAACCAAGGCGUGCUUUCCCGUAGCAGCGGGGGACUCAAUUUACAAAUGGAACACACUCAACAGGAAGCAGAACGUGUUCUGCUUCAAAGGCAAAGUUCACAAACCAAAACAUCUACUUCCAGGUUUGCAGCGUUCUUAAUCAAAGUUGUUCAUAAACUAAGCUGUUCUUAAACCAAGGUACCACUGUAUACUACUUCAGCUAAAGACCCAUAUUUAAUAAGGUUACUCCAGUCUCUGAAAUUAACAACUUCUAUUGCCCCCAAACUUUUGCCUCUAUUAGUAACCACAACUAUUAGGGGAUCCCUUGAUCGAUUCUUCUUUUUCAGAAGUUCAAUCUAUUUUUUUUUUAGGCAAGUGACUUUUAGAUUCUGCUCAAAUAAGUUAACAUUGUUUCAAGUUCUCUUUGGGCCUGUCUCUGAAUGCACGUAUUCAAAUGGACCAGAAAACCCAGGAAAGACUUGCAACGGCCCAUUUCAGACAUUGAAAUCCCCCCUUUUUUUCUUGCAAGCUCAGCCAUUAACAUAAAAGGAUGUGUUCAGCUGAGAGUACUCCUAAAAAAACACACAAAAAAAACCCCCUCUAUCGCCUUUGACCAUGCUGUGAAGACAGGGAUAUUUUACAUCCUAAACCUCUGGCAUUCAGAAAUUCUAUUAAAGCCUUAUCAUCAGGCACCAGGCACGGUGCUUUAACUGCAUUUCAUUGUUCUGUAUUCAAGAUAGAAUCAAAGGGAGGGGAAAGGCAGGAUCAACUUUAUCCCGUGAACAAUGCUAGAUGGUCCCCUUGACUGCUAUUUAAUUCAGAUCUGUAAUGCUCCAACUUGGAAAACAAAAGCAAAAUAUUGUGGGAAGUAGGAAGGCUAGGAGUGUGAUUGUGUGUGCAUGUAUAGGCCCACACACUCCUAUGCUAAUUUAAAUAUAUUUCAGAACAAACACAUAGACCCACAAGGAAGAGAGAGACACAGAGACGCAUGCUCAUGUCAUUGUUUUCCGAAGUACUCCAAAGUGUAUAGUUUUGUUUUUUCCUUGUCCAUGAUCAUGGGACAAUUACAUAUGGAGGAACAGCCAUUGAUCAAGCCAAACGCAUUAUAUUAAGCAGCUUGGGGAUACUCUGAUAAUACAGCUAAUUUCAAGAUUUACUGCUUUUCGGAGCCAAGCGACAAAAAUAUUUAACUUUUCCAAUAUGAUAUUAAGAUUUCUUGACGUCAUGUCAUUUGUGAAUGUGACUAUCGAGAGGAUCAUGUUCAUAUCCAACUGUCACACAUCUUUCAUGGGCUAAUUCCCCCCAGUCAUAGUUAAGAACACAUUUAAAUCUCUUCCACCUAAGUCACUCAGACUACAAAGAACAUUUGGCUGGAUCUGUGCCUAGAUCAUCAUCAAAAUACAUUGGUAUGGCAAUAAUGUUUGAUGUUUCCUCCGGUUUAUCAAAACAAAAAGCAUCUGGCUAAGCAUGAGUGAUUGCAUCAGUAAUAAUACUUCACAUUCAUUCUGCAGCUCUUGAUUAUUCACUAGUUUUGAUUUUCAGGUCAAAACUCAUGAUUUCAGGGCAAACUUCAGUCAUGAAUAUUCACCUUUUGCAAUGUAGUUUGCCACUAUAGUUCCCCUGGUUACUGACAUUGUUUCCACUUGGCUGCUGCUCCUUCAGUGCCAUUUGCUCUCUGAUUGUUGCUCUAUUAUCCUCCUCAGAUUAGUCAUGUGGGGGAUUCUACCCAAUCAGGAAGCCCAUAAUGAAUGGGGUGACAUUAUGGUGUGAUGUAGCCAGUUCAGUUUGGAUAUGUGAUGGCAUCACUGAGGUUGACUAAGAUGGACAACAACUCAAAAUGAAUAAAUAUUACCUAUUGUCGCCCCAAAGUGCCCUUCUGGAAGAUGUUUUUCAGGCUGCCCAAAAGGUCUAUUGAUUAUUAUGCCUACUCCUAUCUUUUAUUGGGCGUUUUUUGUAGUAAAAAUAAUAAUUCUUAACAUUUUUUAGCACCUGCAUAUGAUCAAUCUCAUAGUGAUUCACAUUUCACAGGCAGUCUAAGGCUAUACUUUAAAUGUAUUGUGAUGCCUGAAGAGGACUAGGGUCAUCUGAUGAAACUCGUUGACAAUCGGUUCAGGAUAGACAAGAGAAACUACAUCCUCACUCAACACAUUGUUAAUUUGCAGAACUCAUCACCACAUGAUGAGGUGGCUACUGUUUAGAUGGCUUUUGAAGGGCUUUAGACAAAUUCAUGAAGGGGAAGAGAUCUCUCAAUGGCCGUUAGCCUGGCUAGCUCUGCUGAACCUCCUUGUUCAGGCACAGUGUUUUUUCACUCAGUAUCAAUGUCUGUCAAUAUCAAUGUCUGUGGAGCAACAACAGGAGAGAGGUAUUGCCUCCACACCCUUUUGUCUUGGGCUUCCAGGAGUCAUCUAUCUGGAUGUUGUGAGAAAGAGGAUGCUCAACUAUGUGGACCUUUGGUCCUACCAAGCAUUGAUCUAUAUCUGGCAUCCCCAAACUUGGCCCUCCAGAUGUUUUGGGACUACAAUUCCCACCAUCCCUGACCACUGGUCCUGGAAGCCCAAGAUGAUGGGAGUUGUAGUCCCCAAACAUCUGGAGGGCAGAGUUUGGGGAUGCCUGCUCUAUAUGCUGUUAAUGCUCUUUUAAAUAAGAUUAUUACAGAAAGAAAGUCUAAUACUUCGUUUGCUUUUUUACUUAAUGACAAACUGCCAACCCUCAACCAUAGGCUUAGUGCCAGAGAGCACCAAAGGUUCAUUUAUUUUUUUACCAAAAAGGAAAAGAAAAAAGUAAAUGACAGGGCAAUGGACUAAUAUGAGGUCUAAAUCAAUACUUUCCUUUUCUUGAACGGAAGAUUAUGGAUUGGAGUGAUCUAUCCCAAAUUGGGCAAAACAAUCCAAGGCCCCAGACUGCCAUGUUGGAGGAUGAAGUGGAGGUGUACCUCCUCCCAGUUCUGCUUGGUUUUGCCAGGCUCUGGUGGCAGGACAUCUCCAAGGAAUUCUGCAAUGAACUUGCCACAAGCAUGGCCAGAAACUACAGCUAGUGGUAUCCCAGCUGGUGAUAGCCACCAGAAUUCCAGGAAAAGGGCAUUAUAGGUUCAGGGAAGGGGUGGAGUUUUGUUGGUGCAGGAUUCAUUGAUGUGAUCACUUGUUUCCUUUCCUUUCCCUUUCCUUUCAUAUUUUUAUUCAUCAUUCUGCCUUUUAUUGCACUUCCUAAACAAUAUGGCUGAUUAAACAAUCUAUGGCCUUUUAAUGUUUUUGUGGGAGGGGGUUAUUUGUUUCCGUUUGCUGCAGUUAUGAUUUUAUGUAUUUUGUCUUUCCUGUUUGUAUUUUUUAUUCUGUAAACCGCCCUAUGAACUUCAGAUGAAGGGUGGUAUAUAAAUUUAAUAAAUAAAUUCUGGACCAUCCCUGCUUCCAUCACACAGCAGGAAUGGAUUCAGUCUGGGCCUCUUUGCUAUGCUGGCUUGGGACCAGGCAUAACAAAGAAUUGUUUUUCCUGCCCUCACUUUCCACUUUGGCUGGCAUGAGUAGUGGAACUCUGGCUGAAGUGGUGGCUACUAAAUUCCAUUAAGUCCUGCCACUGUUGGCCAAAAGUUUUGGAUUGUGGCCUAAGCCAUUUAAAAUCUCAUUGGGAGAUCACAAAGCAUCUGCCCGGUUUUCUUCAUGUAAUCCGUGGGACUUUAACAUGCGGGAGUUUAACUCUGGCUGGAUCAUGCCCAACAUGUACCAACACAGAAUCAUAGAAAGUCACCAUAAAAGCAGGCAUCAAGGUGGUGGAAGAAAGAAGAGUGAAAAGUAAGAAACAGGAUGCCUGUAGGAUGCUGUCUUUGGCUCCGCACUCAGAUUAUGGCGAUCAUUUCAGACUGUUCCAUGUGUUGGCUCUCUCUGUGCCAAUUCACAGACUGUGGCCCAGCAGAAAGACUGGGUGAUUUUUCUCCCAAGCUAUUGGGGCCCAGUCUGUGCAUCAUAAUGGCCAUAGAUUUGAGGGCACCAGACAGACUUGCUGUAGGCUUGCUUAUUCAUUCAAGAGCAUCAAAUGGCAAAGCUGUUUCUGGGGACAGUAUUGCUUUUGACUGCAGGUGGGCAGUUCUCUCUAUCUCGCCCUGCACCUCACAAAAUGCCACCUUGAACACGUGGAUAAGAAUUCUGCCUAGCCUUCUUCCUCACAUUUGUUUUCCUGUGUUCAUUCAGAGAGGCUUUUUGUGUCUGAUGAGCAAUCAUUCAAAGAUGCCAUUUGAUUCUGAUGAAUCUAUAAGUGUGGCCACAUAGCAGUUGCCCCAUGAGUAGCUACAGUGAAUGCAGUAGUUUGAUAUAUGGGUAAUUCCUGCAGCAUGGUAUGUUUCCAGGCCAUCACUACUUCCAAAAAUAUCUCCAUGCAUAGAAGAACUGUUGUGUUGUCUGUUACAUGGGACGUCCUUGCGGGGAGGGGUGCUAAAUUCAGGAAUUGUCCAAAAGCACUGUUCUAAUCUUCACUCAUCACUGUAAAUUCUAAAACCAGGAUUAAUGGCCACAUUCAGGAUCUGAGUGAAUGACCAGUUCAGCACUCAGAGAUGGACAGCUCCUUUCUGAAUUACACCACAAUUUCCUAAAUGAAAUCUCUCAAAAGUUUGGAACUGAAAACCAGAUGCUGUUAACAGGCAAAGCAAGUACAGUCCUUGAUGAGGCUGCGGUAAUCUACUUUUAUUUCUCAAUAGUUACUAUUUCUGUUCCAGGAAUUUCUGAAAUUAUAUCUACUAUUUCAUUAGUAACACUGGCAGAAAACCUUUAGGGAAACGCUCACAGAUUUUCUUUAAAACUGAGUGGUAAGAAAUAUCUUGAAUAUUAUUUUUAUUAGAAAAUGAGCUGUAAAAAAUGGUGUGUUUGCAUGAUUAUCUACAAGGAAUAAAAACAACGUCCAUGCAUUUAAAGAGACGAAUUCUAAAGUGCAUUAAAUUUUUUAAAAAAGAAAAAUUGAAAUAAAUAAGAGUGGUUUUUAUUUCCACCUAGAUGUGAAAGAAGACUGCAGAAGUAGAAGAGUCUUUACAAAAAAUAAAAAAUAAAAUAAAUGUUUUGGCCUUUGUGAAGAUCGCUGUAAUUAAAAGAACAAUGACUUUCUGCAGAGCCAGACAUACAACUGUGAAGCUGCCGUGGUGCUUCUUAGAAACUCUUUUGUCAUUUAGGCCUCAAACUUAAUGCAUUUGAAAUUGGGUACCAACUUCUCUGCUUACCAGCUGGAAGAAUGGAGGAGCAGGCUGGUGGGGAGGGGGUCGAAAUGGGGGAAAGAGAGGCAAGAUUGUCCCUUAUUUCUUUGUGGACAAGAAAAACGCCCUGUGCAGAUGGGGAGACUUUCCUUAAUGCCUCAGACGGCAAUUAAGAACGCUUUGCCAAGAAGAAAUAGCCCCGCAUUAAUAUUGUAUAUGGAACAGCUGAAGGGCUGGAGUACAUUCUGCCCAGCACAAGCCCCUAGCAGAUGGAACAACAAGACAGAAGGGAGGGGAGGGGAGGGGGAGAAGGAGAGGGGGGAGAACCCAUUUAAUAACCCCCUUCUCUGAGAUGUAUACAAUCACUCCCUUGGAGUAAAAAGUUCUUUGUCUACAAGAAAUUUACAGUUGGAAGCUGAUCUUUUUAAUCUGGUGAUUUCCCUCCUCCCAAAAGCUGCCAACUUUUUUUGUUUUUUUAAAUUUCCUUUUCAAAUGAUCCGCCUGGAAACCCCAAAGCUUCUCCUGUGCUGUUGAUUGCACAGGCAAUCCUUCCCAAUUCAAAAACCCACCGAUCCUUAUACACAUUGUUUUAACUAGCGCUGAACAGGUUUCUUCCUGUUGAACUUUCAACAAGUUUACAAUGGAAGGGUUUCACAUUCUGGCACUACAAGAAAGGAAGGAGAAGGAAAUAAGGAAACAGAAAGAAAGUGCCGAGAAACACAUUAGUUUCCCACUUUGAUUUUACAUAAAUAACAUUUGCAGAACAGAACGUAAAGCCAAAAAUUAAGAGUAAAGAUUCAGUCACUGGAGGCUGCAAUGAAAACUGCAUUUAGCUUCCUAGUUCCUUCCCUCUUUUUCAAAAUUCUUUACAAGGUAAGAAUCUUCAUUUUGUACAUGCAGUUCAUUAUUUGCUUCCUUCUCCACCAGUCACAAAACCUGAUGGCUACAGUUUUGAGUUUGCAGGCUGCAGUUCAGAUCAUGUCAAAACUUAAGCACCGUUCCACUUCCCCACCCCGCCGAGAAAACAAACCCAGGUUCUGAUUUUUAAUUUGGGCUUGAUCUCCUUGGCUAAUUGACAUCUUGUUGAUCUAUACACAGGUUAAUCCCCACGCCCAGCUAAAAGACACAAAGCGAGUCCCAGAAGUUGCUGUGUGGGGAUCAACUUGCGCAGGGCAAGGCAACAGAUCCGUCAGUGAACGGCAGCAACGCUACAGGAAAAAGCAAACAAUAAACAGAAGAAGCCCAGAAAAAGUUAAAGAUACAUCUUUGUUUGUUUAACACGCACCUAGGAAUGUUCCACAGAGCUUCAUUCUUGCUUUCUUUUUUUUCCUGAGCACUAUUUCCCUUGGAACAACAAGCAUGAAAGCCAAGCACAACUGUUCAAGUCACACGCGCGGAUACUUUCAUUUCAAAAAAAGUUACAGUCCAGAGCAAAAACUUAUGCAUCCCGGAGGGCCUCCGAGGAAGGGAGGCCAGCCAAUGGGAGCCUCCCAAGCUGCUAAUUGCAAAUCAAGGCAGCCAACAAAGCAGCCAAUCGGGGGCCGGGCCGUUCCUGGGUGCACGCAGCUAUUGAGACGGGAAACAAUAGAACGGAGCUGAAUGAAACUGAAUGGGGAAGCAGACGCGGCUGCAUGUUGACAGCAGCAGUGGCUCUCCGCAAACUCCUCUGCAAAGCGAAGGGCUGUCGCUCAGUGGCAGAGCAUCUGGUCUGCAUGCAGAAGGGCCCAAGUGGAGUCUUUGGUUCCUGUAGGUAGGGCUGGGGAUGCCCCCGCCCCCGCCUGAAUCCCCGGACAGCUGCUGCCAAUCAGUGCAGACAGGCUAGAUGGAUCAGCGGUACAAGGCUUGGUACAGGGUUAUACAGUGGUACCUCGGGUUACAUACGCUUCAGGUUACAUACGCUUCAGGUUACACACUCCACUAAACCAGAAAUAGUGCUUCAGGUUAAGAACUUUGCUUCAGGAUAAGAACAGAAAGUGAGCUCCGGCGGCGCGGCGGCAGCAGGAGGCCCCAUUAGCUAAAGUGGUGCUUCAGGUUAAGAACAGUUUCAGGUUAAGUGCGGACCUCCGGAACGAAUUAAGUACUUAACCCGAGGUACCACUGUAUGCUCCAGAAAGCACUUAAGCUGGUAUUUGUGUGGUCAUGGCAGCAAUAUCAGCAGAUGCUGAUGCUGCAAGCUAUAGUGCAAGCUACCUAAGUAGUUAUAUUCAUAUUUAAAUCGAAUACAACCAUGCAUACAGCAAUGGUUGCAAUUAAAAUUGCUGGCGAUCUUCACCUGAAAUCAGAAGAGUUUUGUAGACUCCAGAUUAGGCAGAAGCUUCCAUUCAGAUUUGGAGGGAAGAGAGAAAUAAAUCCGAAAUAGUCCCGCCACAACUGUCCCCCCCCCCCCCAGUUUGUGUUGCCACAGAACUCCAGUUUGGGACUUAAUUUUUGUAUGCCUCUCAAGACCCAGCUGAUCUUGUCAGCAAAAUGAAAAAACAAACAACCGCUGGUUUUGUAUUCAACAUAGUACUAAAGCGCUGAUUCUGUUAGCACAAAGAUUUCUCCUUUUACAGUGGAAGAUUUUCCCCUUUUCUGCCCCCAUCCAUCCCCUAUAUCUGUUUAGGGUUGGCAGGGAGGUUGGUACAAAGCGUCUCCACCCCCAUCAUCCAGCCCAGACACUGGGGUCCUACUCUGAGGGUCUAGAGGCAGUUCCCUCAGUACGAGAAGUGAAGUUACAGGGAACCAACAACAAACAAACCUAAGGUCACGUAAAGCAUACUCAAAGCAGCUACUACUAUGCCAUAAGAUCCACUGUCCUGUAAUAUCACACAUGAGCUUUAACUACUGUUGAAGCCCAGGACGGCGAAAGAAGGCCAAUAUUCCGGAAAUCCUUGUCUUAGACCAUGUGCAAGGAUUCUGUGGAACUGUAACAAGCUUUCAUGUGGAUUGUUUGGGCCUUAUGAACAGACAGGUGGAAUAGACACUAUUACACGGAUGGACCUUAUGCAUGAACUGACUAGAGAGUGAUCUGAUCCACUGGGUCUUCUGCUUUGUUCGUUUGCUGAACUUUAUGAGUUACUUCCGUUGAAAUUUAUGAUUUGAUACAUGAAUUUAAUAUCUUAUUUAUCUAAGAACACAGCCAGUUACGUCUCGUGUCUUUAUUAAGUUAUAGGGAACCAGGCAGAGGGCCUUCUUGGUGGUGGUGCCUUCCCUGUGGAAUGCUCUUGCAUCAGAUGUCAAGGAGAGAAAGAAAUGCACAACUGUUAGAAGACAUCUGAAGGCAGCCCUGAAUCAGGAAGUUGUUAAUGUUUGGUGUUUUGCUGUGUUUUUAUUAUGUUGGAAGUCGCCCAGAUAGACUGGGGCAACCCAGUCAGAUGGGCAGGGAAUCAUCACCAUCAUCACCACCACCACCACCAUCUAGUGUUCCUCCUGGUGCCCUGCCCUUCCCACUACCUCACCCUUCCUCUUUCCAGAAAGGAGAAGCAUCACACCUGAAGGAGGGCAGGUCAGCACCACUCCAUCUACUACUGCAAGGUGAGACAGAAAGUUUGAGCUGGGUCUGCUUAAAAACACACCACCACCACCCGAGGUUAAAGCAGAUUUAAGGCACUGCAAGAUAGAAGCCCUAAAACUAUCAAGGAGUCCUGCUAGCACAUCUCUCUACCAGGUGCACCUCUAAAGGGAGGUUCAUUGUCUCUUGGGACCUGGUUUUAGGGGUGUAGGGACUUCAAGCAGCAACAAGAAACUUAAAUCUGCGCUUGCAAAGUGCAGACUUCAGAGCUGGUCCUGCCAUUAGGCAGAGUGAGGCAGCUUCCUCAGGUGGCAGAAGAUUGGAAGCACCACCAAGGUUCAGGAGGGCAGAGCUGUAGCUGCCACAGAGUCUGUGGGGUACCCACUAAGACAGUCUGCUUCCCCCAAGCACAAGGAAGGACACUGUCCCAUUGCCAGUGUUUGGUUUUUGUCAAGGAAUGCAACACAAAACAGAACAAUUGUAAAGAAAACAAAUAUCAGGUAGUUCCACUUGGGUCUUGCAUGCAGAUGUUGAGAUGGCAAUGGGAGGUUAUAGCAUAAAAUGGUCCUUGAGAUGUCCACAUUUCAUGAAGGCCAAAGAACCAUGAAGACCAUUCACAGCAGUGCAAGUAAUAAUGCCCCACCAUACAGGUGUUCUGGGUUUACUAGUCAUUCGGAGACUCUCAAAUGAUGCAUAUAUUUUUUUCUGUGUUGGUCAGGCUCCAAAUGUUUUUGUACUGUAAUGAUAACUGCAAACCUUGAAGCAUCUUCCAUUUUGGGAUGAUGGAUAACCCGAAUGCAGCCAGUGCCCAUUUCCACUGUCCAUGUUGAAGGGAGACUCUGUACCAUCUUGUCCUCGUCUCAGAUAGCAAAAUGUCUUAGGCUGGCCCUUGCAAACUCCAGCUACUAGUACAACAAUAAAUUGAGUCCCAGGAGUGAAAAAUAUAUAAUAUUUUCUGUGACUUUCCUCCUGACUGCUGAGUACUCAGGGCGGGGGGAGUGAAGGGUCUUAUAAUAAAUCAUUCUCUUAGGAGUGAAUUAUUAUAAGAGUUGUACCUUAACUCAUAGGCUGCAAUCAAUGUUUGUGAAUAAUAGCCACACACGUUUAGCACUCAUAUCUUUUAUUAUUUUUGUAUGCUGCAGGGGUGGGGCAGCCACUUUUGGGGGGGACGUCUGGGUUCAGAAGGGACACGGGUGGCACUGUGGGUUAAACCACAGAGCCUAGGGCUUGCCGAUCAGAAGGUCGGUGGUUUGAAUCCCUGCGAUGGGGUGAGCUCCCGUUGCUCGGUCCCUGCCCCUGCCAACCUAGCAGUUCAAAAGCAUAUCAAAGUGCAAGUAGUUAAAUAGGUUCCGCUCCGGCGGGAAGUUAAACAGCGUUUCCGUACGCUGCUCUAGUUCUCCAGAAGCGGCUUAGUCAUGCUGGCCACAUGACCCGGAAGCUGUAUGCCGGCUCCCCCGGCCAAUAAAGCGAAAUGAGCACCGCAACCCCAGAGUCGUCCGCAACUGGACCUAACGGUCAGGAGUCCCUUUACCUUUACCUGGGUUCAGAACUAGACAGACCUCUGCAGGGGCUGCUAACCCGGCAAUCACCUGAUGGUAUAUGAUGAGUCCAAUCCCUGCUGGAAGCAGUGUAGUUUACAGAGCAGAGAUUUUGCAUACAGGAAGUCCAUGGGCCAAUCCCUAGCUUCUCCCCACUUUUUUUUUUUUACUUUAGGUAGGCAGGCAAGCAAGACAGCUGCUUGAGACCCUGAAGAACUCUUGUCACCCAAAACAGCCAGUAAAAGCCAUGGGCAACCCAAUGGACAGGCUCCAAACAUUGCAACUCUACACUAUCCCCGAAGUAUCUCGAAAGUUCCCUAGCAACAGUUCAGCACAGUCCAGCCUUCUCGCUGAAUAUGGCCUUCUUGUUUUGCAUCGCAAGGCUUUGUUUACAGUGGAAGGGGCAUCUAUUGUGGCCACCAACUAAAAAGCAGAGGGCAGCUUUCUCUCCUGAAGGACAGAUGGCAACACUCCAACUUGGGGGGGAGUGGUGUGUGGAGAAAGAAUUGGCUCUGGGUCAGAAAAGGAGUUCCUGCUAGCAAGGUGGCACUACAGUCUAGUAAUAUAUUUAUUUAGGGGAAAGUUAGGCUCAUUCAUCAGGUCAGGAGGGGACUUUCGACUGCAGUGACUUUUAGAUUGAGGGCUUGUGUCACACCAAUGACCCAGAGUUGGAUGAUGCAAAGAGGAAAGGUUUGGUGGUGGAAGAAGAAGAAGAAGAAGAAGAAGAAGAAGAAGAAGAAGAAGAAGAAGAAGAGAUAUAUAAUAAUAAUAAUAAUAAUAAUAAUAAUAAUAAUAAUAAUUUAUUAUUUGUACCCCGCCCAUCUGGCUGGGUUUCCCCAGCCACUCUGGGCGGCUUCCAUAGAAACACAAAAUACAGUCAAAUAUCACAGAUUAAAAGCUUCCCUGAACAGGGCUGCCUUAAGAUGCCUUCUAAAUGUCAGGUAGUUAUUUAUCGCUUUGACAUCUGAUGGGAGGGCGUUCCACAGGGCGGGCGCCACUAUCGAGAAGGCCCUCUGCCUGGUUCCCUGUAGCUUUGCUUCUCGCAAUGAGGGAACCGCCAGAAGGCCCUCGGCGCUGGACCUCAGCGUCCGGGCAGAAUGACGGGGGGAGACGGCUCCUUCAGGUAUACGGGGCCGAGGCCGUUUAGGGCUUUAAAGGUCAACACCAACACUUCGAAUUGUGCUCGGAAACGUACUGGGAGCCAAUGUAGGUCUUUCAGGACCGGUGUUAUGUGGUUCCGGCAGCCACUCCCAGUCACCAGUCUAGCUGCCGCAUUCUGGAUUAAUUGUAGUUUCCGGGUCACCUUCAAAGGUAGCCCCACGUAGAGCACGUUGCAGUAGUCCAAGCGGGUAGUCCAAGAUAUAUCUCUUCCUUUUGACUGUCCUUUGGCUUAGGGGUACAGCUUGUCUUGGGGGCAGAGAGAUCACGUUACGCAAAAGCCCAUUUGUGAUCCUGUGGGCUCUGGAGCACAACUCCUGCAUACAAGGCAGGGAACUGGCUUCUGUCCUUGCGGAGCAAAAUGUGUCGGAGGCCCACCCACCCCCCCUGUGUAAUUUGGGUGGGAGGGUGAAUGCAAACCGAAGGAUAAAAAUCUGCAGUUCGAGGGACAGGUGGUGACUGUAAUCAGGGCCAGACACAAAGCUGAUAUUAACUGAAGGGGAAUUUAUUCCAGCAGGCCUUGGCUAUGCAUUUUCUUUGGUUGGAGUUUGGAAGAAAGGUCAGCCCCCACCCCUCCAGAAAAAAAAGGAGGGUCAAGAGGCUAAUUCACUCUUUUUGUACACAAGUCUUCCACUGAGCUCUUUGUCGAAUGCAUUCUCAACUUCUUAAUCCUGAUACGUUUUUGAAAGUAGGAGGUUUAGGAAGAAAACAGCUUUGCUGAUGUUGUUUCUUAAACCUUUAAGUGCGCUUUCUCUCCCCCUCUCCCACACAUAUUCAUAUCAUCCUCUAUUAGCAAAGGAUGGGGAAAGUUGAACGAAAAUCCUUGAAUGACACAAUUAGGAUUAUGUUUGGUAUCAGUGCUGGAGCUGCCGCGAUGCCAGACGGGUGCGAGUAAGUGGCAGGCCUGUCGAUGGCAGGAAGAUGUUGAGCCGGUUUCAAGAGUUGCUGUGAGUAUUCCAGAGUUCAAGAGGCACAGGAGCUAGAAACUAGCAAGGAAAAUCCUCGAGACUGAUGUGUGGAUGGCUGCCCUGAUGCCCUCAGUAGAUUGCUGCAGAUUGACAGAAGAACAUAAGCGUAAAUGGUACUUAACAUCUAACAAAUUAUCUAAAGGUCUAAGGAGGUUCCUAAUAAUUGCUGGAAGUGAAACAGGUGGUUGGUUAUUUUUUCGGGCGGGGGGGCGGACUUGCAAGAAAGCCAGGGUAUCUUGGGGAAAUGAUAACAUGACAAGAUAAAAAAUAUGUUAAAAGUGAGUAUAUAAAAAAGGCCCAAAGCAUUUCUGUUAGGGAUUAUAGGGGCAGAAAUCCUGCCUCCUGAAAUCUUAAAGUUGUUUAUGUAUGUAACAACAGCAGCUAGGAUUCUAUAUGUGCAGAAACAAACUCCUCUUUCUUCAGUUUGUUAAUUUUUUAUCAUCAUCCUCUGCACAUUCCAAGUUAUAUUCAAUCUUUCUUUUAUUCAUCUAUUUUCAUAUAUCUAUAUUUUAAAAACUGCAGGUUAUUACAAUAGUCCUGCCAAUGCUUUUAUCUAUUUGCAAUUUGUUUGUAAAUAUUCAGUAUACCAUUUCAAUUCCUUUAUUGAAAAAAUUGUUAUCCUGAUUUUGUAUUCUUCCAGUAAGUUUUGCCAUCUCUGCAUAAUCCAUAAGUUUUUGUAACCAUUCUUUAUUCGUUGCGAUUCCUUCAUCUUUCCAUUUUUUGGGGGCAAAUAACAUUCUCGCAGCUGUGGAUGCAUACAUAAAUACAUUUCUAUUCUGUCUAGGUAGUCCUACACCUAUAAUUCCCUGGGUUCUUGUUAUUGUUUUUUUUUAACAAAUGUUAACUUAAGCAUCUUUUUCAGUUCAUUAUAUAUCAUUUCCCAGUAUGCUUUUACCUGAUUAAAAGAUCACCACAUGUGACAAAAGGUGACUUCUUUCUCUUUUUUCUCGCCAGAGUGGUGCAUGCUCUAGUUAUCUCCCGCUUAGACUACUGCAAUGCACUCUACGUGAGGCUACCUUUGAAGGUGACCCGGAAAUUGCAAUUAAUCCAGAAUGCGGCAGCUAGACUGGUGACUGGGAGUGGCUGCCGGAACCACAUAACACCGGUCCUGAAAUAUCUGCAUUGGCUCCCAGUACAUUUCCGAGCACAAUUCAAAGUGUUGGUGCUGACCUUUAAAGCCCUAAAUGGCCUCGGUCCAGUAUACCUGAAGGAACAUCUCCACCUCCAUCGUUCUGCCCGGACACUGAGGCCUUCUGGCGAUUCCCUCAUUGCGAGAAGUGAGGUUACAGGGAACCAGACAGAAGGCCUUCUCGGUAGUGGCGCCCUCCCUGUGGAACGCUCUCCCAUCAGGUGUCAAGGAAAUAAAUAGCUAUCUUAUUUUUAAAAGACAUCUGAAGACAGCCCUGUUUAGGGAAGUUUUUAAUAUUUAAGGCUGUAUUUUUUUUAACACUCGACUGGGAGUCACCCAGAGUGGCUGGGGAGACUCAGCCAGAUGGGCGCGGUAUAAAUAAUAAAUUAUUAUUAUUAUUAUUAUUAUUAUUAAACAUAGAAUCUUAGAGUUGAGCGGGAACCUGAGGGUCAUCUAAUUCAACCCCUCCAAUGCAAGAAUCUUUUGCCCAACACGGGGCCCGAACCCACGACCUUGAGAUUAAGAGUCUCAUGCUCUACUGACUGAGCUAUGCUCCCUUUUCUCAUCCCAGAAGCAAAUCAGGAUGAAGGCUCAUUGAAGCCUGGACAUAGUCUAGCCUCCAUGUAAGCUUCAUGCAAGCAAAUCAGGAUGAAUUCUCAAUGAACAGGCCAUCUGGAGGAGCCCAGUCCUGGUGACUGAAGUCACAUACUAGCUCAGCUCGAGUAUAGGCAGACCGAACAUAAAUACCCCAAAAUGUUGGUGAAGAGGGGAUGUAAUCACUUCUGCAGAAUGAAAGCUCACAUCUGAGCAAUUGUAAAUCCCAUGUUUAAAUGCCAGUGGAACUUCCUUUGCAAAAAAAACUAAAAAAAAACCUCUUCAUUGUGUCGCACUCCCCUGUUGAAGAUGAGAGGUGGCGUUGUGAAGGGCUUCAUGCUUGGAAAAUGACUAUAACAAUUAUAUUGCAAUUGAAAACUUUUGUUCUUCUCCCAUCUUCAGCCUCCUGGGGCUUUAAUGGAAGGCAGUUAAGUACCUCUUCUUUCCUCCCUGUUCCUGCAACCAAAGUGGCCAGACAUUCUGCAAGGUCACUUAGCACCUCCACUUAGCGCAUGCUUCUCAUGCAUGGGGGAGAUUUCAAAUUGACGUGAGGGGAAAAAACAACAACCACACACACACACACACACACACGGGAUGAGUCUGGCUUUAUAUAAUAUUCACCACCUCUGAGAAAGGGAAGGAGUAAAUUCAUGGAGAACAAAGGGAAUGGGGGAGUCCUGCGUUUCAUGGAUGGAGACUCAGAAGUUGGCAAGAUUCAAACAGGAAGCCAACCAUUUGGAGAAAAGGAAGAACCAGCAUGGUGUACUGUGUAGAGGUUUAGACCUGGAGUGUGUGCGUAUCCAUUAAGUCAUAAGAACAUGAGAUGAGCUGUGCUGGAUCAUGCCAGGGUCCCACCCACCCAGUCCAGCAUUCUGCUUUCACAGCGAUGAGGUGCCUAUGGGAAGUGUGCAGGCAGGACCCAAGAACAAUAGUAAGGGGGGCUGGGAGAGAGAGACACUUUCCCAGCAACUGGCAGUCAGAGGCAUAAUAAUAAUAAUAAUAAUAAUAAUAAUAAUAAUAAUUUAUUAUUUAUACCCCACCCAUCUGGCUGGGUUUCCCCAGCCACUCUGGGCGGCUUCCAACAAAACACUAAAAUAUAAUAACCUAUUAAACAUUAAAAGCUUCCCUAAACAGGGCUGCCUUCAGAUGUCUUCUAAAAGUUUGGUAGUUGUUUUUCUCUUUGACAUCUGGUGGGAGGGCGUUCCACAGGGCGGGCGCCACUACCGAGAAGGCCCUCUACCUGGUUCCCUGUAACUUGGCUUCUUGUAGGGAGGGAACCGCCAGAAGGCCCUCAGCACUGGACCUCAGUGUUCUGGCAGAACGAUGGGGGUGGAGAUGCUCCUUCAGAUAUACUGGACCAAGGCUGUUUAGGGCUUUAAAGGUCAGCACUAACACUUUGAAUUGUGCUCGGAAACGUACAGGGAGCCAGUGUAGGUCUUUCAAGACCGGUGUUAUAAGGCCUCUCCUCUUCCUGGAGUGGAGGGGUUGUGAGUGGGAGUAGCUUCCCGCAGCAGCAGAGAGGCGUAUUCGCCUCCCUGCUUCUGAUUUGCCCCGCUGCCACGACCAAGCCCUUCAGCCGGCCAAUAGAGCUGGCUGGUGGGUGGGGUUAGUUGCAUUUAAGCAGCUGCGGCAGCGCUCUGUUCCCAGUCUGUUCCUGCUUGCAUCAGAUCUGCUUAUUGACCUUGCUAUGGACUGCGGUUGGUUGCCUUGGUUGCCCAAGGGACCUGGUAGGACUUUUUUAUCCAUCUGGCAAAUUGGCACCAGCCUCUUGGUUUUUUUGCCUACCUCGUAGCAACUCAUCACAACUUUCUGGUAUUGGCAGUUAGGCAUUGGAAUAUGUGUGCUGCGUUGGAGGAUUGGGUAUGCCCAUCCCUCCCAUUUUUGGGUAUUCCGUUAAAGGAAUCCGGUGGUCGUGGAUCCUGUCCGAUGCCCUGCUGGUGGCUAGGGCCAUGGCACGACCCCCAGUGACAUCAUGGGGAAGCUUCCAGUUGUAUUUGCAUCAACAAGCUCCUCCCACUGGUUGUUAACUUGAAAUGACUCCCUGCUGAGUGGGGUGGAGUCAUGUAUUCCUGUUUUAUCCAAUGCCUAAGCCAAUACUAGGGACGCGCGUGGCGCUGUGGGAUAAUAAUAAUAAUAAUAAUAAUAAUAAUAAUAAUAAUAAUAAUUUAUUAUUUAUACCCCGCCCAUCUGGCUGGGCUUCCCUGGCCACUCUGGGCGGCUUCCAAAAGAAUAUUAAAAUACUAUAAUACAUCAAACAUUAAAAGCUUCCCGAAACAGGGCUGCCUUCAGAUGUCUUCUAAAAGCCUGGUAGUUGUUGUUCUCUUUGACAUCUGGUGGGAGGGUGUUCCACAGGGAAGGUGCCACUACCGAGAAGGCCCUCUGCCUGGUUCCCUGUAACUUGGCUUCUCGCAGUGAGGGAACCGCCAGAAGGCCCUCGGUGCUGGACCUCAGUUAAACCACAGAGCCUAGGACUUGCCGAUCAGAAGGUCGGCGGUUCGAAUCCCCGUGACGGGGUGAGCUCCCGUUGCUCGGUCCUUGCUCCUGCCAACCUAGCAUUUCGAAAGCAGGUCAAAGUGCAAGUAGAUAAAUAGGUACCGCUCCGGCGGGAAGGUAAACGCGUUUCCUUGCGCUGCUCUGGUUCGCCAGAAGCGGCUUAGUCAUGCUGGCCACAUGACCCAGAAGCUGUACACCGGCUCCCUCGGCCAAUAAAGCGAGAUGAGCGCCGCAACCCCAGAGUCAGCCGCAACUGGACCUAAUGGUCAGGGGUCCCUUUACCUUUACCUUUUAAGCCAAUACUACUCACAUGCUGUAACCAAUAAAGUUGUGGCCUUAUUUUGCCCAUUAACUAUAAAUAAUGUGUCUUUGUGUCUUAUUAUGUGGGUGGUGGGUCCUCGACUCACAACGCCUUCAGCUCUGAAGAUGGAAGACUGUGGUCAGUAGCCACAGAUAGGCUUAUCUACUAUGAGUUUGUCUAAUCCGCAAGCUUGGCAUAGUCCACACUGACUGACAGGGCUUCUUCCACAUUUCAAACCAAGGUCUUUCCCACCUGGAGAUAUUGAACUUGGGACCUUCUGCAUGCAAAGCAUUUGCUCUCCCAUUGAGUUGCAGCCUUCCCUCAUUGAUCACAGGCAGGUUAAUCCCUUCUAGACCCCAGCUCUUAUCUGCCAGUAUCCGUUCCUGAUCCCGAGGAGUGAGCUUUCAAAUCCACUGAUUGAGAGCAUCCAAUCCGAUAGCGCUGACCCAUCUCACUGUCUGCUGCCUCGCAGAAACAAAGGAGGUUGCUUUGAGAAGCAGGAAUUAAUUGCUGCUUUGAUCAGCUCUGAUAAAUCUUCCUCUGAAGUGCUGUGUUUUAAGGCCUGGGUAUCAUUUUUGAGAACGCAGGAAUCCUGAGUAUAUUGCAAUAGAUUGUUGUUGUUUAGUCGUUUAGUUGUGUCCGACUUUUUGUGACCCCAUGGACCAGAGCACGCCAGGGUCUUCUACUGCCUCCAGCAGUUUGGUCAAACUCAUGCUGAUAGCUUUGAGAACACUGUCCAACCAUCCCGUCCUCUGUCUUGUACCCUCAAUCUUUCCCAACAUCAGGGUCUUUUCCAAGGAGUCUUCUCUUCUCAUGAGGUGGCCAAGGAUAGCCCAGGCUUUCCACAACUUUAUGCCCCCCAGAUGUUUUGGGCAACAACUUCUAUCAGCCUCAGUCAGCAUGGAGCUGUCACCCCAAACAUCUGAUGAGCACAAGGUUGGGCAAGUUUGAGGAGGUCUGAUGUGAGCAAAAUUUGAUCAGGUCGGAACCACAAAAAUCAAUUCCUCCUCCAUCUCUAACCGUAACUUGUAGCCACUGAUAGCCUUGCACGCCACAGAUUUGUCAAAUCUCCCUUUACAGCCUCUUACAUUUUUUUGUCCAUAAUCACAUCUUGCAGUAGCUGCGUUUAUUAUGGAUGGUGUGUGCCUAUAUUUUUAUUGUCAUGAUUUAGUUCUCGGAAGUAUUAAAAAUCCAAGGGAUUUUCUGCAUCCCAGAUGAUGUAUUUAUGACUUCGGCCAAAUCAAUCGAUACAUGAUAUUCACUUGCAUUAGAGACCUGUUUCUCAACACUGCAUUAAAAAAAAUAAAAGCAAUUGAAACAAUGUGUCUAGGUAGCCAUGAUUACAAUGUGGUCUCGGUAAGUUUAUUUUGGGAUGUCUACAAUGAGCUGAGCCAAAAAUGGACUGGAGCCCUACCUUGAAAUGGAUAUUGAUAAACAGGAGAUUAGAAGGUAAUGUUGAGUGGGUUAACAGUCUCUCCUUCUUCCCAGGAAACUCUGAGAUUUGCGGCUCUGGGAGGAGAAAAGGAGGUUUCAUCACAACUCCCAGCACCCUUAACAAACUACAGCUCCCAGAAUUCUUUGGGGGGGGGAGCCAUGACUAUUUAAAGUGGCACCAUAGUGCUUUAAAUGUAUGGGCGGAAUGCAGCCUACAUAAGAAACCUGUUCUCUGCAGAAUCCUUUGCAUAUUGGUUAACAUCUCCAGACUCAUUCACAAAACCAAUGCAAUAUAAGCACAGUUUCAUAUGGGCAGACUCAAACCAUGUCCCCCUCCCCUUUUUUAACCAACACAAGGCUACUUUUUCCUUCCAGACUUACUAUUAGUGCCUUCAUUUAAUUCUCUCCCUUUCUCAGAUCCCUCCCCACCCCCACCCCGCCGCUCAUUACUUUACACUAAAAAAUAUAGAGCAAUAACAAGUCCAGGCUGUUGAGUUCAACCUGAUAGGCACUGUCAAAGCUGUCAGAGGGUGGUGACAAUAAACAUUUCAGCUGCCUAUCAAUUUUGCCGCAAUAAAAAAAGUCUUGACCCUGAAAAAAUCGGGUUCUGCCAUAAUGAAUGCUUUGUCUCCAAAUAUUUGCAUUUUAGCUGACAAGGCUCACUUUCUGCUUUUUCCUUUUUUAAAAAAAUACAGUCAUAAACAAUCUGCCUUAAAAACUAGAUUGCUAGGAACUCAGACGAGGAAUGAGUGUUGUCUUCCCCCCGCCACUUUUUCCUCUUCCAGCCGCUUCUCAUCCAACUCUAUAUCCAGGAUAUUUCACAUGUUAUUUCUUGUGAUACAUAUGACAUGAUCAUCCAUGUAUCUUUGGGUGGAUGGAUGGAGGGGAUCUCCAGAGGCAAUUGACUAAGUCCUCCCCCUUUCCCCACCAUCAUUUUGUCAGAUCCGCUGUUGCUAGGUGGGGUACAGACUCUCCAAUCUCUAAUCCCCGGAAAUCUCAUUCAGCUACUCCUCUGGCUUUUGAAAUUCCACCUGGCUUUUCACACGUUCUUGCAAACAUGAGGGCUAGAAGCUCUUCAAAAAGCUGGAAAAUGCAUGGGCAGAUGACGCUCUCCUGUUGUUUUGUGGCCAAUCUCUUUAAUGUGGGUUCCUGCCUUUUGCCAAUCACCUUAAUUUCAUUUAAGCAACAGUGCAGAGUAGGUGAAAGAGAAUUCCACGAACAGUACAACAGGGAAACAGUCCUACUUGGCCCCAGAGCAACCAGUAACACCUACACUGUCGUGGAAUUCUACUCAAUAUUGAUCCAGAGUAGAUUCCAAUGGAUAGUUAGCAGAGUAAAAACUUAAACACAUUGCAGGAUUAAAAAAAACACAAAAACAGACCAGAGGCAAUUAAUUUCAUUCAGCAGAGCUUUACUGCUAUUGAAGGCAAAUGAGUAUCAUGGUCACAGAUCCAAAACAUUCAGGAUUGGCACUGUCCAUAAGCAAUCCAGUUGCAGCAGACUUAACUUAAACUUACAAUAACUUAUAAUAAGUCAAAACCUCAACACUAAGCAUACAGCUAAACAGCUUGGGGAGGAGUUACCCAGCUAUGAGAUAAUGACAAGGGAACCAGAAGGGAGGGGGCAACUAGUUGAGAUGUCACUUGAGAGUGUGGGGGACCCCCCCUCACCACGGACUCGGAGGUCCGAAUGUAUCAGAGAGCAAGGGAGUCAGAGGGAGGAGGGAGGUGCCUAAAAUGCUGUGGAAGUCAGAAGGAGGAUUUAGAGUAGCCAACUAGCCACCCUUGCAGAGUGCUGUGUAUAUGUGCUUGCAACAUGAUGCUGUAAUAAAAGGACUAUAAAUAUAUCAACUGCUCGUUAAUUCUUAUCUGUGAAGUUACCAAAGGGAGAGGAGGACUCUCUAUGUCUGACAAACAACAACAACAACAAAAUUAUUUGUACUCCACCCAUCUGACUGGGUUGCCCCAGCCGCUCUGGGUGGCUUCCAACAUAUAUAAGAACAUAAGAAAACAUUAAACAUUAAAAAAACCUUCCCUAUGCAGGGUUACCAUCCGAUGUCUUCUAAAGGUUGUAUAGUAGUAAUAAUAAUAAUAUUAUUAUAAUUUAUUAUGUAUACCCCACCCAUCCAGCUGGGUUUCCCCAGUCACUCUGGGCGGCUUCCAACAAAGUAUUAAAAUACAGUAGUCUGUUAAACAUUAAAAGCUUCCCUAAAGAGGGCUGCCUUCAGAUGUCUUCUAAAAGUCUGGUAGUUGUUCUUCUCUUUGACAUCUGGUGGGAGGGUGUUCCACAGGGUGGGUGCCACUACCAAGAAGGCCCUCUGCCUGGUUCCCUGUAACCUCACUUCUUGCAGCGAGGGAACUGCCAGAAGGCCCUUGGCGCUGGACCUCAGUGUCCGGGCAGAACGAUGAGGGUGCAGACGCUCCUUCAGGUAUACUGGACCGAGGCCAUUUAGGGCUUUAAAGGUCAGCACCAACACUUUGAAUUGUGCUCGGAAAUGUACUGGGAGCCAAUGUAAGUCUUUCAAGACCGGUGUUAUGUGGUCUCGGAGGCCGCUCCCAGUCACCAGUCUAGCUGCCAUAUAAGUAUAGUUACUUAUCUCCUUGUCUUAUGCAUAACUCCAUACCCUCCAACAUUUCUCUGAUGAAAAUAGGAACGUCCUAAGGAAAAGCAGGACAUUCCGGGAUCAAAUCAGAAACUGGGAUGGCUUCUGUAAAUCUGGGACUGUCCCUGGAAAGGGUCUACCCUGCUGCUCUGGUGUACAGGAGAACAGGACUAGCUGGGUCUUGGUUCUUCUUAUGUUCUGGUGGUGAUCAGUUGCUCCAGAAAACCUUCAUUUUGACCUGAGCCAAUGGGCACAAAUAGUAAAACCUGUACCAAACCUGUAGUUUCAUCACUGGCGAAAUCUGAUUGAGUGGGGAAACCUUGUUUCCGGGCCAGGCAUGGUGUGUGUGUGUGUGUGUGUGUGUGUAGAGAAUACGUGUCUCUCUUUUCACAGUUUCUGUCCCCUUCUUCAUCCUCCCACAAGGGGCAGAGUCAAUGGCAGGAAAUUGUCACUUUGCCUAGAAGAAACUCACAAUGUUGGCCGGUGGGUGGAUUUUGCAGUUUUCAUCUCUGAAAAGCUGUGCUUGCUGGCAGUCGUGGGGGAAUAAAUAUCCCCUUGGCACACAUCCACAAAUGCUUAGGAAAAUAUCAUGCUUUGUUCAUGUGCCAGAAGAGGAUGUUGUUAUCAGAGUCAUGGAAAGAUUUUCCGCUCGCCCCUGUUUGAAUUAGGAUUAAAAGAUAUAGGAAAUUGCUGGGGAAAGGAGGAGAAACCCAACCAGGGCUCUAAAAAAAAAAAAAGGCUAAGGAGAAAGAAAAGUAGUAACAUGAAGAACUGAAAGAACAAGGAAAGAAAUUACAGCUUGGGUUUUAUCUUUUGUCAAAGUCAAAACGACAUUUUCUUUAAAGGUUGGCAUAUUCUUAAGUAUAGCCUUAACGGGUGAAGGAAAUGAGUGGUUUAGAAAGUUACGGAAGAAGCCAGAUAGAUCUGGAUGAGUCAGGUCUAAGAAGUAAUCCUUGCUUCCCAAAAAACUAUGCUGUGUCAUGUUAGUUGUACCUCAUCAUCCAUCGGGACAUCAGGAUGACUCAAGGGCCUUCCCUGAUGGUGGGGUUGAAGAUGACUCACCCCUGAGCUACUCAGUUAAUGCUAAAAGCUUUGUCAGUGAUGGCCAGUGCUGUUGGGACUGGUAGGGCAGAAGUCAGGGAGCCAUUAGAAAGUCAGUGGGAAUUCGCAAAAUUCAUGGUGAUGGUCUGUCAGGAUGGCCACGGGCAACAUUCACAUUCAGAAGACUUUUCAUCAGCGAUGGAUUUAGGGUGGUGCAGGCAGUUCCUCCAGGGACGCAGGUGCCCUCAAUCUUUCCCAGCAUCAGGGUCUUUUCCAGGGAGUCUUCUCUUCUCAUGAGGUGGCCAAAGUACUGGAGCCUCAGAUUCAGGAUCUGUCCUUCCAGUAGCACUCAGGUCUGAUUUCCUUCAGAAUGGAUCGGUUUGAUCUUCUUGCAGUCCAUGGGACUCUCAAGAGUCUCCUCCAGCACCAUAAUUCAAAAGCAUCAAUUAUUUGGUGAUCAGCCUUCUUUACGGUCCAGCUCUCACUUUUUAUGGUCCAGCUUUAGCGCCUCUUAUUUUAUCUGUAACCUGCCUUGAGUCCCUGUCAGGGAAGAAGGCGGGUUUUAAAUAAAUAUAAUAAUAAUAUUUUAGGCAACAGGAUGCUGAGCUAGAUAGGUGCAGGAACACUUGUCUUUUCUUAUGUUCUUACCAUACUGCUGAGUUUCCAGAUGAAGGACAUUUUGCUGCAAGAAGCAGAAUAGUUGAGACCAAUCUGGGGUCCUUCUGGGAGUUGUUCAGCCAGUCAGAUGACUUAAGACUUGGUGUCAAGGCUGCCUCAAGUCUCAGCUCACAAAAGACCAACGCCUAUCUCUUCUUAUAUACAAAAGUGUUUAUUGCAGUUCAUUGUUUGCUUCACAUCCGAGGCGCGCAGCCCUACGUCUGUUACGCUUAGACCGCUGAAGUCCCCUCUCCUGACACGUUCCCCCUGGGGCUCCCCUGGCCUUGACCACCGGCGCCCCCUUCUGGGAAUCCUCUGAUUCGCUGGAAAGACUCAUGGAAUCUCUUGAGUCAUUGUCAUCCUCUUCCUCGCUGUCCUGGGACUCAUCCCCAUCGCUCUCCAUCUCCUGCCUACCCUGUGCCUCUGUCCCUGAACCCCUGACAUCCAUCCCCCCCUCGAAGCCCCCCCUUCCCCCCUCCCGCUGCUCGGGCGCAGGUUCCGGGAGCUCCGUUGUAGCGGGGGUAGAUGCUGGAUACAGUUCGUCGACGUCGAUCUCCUCUGCUUCCAGUUCAGUGUAUGAGUGCUCGAAACCGGGGUCCUCCCCCAACACAUCCAAGUCCUCCCCUCCCCCUGUUACUUCAGGCGAUGCUGCUUGCCAAGGCCCCCUUAGCCACCCCCUGCGCCACUCCUCUUCUGAUUGAUUGUCCCACCAGUAAGAGCGGUCCGUGUCCACCCCCGAGCACGAUCCCCUUGGAGGGCUCGAUUCUGGCGUGGUCUCCUCUGCGGAGGAGAACCCCCGGAAGGUGCUGUCUGAAAGCGUGGGCGUAAAAGCCAGUCGUCAAAAUACUCCGCUGGCAUGGGCCUGUGUGGGAAGAGUGCAUGGAACUCGUCUUUAAGAAGAGGUUCCUCCAGAGCAUAAUCUGGCACCCAACUGUUGGCGCUGGCCGGGGUACCUUCCCUGGCGAGGAGGUAUUCUACUCCCUCCUCCCCCCAUCUCGAGUCCAGAAUUUCCGUGACCUCGUUGAGUGGCGGGGUCUUCGGUGACUUCCCCCCCCCUUGUGACUUUCUACGUGGGUCUGGUGCCGUCCCUGGCUCCUGAAAUCUGUGUGGGACCUUGUAGGGUGUAAGCACCGACCUAUGAAAGACCGGGUGCAUUCUGGAACCUUCCGGGAGGGUCAACCGAAAAGCUACGGGAUUGAUCCUGCCCUCAACUUGGUAUGGCCCUAACUGUUUGUGUCCUAGCUUCUUCUUAGCUAACGACUUGGCCGGCACCGCCUGGGCUGCUAACCAUACCCAGUCCCCCACCUGGAUGUCUUCUCCUGCCCUCCUGUGCCUGUCUGCCUGCACUUUGUAGGCGUGUUUAGCUAGUUCCAAGUGCCGUCGUAGCUCCUCGUGGACCUCCUGCAAUUCUGCUGCUAAAUGCUCAGCUCCCUGCGACUCCCCUGCGUCGUUGUCUCCAACGCCGGGAAGGUUCUGGGGUGUCGCCCAUUGAUGGCUAAGAAAGGAGAAACCCCCGAUGACGCGUGCUUCGUGUUGUUGUAGGCAAACUCGGCCAUCGGUAGGUAGUCCACCCAAGUUGCAGGCUUUUGAUUGGCGUAACAUCGCAGGUACUGCUGCAUGAUGGCGUUGACCCUCUCCGCUUGGCCGUUGGUUUGCGGGUGUCUCGCCGACGCUAAGUUGAUCUUGACAUUCAGGAUGCCCAGGAGCUUCUGCCAGAAACUGGAAAUGAAUUGGCGACCCCGGUCGGACAGGAUGGACCGUGGUAAGCCGUGCACCCGGAACACGUGGUCUAUGAACAGCUUGGCGGUCUGUUCCACUGUUGCCACCUUCGCGCAAGGAAUGAAGUGCGCCAUCUUGGUGAACAGGUCUACAACCACAAGCACCGCCGUCUUGCCUCGCGAACUGGGCAGAUCAGUAACAAAGUCCAGCGCCACCCUUUCCCACGGCUGUAGUGGCGUCUCCAGCGGUUCCAGCAAUCCCGCUGGCUUCUUGUGCACUGGCUUGGACCUCUGACACGUGUCACACCUGGCGACGUAAUCCGCGACCUCCCCUCGCAUCUGGGGCCACCAAAAGUCCCUGGCUACUAAGUCCGCCGUCUUUUCUUUGCCGAAGUGACCCGCGCUGGGUGCGUCGUGUAACUGCUGUAAAACCUUCACGCGGAGAUCGUCUCCCGGCACGUAGAGAGCACCCUUGCGGGUUAGCAGGCCAUCGCGUAUCUGGAAUUCGUCGUCCUUUGCUGUCCCUCUGCGCACCUCCUCCAUCUUGGAUUGUGCGAACAGAUCCGUCUGUAGCGCGCGGCGUACCGCGUCCAGGUCCACGGCGGCGGAAGCGCAUGCCCACGCCUGCGGUGCAAAAAUGUGCCUGGCUGCCACUGGUGCCGCUUCCUCGAGAUACUGCGGUUUCCUGGAGAGGGCAUCCGCUAUGACGUUGUUGUCUCCCGGGAUAUACUCUAUCCUGAAGUCGAAAUCCGCAAAGAACUCCGCCCAUCUCAUGUGCCUUUGGCUCUGGAGCUUCGCCGUGCGCCAAUACUCUAGGUUCUUGUGGUCCGUGCGGACUUGCACGGUGUGCUUGGCUCCGAUGAGGAAGUGCCGCCACGCCUUGAAAGCCGCGUGGAUGGCCAACAACUCCCUGUCCCAGAUGGUGUAGUUCUGUUCCGACUUGCUGAGCUUCCGGGAAUAGAAGCGCAGGGCCUCCAGUUCCCUUGCGGAUCUUCCUGCAAGAGGACGGCCCCCACUGCUCUGUCAGAUGCGUCAGUCUCAACCCGCAUGGGCCUGCCGGGAUUCACGUGUAGCAGCUGUUCUUCGGACGCGAAAAGGCUCUUAAGUCUCCUGAAGGACUGCUCCGCUUGGUCCGUCCAUGUGAACUUUUUCUUCUUGGAACUGAGGGUGUCCGUGAUAGCUGCCGUCUCUUUCGCGAAACCCCUGAUGAACUUGCGGUAAAAGUUGGCGAAGCCGACGAACCUCUGGACCUCCUUCCGAUUGCGCGGGCUAUUCCAGUCCAACACCGCGCGGACCUUGGCGCUGUCCAUGGCUAGUCCCUUGUCGGACAGCCGGUAGCCCAGGAAAUCCACCUCCGUCACGUCGAACUGGCACUUCUCCAGUUUGGCGUAGAGUCUGUGCUCCCGCAGCCUCUGCAGGACCUCCUUUACGUCUCUCUCGUGAGUCUCCCGCGAUUCUGAGAAGAUCAGAAUGUCGUCGAGGAAGCAUACGCACUUCUUGUAGAGGAGUCCCGCUAGCACGUGGUGCAUGAAGGCUUGGAAACAGUGGGAGCCAUUUUGGAGACCAAACGGCAUAACUCUGUAUUCAUAGGUGCCCAGCGGUGUGAACAUGGCCGUCUUCCACUCGUCACCUUCCCUCAUGCGUAUUAGAUUGUAUGCUCCGCGUAAAUCCAACUUGGUGAAGAUCCUCCCCUUCCGUACCGUCGCGAGCAGGUCGUCAAUUUUGGGCAUGGGGAAGGCCUUGGGCUUUGUCAUCGAGUUUAUGGCCCUAUAGUCCACAAUGAGCCUUUUUUGGGGCGUGUCCUUCUUCUUCACGAAAAACACAGGACUGCCCCCCACUGCCUUGGAUUCUCGGAUGAAUCCCCGCUUCAAAUUGUGAUCUAUGAACUCCCUGAGUUCCUGCAUCUCAUCUUCAGACAUGGAAUACAGCUUCGCAGUCGGUAGCGUCGCCCUGGUAAGAGGUCAAUUGCACAGUCGUAGGGCCGGUGGGGUGGUAAUUGGUCAGCUUCUUUUCGCAGAAGACCUCCAAAACCCCUUGUACUUGUGGGGCACUGCCUGCACCAUGCCUAGAUGCAACUGUUGCCCUUCCUCCUGGCCCUCCUCCUCCUGGCCGGUCUGGAUGCAAUGUUGUGCGCAGUAGGACGAGCCAAAGGUGAGCUGCCGCUGGUACCACGCUAAUGAUGGGCUGUGUCUAUCCAGCCAACUCAUGCCUAACACUAUAGGCGUGUCUGACAGUUGGGUGACAUUGAAACUGAUGACCUCGCGAUGAUUCCCAAUUUUCAGCAGCAUGGGUGGCGUCUGUUGUACCACUUGCCCACCCAGCAGCUUCCUGCCAUCUACCGUGACGACGUUCAGAGGCAGCGUGGCUGGUAGUAGCGCUAUGCGAUGCUGCUUGAUGAACUGCAUCCCCACGAAGUCUGCGUUGCUCCCUGAGUCAAUCGUAAUGGGGACUUCCAGGGUGAGUCCAUUAGGUAGCUGGAGAGUAGCAGUGAGCUGCACCACUGGCUUGGGUGGUAAGGGGUCUGUAGGCUGCAAAAGCGCUGGGGACUGCUUCACUGACUUGCCUGGCGGAGCCCCAGCAUCUCUGCUUCCAGCCAGGCAUUCUCGUUUCCCUGAAACUGUUCUCCUUGGAACGCUUCCCCUGUUACUGUUGCUAAGGCUGCAGUGUGCUUCUGGAGCCUCUGGGGACACUCUUUGGCCAUGUGCUGCGCACUGUCACAGACGUAACACUUCCUGGUCCCUCUAGGAGGCUUCGCCUUGACUGCUCCGGACGCUGAGGCUCCGGCAGCUGUCUGAGCCUUUGCACCACCCAGUUCCAUUGGUUCCUCCCCCUCCCUCAGCCUAGGCGAGGGAUGCGUACGUCCCAGGUCGCUGGGAAUAAAAGGAGGCGCUCUAGCUGGUGCGUGGACUUGGCGCCCCUCCUCACUGUGCCAAGGGCGUUCUUCGUGGCGCACUCCUAUCGUGAGUGCCCUCUGCACGACGUCUGCUAGGGUUUGAGGUCUGUCCCCCCUUGCCAACUCAUCUUUUACGGAGCCAUGAAGCCCCUUCCAGAACAAGUCUCUCACUGCCAAUGAGUCCUUUUCCCAGCCCAGCACAUUCAGCAAAGCAAAAAAGCGAGAAUGGUACUGACGCACUGUAGCCUUGCCCUGCCUCAAUCCAUGCAUCUCCCGGCGCGCCACAUCAACAUCAACUGUAGAUUGGAAGCAAGCGUCCAUGGCUUUGAUAAAUUCAUCAGAGUUCCUGCGGGCAGGACCAUCUUCGCGCCACAAAUUGCGUAACCAGGCUCUAGCUUCCCCAUGCAAAUGGGACACAAUAAAGCCUACCUUCUCCUCCUCAUCUUUGAAGUCUUUCCGAAGCAAAUGCAGCGCGUAGACGACGUCUGCUCUGAAACUGGGAUAAUGCUUCAGGUUUCCAUCGAAGUGGGCUACUAAAUUGCCCCCCCUCCGUCCGAGUCCGAUUCCCUCUGAUCUGGACCCCGGGAACCCCUCUUUGCACGCCUGAUCCCACCUGGCUUGCAGAUCCUGGCAUCGCGCUUCUGCUUCGGCAACUGUCUUCUGAGAGACCCGUACUGCAACGGAGAGUUCAGCGACUGCGUUUUGCAGGGUCGUUAUCUGCUCCUCAGUAGUCAUGUCUGCCAAACUUCGUGAGCUUUGCAAAAAAAAAUUUUGCGGUUUCAGGGAGAGGGGACUUACUGUCAGGGCUGCCUCAAGUCUCAGCUCACAAAAGACCAACGCCUAUCUCUUCUUAUAUACAAAAGUGUUUAUUGCAAUUCAUUGUUUGCUUCACAUCCGAGGCGCGCAGCCCUACGUCUGUUACGCUUAGACCGCUGAAGUCCCCUCUCCUGACACGUCCCCCCUAGGGCUCCCCUGGCCUUGACCACCGGCGCCCCCUUCUGGGAAUCCUCUGAUUCGCUGGAAAGACUCAUGGAAUCUCUUGAGUCAUUGUCAUCCUCUUCCUCGCUGUCCUGGGACUCAUCCCCAUCGCUCUCCAUCUCCUGCCUACCCUGUGCCUCUGUCCCUGAACCCCUGACACUUGGGUUCAGUCAUUAUUUGCUUGAGUUGCUGCCUAAGCCCUGCUUUUUCUUGCUGUGAAUGAACCCUGCAGGGAAACCCAAGGAGCGCGAGGAGGGAGAGAUAAUAACCAGUCUCAGGGGUGAGCCGAUAAUUAAUACUCCAGUAAAAAAGUGCUGGUGGGAUGUCAGGGAAUGCCACAGGAGCAAUGGAAGACAUGGGAAUCCCCUCAAAUAAUGAAUUUUCUCUUAGUUCAUGAAGGGGGGGAGCAGAAAAAAAGAGAGGGGAGGGCAGUAGUGGAGUGGGAAAACCUGUGUGUGAAUUAAUAAAUCAAUUAAGAAUUAAGGUGAAAUUUCACAUCACUCCCACACUUCCCAGUUUGUAUUAAAAAAUACUGCUGUGUCACUUUCUUAGCCAGGUUCUGCUCCAGUCUAUUAUAAUUCGCUAUUUACACCGAAACCAGGAAGCAUUCAGAAAUGUUGAACAAACUCUUUUACAACCACCAUAACUUUUAAAAAAGGGACAUGGGUGGUGCUGUGGGUUAAACCACAGAGCCUAGUACUUGCCGAUCAGAAGGUCAGCAGUUCGAAUCCCCACGAUGGGGUGAGCUCCCGUUGCUCGGUCCCUGCUCUUGCCAACCUAGCAGUUCGAAAGCACGUCAAAGUGCAAGUAAAUAAAUAGGUACCGCUCCUGCAGGAAGGUAAACGGCGUUUCAGUGCGCUGCUCGGUCAAUAAAGCGAGAUGAGCACCGCAACCCCAGAGUCGUCCACGACUGGACCUAAUGGUCAGGGGUCCCUUUACCUUUACCUUGGGUUACUGACACUUCAGGUUACAGACUCUGCUAAUGCGGAAAUAGUACAUCGGGUUAAGAACUUUGCUUCAGGAUGAGAACAGAAAUCGUGCUCCGGCAGCGUGGCGGCAGCAGGAGGUGUCAUUAGCUAAAGUGGUGCUUCAGGUUAAGAACAGUUUCAGUUUAAGAACAGACCUCCAGAAUGAAUUAAGUACUUAACCCGAGGUACCACUGUAAUUCACUAUUUACACCAAAACCAGGAAGCAUUCAGAAAUCUUGAGCAAACCCUUUACAACCACCAUAACUUUUAAAAGCAGAAGCCAAGGCGGGCAGGACAAAAAGUAAGGAGGUGACAGGGAGGAGGAGAAGGAUGGAGACAAAGCUGGAAUUAGUUGGCUCUGCCUGUCAUCUGCUCUGGUGCCACCUACUGUUGGGCUCCCUGGCUUAUGUCCCAUCAGGACCAGUGCGCACUGGUCCCCACUCUCUUGAUGGACACAUUGGAGCUUGGUAGGGCUUCUCUGCCACUGGAGGCCAGCAGAGCUGAGCUGGCGUUGGCAAAAGGAAACUGAACUCCCCUCCGUCAUGGUGGAUCAGGGGUUUGGAUUAGUCUGUGAGUUUUAAGCGAACGGCAGUAAUGGGGAAAAACCCCACCACUGAAUCCAUACUUUCCAGGGUGCUGUGGUUGGUAAUAAAAACACACCACUCCAUUCAUUCUUUUCAAGGUGUUCGGUCGAUGAAGAAAAUUAUGGCACCAACAUUGGCAACCAAACCAUAGCAACACUGAUAAGAGCACAAAAACAACAGCUGUUAGAUAAAUGAAACAUCAGAAAGAAACCAUUCUUUCAGAAACGCGCUCGCAAAUGUGCUUUUCAGCAUUCUGUGUAAACAAUAUUCUGCGAAGAAUGUGAUGUUAGAAAAUAAUUCUGGAAAUGACAAGGUACUUGAUAAAUGCAGUGAAUUGUGGUGGAGGAAGAGGAAAUGAAUCACAGAGCCAUUUAAUAGACGGCUUGGGAAUGAAACGGCAGAAAGUCUGAGCACAACCCAGACUAAAUUAAAGCACUUUUGGGGGGAAAGGAGACGCUAACCAAGGACCUGGGACAGCUCCCUGCCUCUUCCUCUACUCUCCAUAGUAGGCAUGGAUAUGCUGGUUUGGGUACUUUCUUUUCUCAUUUGUCUAGUCUUAAAUUCAGUUCUCCACAUUCAUACAGCAAUUUGUGUUAUUUUUUUAAAAAACAAAAACAAAAAGCCUUAUAAAAAUUCAUUAGCAUUUCCGAGUGAAUUUCUCCGAAGGAACUUAUUUUUGUAUGCCCUAUUUAUUAGCUAUGAAAAUAUUUUUAGACCACUGUGUCAUAAACAUAUACCAAAGUGGUUUAUGGCAAUAAAAAUAUAGCCAUACAACAAGAGCCGAAAGAAGUUGAAAAACAGACAUUGAUUAACCAUUGUGGAAUAAUAAUAAUAAUAAUAAUAAUAAUUUCAAUUUAUAUACCACCCUUUAUCAAAAGAUCCCAGGGUGGUGUAGAACUCUAGGAACAUAUUUUAUGGAGCAUAAAAAUAAAUAAAUAAUAUAAUUAUAUAGAUCAGUUGGUUAGUGCAUGGUGCUGAUAAUGCCAGGAUUGCAAGUUUAAUCCCUGUACGGGACAGCUGCAUAUUCCUGCAUUACUGGGGGUUGGACUAGAUGUUCCUCAGGAUCCCUUCCAACUCUGUGAUACUAGGAUUCUAUUCUAUGAUUCUAUGAAAGCAUAAUAACAGAGAGCAUCAUAGCAGCGCCCCCUCACAUAUUUAACAGGCCAUAUAUUAUUUAAUGGCCAAAGGCCUGGGUAAAGAGUAAUGUUUUCACCUGGUGCUCAAAGAUAUAUGAUGACAGUGGCAGGCAAGCCUCUCUUUUGGGUGAGCAUUCCACAAACUUGGGCGGGGGAGAGAAUCACAGAAAAGGAUGUAUUAUUAAGCCCCAUCUCCCCAUCAUUUCCCUCUUACAGCAUGUGCAGAAACUAGGAUUACCAUAUUUCAAAAAAUGAAAAUCCGGACACAAAGGUUGUUGAGCUUUUUCUGCAAAACCUGAAAGAAAAGAAGAAGUUUAAGAAAAUUUGCCAAAAUCUAUACUAUCCACCCAGACACUGUUUCUGACCUUCAAAUCCUGGCUAUGUCUGGACCAGGGACGGAUUUAGGUUUGAUGAGACCCUAAGCUCCUGAAGGUAAUGGGGGCCUUUAUAUAUCCACCUGUCCUUUGUCCACAACAAAUUGUCACUGGUUUUUGUGUUAAAUAUAUGCUAUAUGUAUGGUAAUUUAUGGACCUAAUCAGUAUCUAAAGCCAUCUGCACAUAACAAAAUACAGUGGUGCCCCGCAAGACAAAUGCCUCGCAAGACGGAAAACCCGCUAGACGAAAGGGUUUUCCGUUUUGGAGGUGCUUCGCAAAACGAAUUUCCUAUGUGCUUGCUUCGCAAGACGAAAAUGUCUUGCGAGUUCCUGCGGGGGUUUUUUCCUCCCCCCCCCCUUUUCCCCAAGCCGCUAAACCGCUUAUCAGCUGAUGGCUAAGCCGCUUAACAGCUGAUGCUAAGCCGCUUAUCAGCUUAUCCUUAAGCCGCUUAUCAGCUGAUCGUUAAGCCGCUUAUCAGCUUAUCGUUAAGCCGCUUAUCAGCUGAUCCACUAAGCCCGCUAAGCCGCUAAUACUGUAGCACUAAUCCGCUAAACCGCUAAUAGGCUUGCUUCGCAAGACGAAAAAACCCGCAAGACGAAGAGACUUGCGGAACGGAUUCUUUUCGUCUUGCGAGGCACCACUGUAUGUAUUUUAUCAAUGUACACUGUUGCUGUAUGUAGGUUUAAUUUUAUUUGUUUUUAUCUUAUAUUUUGGAAAUGUACAUCCAUAUUUUUUUGGGGGAGGGGGCCAAGAGAGUGGGGCCCUAAGCUAUAGCUUGUUUAGCUUAUACGUAAAUCCGGCACUGGUCCAGAUGUAUGGCAACCCUAGCAGAAACCACCUUUUUGACACUUUGCCCCACUAUUGGUCUCGUCUUCUCAAUCCGCCAGAGCCUGUCUUUGGAGAGAGCCAGUGUGGUGUAGUGGUUAAGAGCGGUAGUCUCGUAAUCUGGGGAACCGGGUUCGCUUCCCUGCUCCUCCACAUGCAGCUGCUGGGUGACCUUGGGCUAGUCACACUUCUUUGAAGUCUCUCUGCCCCACUCACCUCACAGAGUGUUUGUUGUGGGGGAGGAAGGGAAAGGAGAUUGUUAGCCGCUUUGAGACUCCUGAAGGGGAGUGAAAGGCGGGAUAUCAAACCCAAACUCUUCUUCUUCUUCUUCUGCAUGCAGGGAAUAGACAAGUCCCUAACUCACUGAGGGUUUGAGACUCAUCGGUUACCCUCACCUAGUUUAGCCAACCAGCCAAAGCCAUUUGCGGGGUGUGGCCGCUGUCUCACGUUGACAGCUUCCAGGAGCAGGGCCGGAUUUAGGUUUGAUGAGGCCCUUAUGCUUCUGAAAAUAAUGGGGCCCUUUACAUGUCCAGCUGUCCUUUGUCAACAAAAAAUUGUCACUGUUUUUUGUGUUGAAUAUAUGCUAUACAGUCAUACCUCGUGUUACAUUUGCUUUUCAGGUUACGAAUGUGGCAAAUCCAGAAGUGUUUACUUCCGGGUUUGCCAUGCGUGCACACGCAGAAGCGAUCUGCACGCUUCGUGCAUGUGCAGAAGUGCUCUAUCGCACUUUGCGCAUGUGCAGUAGAGGCGCUCUACUUACAGACUUAUGAACGGAUCGCGUUCAUAAGUAGAGGUACCACUGUAUGGUAAUUCAUGUUUCAAACAGCAUGGGGAAAAUGCAGAGAAUACUUCACAAAACAGUGCCCUAAAAUACAUACCUGGACUUGUUUUGAUUAAUGUCUGCAGGAGACUUUGUGGAUAUUUAAGUUAUAAUUAGAAAAAUCUUAAUAAUUAUUCAUAAAGGAAACAGCUUAUAAGAAGUAAAUAAGGAGGCUAGAUACAGGAUAAAGGAAGUCUUUUAUUUGGUUGUUUGUAUUAUUGUAUGUUAUGCUCACUGUAUGUUAUGUUCACGUUUAAUGAGGAUGGAUUUCUUUAUUGGGGGUGGGGGGGUUUAUGUUAUGUUGUAAAUAAAAUUUCCAAUAAAAAAUAUUUUUUUUUUAAAAAAAAGAAGGCAAUUUAUGGACCUAAUAGGUAUCUAAAGCCAUUUGCACAUGUUGCCAUGCAACCAGUCCAUGCAGAAUGUAGGCACCCCAUAUAUAGAAAUGAGCAAACCAGUGAUAUUUUACUUACAUCAUAGGGGCCUACGCAACACAAAACACUGUUGCUGUAUGUAGGUUUUAUUUUAUUUGUUUUUUUAUCUUAUACUGUAUUUUGGAAAUGUACAUCCAGUUAUUUUUCCUUCAAAUAUUUUUUGGGGGGCCCCAAGAGAGUGGGGCCCUAAGCUAUAACUUGUUUAGCUUAUAUGUAAACCCGGCACUGUCCAGAAGCCACAGAUCAGAACUGACUGCAGUGUGGGGACCUAUGGCAGACAAGCUACUCAGAAAGAGCACGGCGUGUUGCAAAGGAAAUAGCUGACUUUAUUUAUAAAUUAUUGAAGGAAUGACUUUAAUGUGUUGUUAACUGUGUCCAUUUACAGUGAGGAAGGUGGGCCAUAUAAGUCAUGGUACAGGGUGUAAAAUGAUUUGAUGGGACGUGUCUUCUUUGCUGUUUAAUUGUUCCAGUAAGGCUCUGUUGUUGUGAGAGAGGAAUGAUGAAUCACUCGCUCUUUAUGAGACAUCUCUUCCAGAAAGAUGUUUGAAAAAUGAUUUUUUUUUAAAAAAAACCCACAACAUUUAUGGUAACCAAGUUUAUGUGUGUACUCUGUGCUUUGCACGUGGGAAUUUUGUACUCAGUCAAUCCAAACUUUUGUGUCCAAAGGGAAGAAGAACAAAAGAUAAAAGAGCUGAAUUCUGCAGCCUGUAAAAAUUAUGAAGAAUGUCCAAAUGAGCAUAAUUAUUCUUACUUUGCAUAAUCUACACACACUCACCCUCCAAAAUUACAUACUCCAACCACUGCAAAUCUUCUCACUGACUUUUAAGAUUUUGGCAGACAUUGUCCAUGAUUUAACUUUUAAGCCUAUUGUUUGUCUGUCUGUCCAAUAUUUAUCUAUCAGUCCUGCUUCACAAGCUGGAACAAUGGGUGAUAUUAAUACCAUGAUACUGAAAAACAUGACAUAAGUUACAUGAAUACUACAGAGAGUUUACAUGAUCUAAAAAUCUUAAACCAUGAUGCAAGAUCUAGCAUAAACCCAAGUUGGCCGUUAAAAAGAUAUUUAUAUAGUUUUCAUGUAACUUAUUUCAUGUAAGGUAUAUUUUAAAGAUAAGUUACACUAAGGUACACUAAGGCUUUCCUCUGUUUCUGCCUGUAGCUCCUGAAGAAAAAGUUCUGAACUCUGAAACAUGCAGAGCUACAGUGAAAAAUUUUGCUUUACUGAGCACCAAAAGUUGCUCUCUCUUUUACGACCUGCUGGUCUGUUUAGCCAGCAUUGUCUCAAACUCUUUUGGGCCUUUCCUCUUAGUUGUGAUACGUUUAGCUUGGCGUGUUUCCAUCCCAGGGAGCAACCCCGGGACCUUCUGCUUAUACAGGACACAGCCUGCCAAAGAAGUAUGGUCCCCCUUGUAUCACUAUGCAUUUUUAUAACAAUAUCUUAGUAUGUACAGCUCAAAAGUACUCUAUGAUGUACUUGAAGACAUCCCUAGGAAUCUCAGCUCAGAAGCCCCACAUUCAAAUCUAACCUCAGUCAUCAACACAUGGGAUGACUUGAGGCAAGUCCAUAUUGCCACAGCCUCUGUCAUGUCAUAGAAUCAUAGAACUGUCUUCUUCUUCUUCUUCUUUGGUGAUCCCUUGUAGCCGAGUAAGAUUGUCUUCCAUAAACACGGUUUUAACAAUGAGUCUGUAAAUGUGGAGGCCAAUUUUGGAUCCACACAUCCUUCCACAGUGGGGACAUUGGUUUCCGGGCAGGAGUUGAUCACGGUGUGGAUUUGCCAAGUGUGCCUUCCUCUUAGCACAUUUCUCCCUUGCGUCCUGAGUUCGAGUGUCUUCAAAGCCCAUGACACCUUUGGUAAAGGCUGUUCUCCAACUGGAGCGCUCGCAGGCAAGUGUUUCCCAAUUGUUGGUGUUUAUACUACAUUUUUAAAAAAUGUGCCUUGAGACAGUCUUUAAACCUCUUUUGUUAACCACCAGCAUUACACUUUCCAUAUUAAAGUUCAGAAUAGAGUACCAUAGAACUGUAGAGUUGGAAGGGACCCAGGGGUCAUCUGUUCCAACCCCCUGAAAUGUAGCAACCUCAGCUAAAACAUCCAUGACAGAUGGCCAUUCAGCCUCUGCUUAAAAACCUUCAAGGAAGGAGAGUCCAUCACCUUCCGAGGGAGUCCAUUUCACUGUUGAACAGCUCUUGCUGUCAGAAAGUUCUUCCUGAUGCUUAGUUGGAAUCUUCUUUAUUGUAACUUGAAUCCAUUGGUUCCGGUUCUAACCUGCUGAGAAGGAGAAAACAAGCUUGCUCCAUCUUCCAUGCAGCCUAGCCUUUGAGAUAUUUGAAGAUGGCUAUCAUAUCUCCUCUCAGUCUCCCUGUUUUUCAGGCUAAACAUACCUAAUUCCUGAAGCUUGGCUCUGCCCUCGCUGGUCCUGGAAGGAUCCUUUAAAAAUGUCCCAUAUGCUCAGAGACCUUGCGCCUGUUCUUUGGGGGAUAAAGGAAGCCCAGAGCACUUGUUCUUUAGAUGUCCCUUUUAUGUAGAGGCACGUAGUGAGACCAUUGAUCCCCUGUAAGUGAGGCUCACUGACCUCCCGGAAAAGCAAAAAUUCGACCUUUUCCUGUUAGGCAAAGAUCAUAAGAUGACCUGGAUGGUCGCCAGAUUCUGUGUACAGAUCUGUAGGCCAGACCAUCCUCCGACUCAAACUAGUUUGUUAAGAAAAUGCCCAAACUCGGUUCCAUGGGUGACUCUGGGUCAUCUCUCUGCGGUAGCUUAUCUUAAAGUUUUAAGUGUCUGUACGCUUAUCACAUUUAUAAAUUUUAAAUUUAUUGUUGUACAUUGUUUUAAAUGUUUGGUUUCCUUCUGGGAUUGUACCCCCAAGUGUGUUUUAUAAGCUGGUCUCCGACUGUAAUAAAUUAUCUAUCUAUCUACCUAACUCUCUCAACUCAUAAGGCCUGCUUUCCAUACCCUUGAUCAUCUUGGCUGCCUUCCUCUGCACAAGUUCCAGUUUGUCAAGAGCCUUCUUAAAUUGUGGUGCCCAGACUGGAUGUAAUCAGCUUGCAAUAUGAAGAUAACAGCACAUCCUUACCUUAAAGCGUUGUUGUAAGGCAGGGAUGGAGAACCAAUGCUCCUUCGGAUGGUAGUAUAUACAUUUAAUAAAUAAUAAUAAUAACCUACACUGGCUCCAAGUACGUUUCCAAGCAUAAUUCAAAGUGUUGGUGCUGGCCUUUAAAGCCCUAAACGGCCUCUGUCUAGUAUACCUGAAGGAGCGUCUCCACCCCCAUCGUUCUGCCUGGACACUGAGGUCCAGCGCCGAGGGUCUUCUGGUGGUUCCCUCGCUGCGAGAAGCCAAGUUACAGGGAACCAGGCAGAGGGCCUUCUUGGUAGUGGCCCCUGCCCUGUGGAACGCCCUCCCACAAGAUGUCAAAGAGAACAACAACUACCUGACAUUUAGAAGACAUCUGAAGGCAGCCCUGUUUAGGGAAGCUUUUAAUGUUUGAUGCAUUACUGUAUUUUAAUAUUCUGUUGGAAGCUGCCCAGAGUGGCUGGGGAAACCCAAUCAGAUGGGCGGGGUAUAAAUUUAUUUAUUUAUUUAUUUAUUUAUUUAUUUAUUUAUUUAUUAUUUGGUUAAGCUACAACUUCCAUCAACCCUGUCAAUUGUCCAUGCUGCCUGGGGCUGAUGGGGAUCAGAGUCCAACAACAGCUGAUUCCUAUCCAUUUCACCCAGCAAGGUCACUGGUCAGGGAUGAUGGGAGGUGCAGGCCAUCAACCCUUUUUUUCAACGAUUGUCAAGUCUGUUGAGCAGUUUGCACACUCAGAAAGUGCAAAAUCAAUGCUAAGUGUUGUUGCUGCAUGUUAUUUGUUCCCUUUUGGGCGCGGGGCAGGAGGCUCCAUUCCGGCAAAUCUUACAAUCUCAUUUCCUCGCCGUUCUGCGUUCCCUAAAGUUUAAACCGCAACACGAGUAAAACUGUGCGAUGCUCUGCUGGAGCCUGGUUGCGAUUCUUGGACGGAGCGGCCGUCAUAUUUCAGACCAGCUCUAUUUAAAUGAGUUUGGAACUGUGGCUCUCCACAGCAGAUGGCUUUGGAAAUAAUGAAGGCUAAGCAAUGCACGCCGUCCCCCUUCCUCCUCUAUGCAUCACUCCCCCUCCAGUGCUCUCUGUUGCCAUGGCAGACCAUGAGGCUGAAAUGGAUUCUUGCUUAUUAAAUUUGCAAGCUCUUGUGUACUCAGAAUGAAUGGGGCUCAGUCAUAAAGAGGCCCAGCCUCCUCACGACACCGGGGUAGUUUUUUAUCUUAGAAAACCAGGCACUCAAACAAAGGCAUGCGGAGGUCUCAUUAACCUAUUAACAGCGACCUCAGAGAGUUCAACCGCAGGGGCUUUUUAACGCUGAGUGCAAGGUGUUUUCCAGGAACGCUCGUAAAAGGCAAUGCUCCUGACGAUAGGUGCUAAUAAACGGUUGUUUAUUGGCUCAUGGAGGAAGCAAAAAUAAAAAAUAAAAAAUGGCCCUGCUUCCCCCAGGUGAAAUGAGCAAAAAAAAUCCCCCUUCUCUCUGUUUUUUCAGAAAUGUGUCAAGAUCCGGAACCUUCUCGUGGAAACCAGAGGAGGGGUGAAAGAAAGAUUUUGGGAUGAGGGCCAGGCAGAGAUGAUACAUCAAGUGCCCGAAACAGCUAAUUCAAGAUAUAUUCCCACCCUGCAUAUGCUGGUAAAACAUAUUAUGAAAGUGUCAAUUGCAUACAGGAGUUUCCAGCCUCACUCCUUGGCAUCUCCAGGUAGAGCUUGGUUGGACAAUCUGCCUAAAACCCUGGGUGGCUGCUGGUCCAACUCAAUAUUUUUGUUGUUGUUUAGUCAUUUAGUCCUGUCCGACUCUUCGUGACCCCCUGGACCAGAGCACGCCAGGCACUCCUGUCUUCCACUGCCUCCCGCAGUUUGGUCAAACUCAUGCUGGUAGCUUCGAGAACACCGUCCAACCAUCUCGUCCUCUGUCGUCCCCUUCUCCUUGUGCCCUCCAUCUUUCCCAACAUCAGGGUCUUUUCCAGGGAGUCUUCUCUUCUCAUGAGGUGGCCAAAGUAUUAGAACCUCAGCUUCAGGAUCUGUCCUUCCAGUGAGCACUCAGGGCUGAUUUCCUUCAGAAUGGAGAGGUUUGAUCUUCUUGCAGUCCAUGGGACUCUCAAGACAAUGCUGAGCUGGUGGACCAAUGGCGCAACUCAAUAUAAAGCACCUUGUUGAGUUAAAUCAUGGAACGCAAAGCAGAACAUGGGUGAUUUCCACGUGGUCACCCAUCCAGGCAAAGGCCAGACCCAAACAUGCUUUGCUUCAGCAAAAUGGCAGCCUCAUGUGCCUUCAUCAUCAUCAUCACCACCACCAUCACCAUCAUCAUUUAUUACUUAUACCCCACCCAUCCGGCUGGGCCUCUCCAGCCACUCUGGGCAGCUUCCAACAGGAUUAUUAAAAACACAAUAAAACAAUAAAUCUUCCCUAAACAGGGCCACCUUCAGAUGUCUUCUAGAAGUCAGGUAGUUGUUUAUUUCCUUGAUAUCUGGUGGGAUGGUAUUCCACAGGGCGGGCACCACCACCAAGAAGGCCCUCUGCCUGGUUCCCUGUAACCUCACUUCUCGCAGGGAGGGAACCAGCAGAAGACCCUUGGAGGAGGAUCUCAGUGUCCGGGCUGAACAAUGGGGGUAGAAACGCUCCUUCAUAUAUACUGGGCCGAGGCCCUUUGGGGCUUUAAAGGUCAGCACCAACACUUUGAAUUGUGCUUCAGGCAGAAUAUGCAUAGCAGCACUGGAUUUAGGGUGUUGUGGGUGGUUCCCCUGCACAUGGCACUGAGCUGAGGGGUGCAAAACUGAUAAGAUCCAUAAGUGAGAAGAUUCCAUUUGGGGUCGCCAAAUUUUGGGCUCACACAGGGUGCCAUAUUACGAAAGAUUAACAAAAUCUGCCCUUGUCCCUAGCAUAGAGGUGUCAAUUUCAGUUUCUAAUUUUUUUCACAUCCUUAUUUUUCGUUCUCUAUAUUUCUACAUCUGUUUGUAUUCUUAUUUUUUAAAUCAAUAUGAAAUUUCAGCAGCAUUUUAGGGUACAGUGGUACCUCCGGUUACAUACACUUCAGGUUACAUACGCUUCAGGUUACAGACUCUGCUAACCCAGAAAUAGUACCUCGGGUUAAGAACUUUGCUUCAGGAUGAGAACAGAAAUCUUACAGCGGCGGCAGCGGGAGGCCCCAUUAGCUAAAACAGUUUCAGGUUAGGAACUGACCUCCGGAACGAAUUAAGUACUUAACCCGAGAUACCACUGUUGUACAUUUCUCCUAGUAUACGCAUGCUUUGGUAUGCAGUUUUGCACAAUACAGUGAUACCUUGGUUCCCAAACGGCUUGGCUCCUGAACAUAUCGGCUCUUGAACGCCGCAAACCCGGAAGUAAGCCGAAUGUCUGGAAGCUGAAUGUCUGACGCAGCUUACGCAGCUUCUGCAGCUUCUGCAGCUUCCGCUUGAGUGCAGGAGGCUCCUGCAGUCAAUCGGAAGCCACGCCUUGGUUUUCAAACAAUUUCGAGAGUUGAACCGACUACUGGAACAGAUUAAGUUCGAGAACCAAGGUUCCACUGUACACACAUUCUUGAAAAGCGAUUUCCCCUGGGCGCUGUGGUCUAAAGCCCAGAGCCUAGGGCAUGGGUAGGCAAACUAAGGCCCGGGGCCGGAUCCGGCCCAAUCGCUUUCUAAAUCCGGCCCACAGAUGGUCCGGGAAUCAGCAUAUUUUUACAUGAGUAGAAUGUGUCCUUUUAUUUAAAAUGCAUCUCUGGGUUAUUUGUGGGGCCUGCCUGGUGUUUUUACAUGAGUAGAAUGUGUGCUUUUAUUUAAAAUGCAUCUCUGGGUUAUUUGUGGGGCAUAGGAAUUCGUUCAUAUAUUUUUUUCAAAAUAUAGUCCGGCCCCCCACAAGGUCUGAGGGAUAGUGGACUGGCCUCCUGCUGAAAAAAAUUGCUGAUCCCUGGUAGGGCUUGCCGAUCAGAAGGUCGACGAUUUGAAUCCCCGCGACAGGGUGAGCGCCCGUUGCUCAGUCCCAGCUCCUGCCCACUUAGCAGUUCAAAAGCACAUCAAAGUGCAAGUAGAUAAAUAGGCGGCGGGAAGGUAAACAGCAUUUCCGUGCGCUGCUCUGGUUCGCCAGAAUUGGCUUAGUCAUGCUGGCCACAUGACCCGGAAGCUGUACGCUGGCUCCCUUGGCCUAUAGAGCGAGGUGAGCACGCAACCGCAGAGUCUUCUGCAACUGGACCUAAUGGUCAGGGGUCCCUUUACCUUUAACUGCAGAUAAGGCGGUGUCACAUCUAGUAAAGGCAAGCUAACGCAGGGGCAACAGGAUCUGGCUUAGACAAUGCAGAAGUGUCCAGGACCUUGGACAGAGCAUUGUGAGAAAGUUGACUUGAGUAGUCUCAUCGAUGGGUGUUGUAUUCCUCCUCGCUCUGAAUAGUUUGGCUUCUUUAGGUUCAGAGUCAGUCCAUGGAGGUAAGCUGACCAGAAAGGGCCAGGAUGGCUAUGCCACAGGAAGGAUGCUGCCUCCAUUUCCAAUGGGACUCUGACUUUGCUGAGAGGCAUCUCAUAAGUAGCAGGCCCUGUUGAUCUUCAACAACCUCAUGAUGACCUGACACUUUGCUAGUUCCCAAAAAUAUUAUAAAAAUAACAGACGGUGACUCUGUUGGCAUUCGUUUCAUUUGCUCGUUUUAUUUUCCCUCUGGGACACCUUGGCCAUGAUCCAGUGCAGAGUUAGGCACACUUAAGUGCAUUGGAAUCAAUGGGCUUAAGUGCACUCAGCUCCGUGUUGGAUUCCAUGCUCUACCUUGCACCCUGUGGAACUACACCGCUUAACAGAGUAAUUGAGCGUCACUCUAAUAAUUCCCUAAUUUCCCAUAUAUACCAUCUCAUUAAUAUGCUUCAUAUUGCCAUGAGUCAAGGUCAAAUAGCUGUUGUAAAUUAGAGAUCUCUCUAGAUCUUUUGGACCCAACCUGCAUGGCUCAUGGACAGGGGUGAAGAGAAUUGCAGAAGGCAGCAGGCUGGGAAGGCUAAAUGACCCUGCCCAUCAUGGUUUGUUCUAUGCAGAAGUCCACAGGAGAAACGACUAAGGGCACCACCUGUUGCGUUUCAGUGUCACUGCUUUGCGAGAUCUCAAGCCAGAAAGCCAGUCUUUUAAAUUCUCUGCAAGAAAGCUGAACUGGGACACUGGUCACAGGUCUACAGUUGGUGUUGUAGUCAGAUUGUUGGACUAUUCUUCUUCUUCUUUGGAGAUCACUCGUAGCCGAGUAAGAUUGUCUUCCAUAAACACGGUUGUGUCUGUAAGUGACUGUGGAGGCCAAUUCUGGAUCCACACCUUCUUCCACAGUGGGGACAGUGGUUUCUGGGUGGGAGUUGAUCGCGGUGUGGAUCUGCCAAGUGUGCCUUCCUCUUAGCACAUUUCUCCCUUGUGUCCUGAGUUCAAGUGUCUUCAAAGCCCAUGACACCUUUGGUAAAGACUGUUCUCCAAUUGGAUUGUUGGUAUUUAUACUACAUUUUUUUAGGUUUGCCUCGAGACAGUCUUUAAACCUCUUUUGUUGACCACCAGCAUUACACUUUCCAUUUUAAAGUUUGGAAUAGAGUCGUUCCUUUGGAAGACGAUAAUCAGGCAUCUGCACAACAUGACCAGUUCAACGAAGUUGAUGUAGAAGAAUCAUUGCUUCAACACUGGUAAUAUUUGCUUCUUCCUGUCUUCCCAAGUGAUGGGUAGAAUUUUUCGGAGACGCCGUUGAUGGAAUCUUUCGAGCAGUUGGAGAUGGCGUUUGUAAGUGGUCCAUGUUUCACAAGCCUACAGUAAGGUUGGUAGUACAAUAGCUUUGUAAACAAGCAUUUUGGUUUCCCUGUGAAUGUCUCGGUCCUCAAACACUCUGCGAUUCAGUCUUGAGAAAGCUGCGCUCGCAGAGCUCAGGCGAUGCUGGAUUUCAGCAUCAGUGUCAGCCCUUGUGGAACAAUAACUGCCCAGGUAGGAGAUGUGAUCAACAUUUCCCAACAUUACACCGUUGAGUUGGAUUUGUGGUGCUGCAGAGGGGUUAUUUUGUAAGAGUGUUGGAGUAGGACCUGGGAGACCAGGGUUCAAAUCCCCCACUUGACCAUGAGGCUCCCUGGGUGACCUUGGGCCAGACACCAGUUCUCAGCCUAACCUACCUUACAGGGUUGUUGUGGGGAUUAAAUGUAGAGAGGAUAUUAACAAUUGACCAUGACAUUCAGUAUUCAGAUUUUGGAUUACAGCUUUGCCAUUGAAACCCUACUGUUUAGACCAGCUGAGUGAAAUGAAACAAGUUAAUGUGAAAUGUUUCUAAAGCCAAUACGCAAUAGUGAUGAAGAUGUUGGGUGGGAACAGAGAGUGGCCUCGGGUGAGCAAAUAUGCCUCCAGCCAUUUAGCCUACCAGAUUGCCUUGCUGUGCCUGUCACCUUUGGAGAUGAUGACUUGCCUUCUUCCUCCUUGGAAAAGUCUCCAAGUGGUUGCAGAUCAGAUUCCAGGUCUGGCAGAGUCAUGGGUUUUUUUUCCUGGGCAGAUGGCCUUGGCCCUGGUUCAGGAUUGUAGUGGUGUCUAAAAGAGGAGCCUGGAGGUUGACCCACUGAAUGUUAUGGCUGUUGCCAUCUCCUCCCCAUUGCUUUCGUCAGGCAUGCCCUCCAGCUUGUGGGCUGGUUGGCUGAAUGGGUGGUAAAGCGAUGGCGGAAGCUAACAAUAAUGCCAGCCUGGGCAAUGUGCUCUUGUCAGUCUUGUGGGGUCUUGGUGCCCGACACCAUGAGCAAAUUUGUGGCCUGUGUGGAUUUCUGUGGCUGCUGACUGUGUACACACACACACACACACACACACACACACACAUCCCCUCCAACUUGGCACCAACUUGACACAGCUCUGCCUUUGUUCUGUAUGUCAAUGGAGAAGCCUGGCUGUCAGGAGCGGCGUGAGCCAAUGGCAGCGUUCCAUAAACCCAAACCCCAUUAAAAUAACAAAGGACCCUGCCACACUUCUGGGAGGAGAUGUGGUUUUUUUUCUUCCUCUCUGCACCCCACCCCUUCCAGGCUGCAGGCGUCAUUAAACAAGCAGGCACAGCUAAUGGGCUUUAGACACUCAAAGGCUCAGCUUUUCUAAGCCCAGCUGUCAUGGAAGGGAGUGCUGAGAGCCCCCUCCCUCCGCAAAUAACUAAAAAGUGCCCAGGCUCAAGCGACAAUUCCCCCUUCCUCUCUCCCCUUUCAAAAAAAAUCAAAAUCAAAAGGGAGGUGGGGAGGAGCCAGUCUGUGCAAAAUAGUGAGCAAUUAAUGUGAAACAAAAGCAAAUGAAUCAAGAGGGCUAAUUAUAUGGGGUAUAAAUCCAAAUAAGAGGAGUUGAAGAGAGAGAGAGAGAGAGGAUGCCGGAGGGUGUUUUCUUUUUCUUUUUUGGGGGGGUGGGUGGGGAAAUGGGGGGAAGCAGCCUAUGAUGCUGAAGAAAGAGAUCAGUUGGUGAGACAAAUAUGCAUAAAUUUCUUGGAGCGACAUAAAGAAGCCGAGAAGUAGUGGGAGGUUUUGGGAAUGUCCCCAAGUGAGUCAUUCUUUGGACGUCUGUCGGCUUGACGCAACCCUUGACGCCUUGCGCUUUCUUUUCAGGGCCUCCUGCACAAAUAGUGAGCCAAGAUGAGAAAGGGAAGGAGGGAGGAGAAGACAUUCUCUUCUCUUCUCUCUCUCUCUGUUCAGAGAGAAGAUCUAAAUCUGCUCCAAUCCUUUGUCCCUGUACCCUGGGUGCACAAUUGGAACCUAAAGAAGAAGCUAGAAAGUUAGAAAGUCCUGUCCAUCUAUCAUCUAUCAUGUUUAAUCGUUUAGUCGUGUCCGACUCUUCAUGACCCCCUGGACCAGAGCACGCCAGGCACCCCUGUCUUCCACUGCCUCCCGCAGUUUGGUCAAACUCAUGCUGGUAGCUUCGAGAACACUGUCCAGCCAUCUCGUUCUCUGUCUUCCCCUUCUCCUUGUGCCCUCCAUCUUUCCAACAUCAGGGUCUUUUCCAGGGAGUCUUCUCUUCUCAUGAGGUGGCAAAAGGAUUGGAGCCUCAGCUUCAGGAUUUGUCCUUCCAGUGAGCACUCAGGGCUGAUUUCCUUCAGAAUGGAGAGGUUUGAUCUUCUUGCAGUCCAUGGAACUCUCAAGAGUCUCCUCCAGCACCAUAAUUCAAAAGCAUCAAUUCUUCGGCGAUCAGCCUUCUUUAUGGUCCAGCUCUCACUUCCAUACAUCACUGCUGGGAAAACCAUAGCUUUAACUAUACGGACCUUUG